rnacentral:lncRNA from 1 species
CGACCCACGUUUGGACAUUGACUUUGUUGAAUUGAUUCCUCUCAAGAAUAAACGUUCGACCAUAGGUCCAUGUUAGCAUUAUAGAACAACAUGUCACUGGCCACAUUGCCCAUACAUACCAUUUGUAUGUGUAAGGUUUGGAGGCUAAGGAGGCGAAUCCUAGCCUCAGAUGAUAGAUGGACUGUGGCGUUACAAGAUGUGUCAAAUGAACCACAUGGGGCAAUUGUUCAGGUCUUAUAAGUGAUUUUUCAUAUAACGCAUCUGAAGAUUUAUCCAUUGUACCAUAGAUGUAAUCAUAGAUGGGCAUAAAAAGUGAGUAAUUGGUCCUGAAUUGAGUGUGAUGCAGAGAGUGAUACCUGAGAUGUCAAGCAGUCAAUCAUUUCUUCAUGCACAUUUCAAAUUGGAAAGAAUACAUUUAUGGGAUGAGCCACAUAAAAAAGUAGAGAUACAAGAAUACAUUCUAAAAACCAUAAAAAAUAAAAUAAAGGAGAGAAUCAUGUUUUCAUACCUGGAUUAGGCUUUAUUUAAAAUUUGGUGGGCAACUUAUGGGAUUCCGACCUUAGAGCUUAAGUGGUAAAUAAUAAUAAUAAUAAUAAUAAUAAUAUAUUUUCAUUUCCAUCUUUUCUUAGCCAGUUAUAAUGUAAUGAGUCAUAUAAAAACAUUUACAAAUAAAUCGAUUAUGUGAAGUGAAUAAAUAGGAAUUAGAUACAAGGAUACAAAUUGUGGGCGUUUUAAUUUUUAGAGUACGUAAAAAAGAUCAUUGCAGUAUUCUCUCUCUCUCAACACAGAAAACUAUGUAAAAAGGAAUUGGGAGACUUACGAGGGGGUAUACAUGAGGUACUUAAGAGGUGGAAAAAUGGAGAAUAGCAUCUUAGGGAUCAGCUCGAAAUUGCAGUGUCCCAUGUUGUUCAUGAAAUCAAUAUAAGAAAUAUAACCAAAGACGGCUGCCAUGGAGCUCUUUCUCAUGAAAAAUCCUGCUAACAGUGGUAUUAAAAACAGUAGAAAAUAUGCUAGGUGUUCAGCAAAAGGAUGGAUGACAGCUGCCAUGGAAACAACGAUACGUCAUAUUCCAAUGUAGGUAGUGGUUAAUUAGUAACGGAUCAAAGAGUAAAUGAUCAAUUCAUACAGGUGAUGGGCUCUGUGACAAUCGAGGAAUGGUGAUGAGAAUGAUAGCGUGAGUAAAGAUAAUGAUGAUGCAAUGCUCUGUGUAACCAGUAGUAUAGGAAUUCAACAGGCCCCAUAUGAAGAAGAAUUGUAAGAAGUACACCAUCUGUUCUCCAUAAGGGCAUGUGAGCAACCCCAGGAAGUAUCAUGUAAACCACGUAGAAUAGGAUCCCAUUCAACAAUAUUUGGUCAUCCCUGCAAACAAAACACCACAAGAAAAUCUGAAUAUUCAUGCAUGAAGGUAAUCAGCCUGUGUGUGUGAGAGUGAGUUUCUGACAGACCAGUUGCUUUCCCUGUCAACUUGCUCGAAUUCAAUACUCUUAUCAACGAUCCUAUUGUUUCCCUUAGCUGUUCGGUAUCGAGCAAGAGAAAUCCAAAUCUGGUUGUGAAGUGCCCUCCAUAACAGAAAUGGGAAAAAUAGAACGUAAACAGGGUCCCUCUCCUUCCCAUCUUUGAUUAUUAAUGUGUAUAUGCUAUGAACUACCCAUGGAGCCAAUAUCACAUACUGAAACAAAGAAUAAAAGUAAAAUAAAUGAGUAAAACAAAAAUAAAAUAAACAUUGAAGAGAAGGCAAGAUUGUAGAGCAAUCAAAGUGUGGCAAAUCAGAUAAUAAUAGUGUACCUUGAAGCUUCCAAGAGACUUCCAAGGCCAGUCAGUGAGGAUACCUGGUUUGGAAGCCAUAUACACUUCUAUAAUGUUACUUGCUUAAUUUAGUUUGCCGUCUACAAAAUUGGAGGGCUAUAUAUACUGAUUCUCUCGGGUGAAUUUAAGCAGCCAUUAAUGCAGGCCUGAAACCCUUAGAAGGAUACGAUCAGCAAGUUGUUUGUGACCUUCACUUUCAAGGAUAAAAGGAGCUUGUACAAAAACUAUUUUUUACUUUUAAUAAAACUUGAAUUAAAUUUAACUAGUCUUGUAUAAAAUGAAUUAAUAAUUUUUUACAACAUCAAAAUAGGAAAAUAAUUUUUCAAAGCAUGCAACUGAUUCAAAUAAUUUUAUUUUAUUUUAUUUUUUUAUUUUAAAAAAACUGUUCUCACAAAACAAGUUUUCAAAGGGUCUUGUUCUUAAAAAAUAUUUAUUUAUUUAUUUUGGUUCUUCACCUCAAACAAUUUUCAAAAGCAAUCCUCUACAAAUCUGUAGAAAAUCUCGUCAAACAGGCCCUUAUCUUCCCUAUUUCUUAUCCUAGUUUGGUGAAAAAGGCAGAUUAAUAACGACCUUAUUUCUCAAAUCUCAACUCUUGUGUGAGAAUAAUAAAUGCAGAAUUUAAAACUUCCACUGUUCCAACCGUCCUAGGGCGAGGUGGGCACACUUAUAAUCAAUACUUAGUGCUAUGUUCUUUUUGCUGCCCACUUUUUCAGGUUUGCAUUUAGAUAGUGUUGACAACACCUUUCAAAUAUUAUCAGGCUGCUCUAGCUGGCGAUGCCAAUGUGAAAGACAUGGGAUGUUUGUGCAGAAAAGGCCAAAUAAAUAAAUAAAAGGGAAAGCUAUGGGAUCAUACACCAAUUAGAAAAACAGAUAAAUAGAUUUUUUUUGAGAAAUCAAAAUUUUCACUUUUAAAAAAGAGUUUAUUACCCUUUAUCCCCCAACCUAUAAUGUGUUUUGUACAUUACCCCCUUGAGUUCAAAAUCAAACAACUUCAUCAUUUAUGAUUGCAUACAAUGUUAUUUUUUUAGAGAAGGAACAAUUUUUUGGAUAGAAAGGCAUGUGCUCUUUGCAUGAUCAAGGGUAAAAGUGUCUUUUUUUUAUAAGUGAGGGCAAAAGGGUCAUUGUUAUUUUAAAACCCCAAAUUGCAACCCUCCUCUCCCGCAUCGACCAUUCCUCCUUUGUAGGUGCUAGUGAAGCCCUAAUUCAAAGCCCUAGAAUCCCAAAGAAGCUAAUAUAGAGUUGACAUUGAAGAAAAGAGAUGGAAUUCAACGGGGUUUUUUUUUUUUCUUUUGUCUUCCAAUUUAUUUAAGGUUAAGGUUUUGUUUUGAUCUUUUAGAAAAUUUAAGGAAAUUUUGGGGAAAUUAUAGAAGAAUAAAACUCGGGCCAAUUAAGGGUUAGGGUUUUUAUGUUAGGGUUUAAAUUUUUGUGUUCUGCUUCUAGUUUAAGGUUGGGGUUUCGUUUUCAUGUUUCAGAAAAACUAGGGGUAUUUUUGGUGAAAUUUUAGGGUAAUUUUUAGGGGCAAUUUGGGGAAAUUAUGGGAGAAUAAAACUUGGGCAAAUUGAGGGUUAGGGUUUAAAUUUUUAUGUUAUGCUUUUGGUUCAAGGUUAGGGUUUUGUUUUCAUGUUUUAGAAAACUGCGCAUAUUGUUGACAGCACCUUUCAAAUAUUAUCAAGCUGCUCUAGCUAGCUAUGACAAUGUGGAAGACAUGGGAUGUUUGUGUAGAAAAGGCUAAAUAAAUAAAUAAAAGGGAAAGUUAUGGGAUCAUACACCAAUUAGAAAAAACAGAUAAAUAGAUUUUUUGAGAAUUCAAAAUUUUCACUUUUAAAAAAGGGUUUAUUACUCUUUAUCCCCCAACCUAUAGCGUGUUUUGUACAUUGCCCCCUUGAGUUCAAUAUUGAACAACUUCAUCAUUUACAAUUGCAUGCAAUGUUCUUUUUAUAGAGAAGGUACAAUUUUUUGGAUAGAAAGGCAUGUGCUCUCUACGUGAUCGAGGGUAAAAGUGUCUUUUUUGCUAUAAGUGAGGGCAAAAGGGUCAUUUUUAUUUUAAAACCCCAAAUUGCUGCCCUCCUCUCCCGUGUCAAUUAUUCCUCCUCUAUAGGUGCUAGUGAAGCCCCAAAUCGAAGCCCUAGAAUCCCAAAGAAGCUAAUAUAGGGUUGACAUUGAAGAGAAGAGAUAGAGUUCAACGGUUUUUUUUUUUUUUUGUCUUCCAAUUUAUUUAAGGCUAAGGUUUUUUUUUGAUCUUUCAAAAAAUUUAGGGAAAUUUUGGGGAAAUUAUAGAAGAAUAAAACUCAGGCAAAUUGAGGGUUAGGGUUUAAAUUUUUAUAUUUUGCUUUUAGUUUAAGGUUGGGGUUUCGUUUUCAUGUUUCAAAAAAACUAGGGGCAUUUUUAGGGAAAUUUUAGGGUAAUUUUUGGGGGAAAUUAGGGGAAAUUAUGGGAGAAUAAAACUUGGGCAAAUUGAGGGUUAGGGCUUCGUUUUCAUGUUUUAGAAAACUGUGCAUACUGUUGACACCAUCUUUCAAAUAUUAUCAAUCUACUCUAGCUGGCUAUGACAAUGUGGAAGACAUGGGAUGUUUGUGCAAAAAAAGGCCAAAUAAAUAAAUAAAAGGGAAAGCUAUGGGAUCAUACACCAAUUAGAGAAAAUAGAGAAAUAGGUUUUUUGAGAAAUCAAAAUUUUCACUUUUAAAAAAGGGUUUGUUACCCUUUAUCCCCCCAACCUAUAGCGUGUUUUGUACAUUACCCCCUUGAGUUCAAAAUCGAACAACUCCAUCAUUUAUAAUUACAUGCAAUGUUCUUUUUUUAGAGAAGGUACAAUUUUUUAGAUAGAAAGGCAUGUGCUCUCUACGUGAUUGAGGGUAAAAGUGCUUUUUUUUGCUAUAAGUGAGGGCAAAAGGGUCAUUGUUACUUUAAAACCCUAAAUUGCAGCCCUCCUCUCCCACGUCGACCGUUCCUCCUCUGUAGGUGCUAGUGAGGCCCCAAGUCAAAGCCCUAGAAUCCCAAAGAAGCUAAUAUAGGGUUGACAUUGAAGAGAAGAGAUUGAGUUCAACGGUUUUUUUUGUCUUCCAAUUUAUUUAAGGUUAAGGUUUUGUUUUGAUCUUUUAGAAAAUUUAAGAAUUUUUUUUGGAAAUUAUAGAAGAAUAAAACUCGGGCAAAUUGAGGGUUAGAGUUUUUAUGUUAGGGUUUAAACUUUUAUGUUUUGCUUAUAGUUUAAGGUUGGGAUUUUGUUUUCAUGUUUCAGAAAAAUUGGGGGUAUCUUAUUGGAAAUUUUAAGGUAAUUUUUUGGGAAAAUUUGGGGAAAUUAUGGGAGAAUAAAACUUGUGCAAAUUGAGGGUUAGGGUUUAAAUUUUUAUGUUAUGCUUUUGGUUCAGGGUUAGGGUUUCAUUUUCAUGUUUUAGAAAACUGUGUUGUUUGUAUUGAAUGCUAAGAUAUGAACAUGUGCUCUCAAAUUAAUUCUCUGCACACAAUUAAUUUUUUUGUUAUCAAAUUAGCUGAACCAUAUUGAAUGCCAAGAUAUGAACAUGUGCUCUCAAAUUAAUGCUCUACACACAAUUCAUUUUUUUAUCAUCAAAUUAGUUGAAAAUUAAUAAUCUUUAAUUAAAUGCAAAAUCCAAUUCGGUAUGAUUAAUCAUUUUAUGAAUAUAAUUUAAGUAAAAGGGUGUUUGGGAAAUCAAUUUAAUAAUUUAAUAUGACUUAAUAACUUAGUUUAAAUCAUUAAAUAUAUCAAACAUAUCUAAUAAAAUAAAUUAUUAUUACAACUUAAAGUUAUUUUUAACUUUAAGUAUUAAGUUAAAAUAGUUAACUUAUUCUUAAUCUCAAUUCUUUUUACCUCAUUUGUCCACACCAGUGAAAAUAUAUUUUAAAAUUAUAAAGUUAUCUUGUAUAUGUAAAAUACUUUAAAUAUACAUGUUUUACAAAUAAAUUUAUAUGUCACUUAAAAUUAGUGAAAAUAAAUUGAGUUAAAAUAAAUGACAAUAAACACUUGUUAAAAUUAACGAGGGUAGAUAUGUCAAUUGGAUUAUUUAAAAUAAAUUUUAAAUUAACUUUCUCAAACAACCUCAAUACUUCGAAAUAAAAAUGUGUUUUAAGUUAAUAACUAAAAAAUAAUUGAAUUUAAAGUCAACUUAAAUUAUCAAUCGAUCAAUAUUAAGUUUUACCGAACACUCUUUUAUUAACAUUAUAUUAAACAUGAUAGUCAUUAAGUCAAAUUUAUCAAUUCUUGGUUUUUUUUGGUUUGUAAUAUAUGCUUCUUUGAAUGACUUGGAACCAUUAGGCGUGCCGAAAUAUUGCUUCCUAAAGCAUUAUAUAUAUAUAGACAUAUAGGAUACUAAAAUUAAAGUGUUAAAAUUUAAUAAUGGCAAUCAGAAUCAUAGUUUAAAAAGGUGCAAGGUGCACUUAAUGUGUAAAAGUCUCUUAUAGUUUAAGCACAAGAUGCGACACAAGGUACGUACAUACCUAAGUGAAGUGAAAUGCCAUUUAGGAUAUAUGUCAAUUUUGUAAAAUAUGAUUCAAAAUAUAAUCCAAUCAAUAAAAAAAUAAUGAUAUUAUAUCAUUUCAGUGUAUAAUUAGAAAUUUCAAGAAUAAAAGAGUUUAAAAAGGAAAAAUAAAAUCGAUAAGACGCGUCUUUUCAAUAAGGUGCAUAUCUUGGUAAGCAAGGCAGUAUAAAGAGUGGUAAGCACAUCUUUUAAGACUAUGAUCAAAUUUUAAUAAUAAAAAAAAACUAUUGCAAGUCCAUUUUUCUUCUAUACUUCCCAUCUUCAGCGGUCUCCAUCGCCACUACCAGUGGUGUGAUGUUGGCGCCAUUUCUAGUGCCCCUCCAUCCAUUUUUUCUCCCAUUUUCUUCCUCCCAUUUUUUUUUAUUGUCUUCAUUUUUAUUAUUAUUAUUAUUAUUAUUAUUAUUAUUAUUUAGUUUUUUUGUUUUUAAAAAAGCCAUCAACCCUCAUCGCCAUAGGUGAGACCACCGGCCAGUGGCCGUCGAUGAGCCACUCUCGGUCGACGACCCUUUCCUCACCCAUUUUCCAUUAUUAUUAUUCAUUUUUCUUGAUUUGAUUUUAAUAGUAAUUGUUGUUUGUGAGAUUUAAAUUAUUGAAUUAAUAUGAAAUUUGAGUUUUCUUAAUUAAUAUGAAAUUUGGGUUAAUUUGUUAUUGGAGAAUUAAUAUGAAAUUUGGGCUAAUUUAUUGUUGGUGAAUUAAUUUGGAAUUUUUUAAUUUGGGUUAGAUUAGUUGAUAAUUUAUAUGAUUGUGCUCAUUUGAAUUAUUUAAUUUGGAUAUGAUAUAAUAUUGUGAUAUAUUUUGGAUGUGGGUUUGCAUAUUAAAUUGGGUUGAUUUUAAUUGUGGAUUUAGGUUUUCAUAUUAAAUUAGGCUUGGAUUAUGGGAUAUUAAAUUUAGGCCUAAUGGGAUUUAUUUUAAUUUGUCAUGUUUUGGGUUUGAUUAAUUGAACUUAUAUUUUGGCUAUUAACUUGAAAAUUCUGGAUUAGGGCCUAUAACAUGUGAGAUAUUUUUGUUGGGUUAUAUUUGCUAAUUUGGGCCCAUCUUGAUUGACAAAAUUUGUUGGACUAAUUUGAAAUUUGGAUUCGGGCUUGAAUAUCUAUUGUGAAUUUUAUAUAUUUCUAGAUAUUUACAUUUGGGCUUUUUUUUUCUUUUGCACAGGUCCAUUCUGCAAUUUUUUUUGGUUGAGUACGAAUUUAUGACACGUGGAGUGUGGAAUUUCAUGGAAGAAAGUGAGAUUCGAAAAUUUGUAGGAAGAUAUUGAGCUUGUUGUAAGCUUGUUUGGGUACACGUUUUAUUAUCUACUUUUAUUUGGUUUUAAUUUUAUUAGUUUCUGUAAAUAUUUGUUUGUACAUGUUUAUUUGUUGUGUACAGAAUUGAAUAUCAAGCAAAUCAUAAAUUUUUUCUAAAUAAUGGGGACAAUUCAGUAAACAUGUUUUAAUAAAAUAAUAGUUCGGACUUUUUUUUUAAUAAAAGAAAAUUUUUUUAUUAAUAAAAAUUCAGAAAAAUGCUUUUUGAAAAAUCUAAAAAAAAUUAUUUUUAAUAGAAUUUGAAAAAUUGUUUAAUAAUAAUUGUACAAAAAUUUAUUUAUUUAAUAAAAAUUGUCCAAAAAUUAUUUUGUAAAUAAAGUUGUCCCAAAAAUUAAUUUUUAAUUAAAUUUUUUCAAAUAUAUUUUUUUUAAUUAGUUCAAUAAAUCAAUUUGCAUAAUUCUAUUGUCAUUUAUUUUGUACAUUCUUGUAAUUUUAUUUUGUCAUCAUCUUUGUGUAUAUUGUUUCGUUCCUUUAAUCUUGGUAUCUAUGAUUAAUUAAUUAAUUGUCACAAUUCCCUUAAUUCAUUUAGUAGAGACCGUAUCUCUACGAGCUUAGAAGGGUGCUACGGCUCACCAUUGUACCUUCCCAAUAGGUAACCUGACCCCCAGACCCAGACUUGGUUUUUCACAUACCUAUUUUUCCUUUAGGAGUCACACUUAGGGUUUUUAUUUCUUAUUUUGUUUUUCCCUUCAAAAAUAAACCAAAAAUAAGUGGCGACUCCAAGUCUUUUUCUGAAAAUCAAAUUGUCACAAAUAAAUAAAAAUCUAAUCUCAUCAUCGAGUGGAAACGCACGUGAAAAACUCGGGUUCGCAAAAUGGCGACUCCAUUGGGGAUGUUUAAAGGGUCAAACUUGAACUCGAGUUGAGGGAAAUGUGACGUGUGAUUGGUCGAUCAGUAGAUACCCUCUCUAUGUGUCUUUUUAUGAUUGGGUGUUGAUUACACAUUGAGAGCUUUGAUAUGUUUAUCUGUGAUGCAUGUUAGGCUUUUAUGUUCAUUUGUGAUAUUGACAUGUUGACUACAUCAAUUGAUUCUGUUGCUUGAUUUAGCAUAUGACUCUUCUUGUUGAAUGAUUAUCUUGCUUUCCUUGACAUGUACAUUCUCAUUUUUGUAUAUCUCAUUCAUAUUGGCAUGAUUGAUUCUCUUUAUUUUAUAUUAUCUUAUUUAUCUCAACAUAUUAUUUCUUCUUGUUAUAUACCUUUUUUUUAUCAUGUUUCUUGCUUAGCUUGUGUGUAGAUAUGGAUGGCAUACCUGUUCUUUGCUUGAUUGCUUGUUGCAUGACUACUCUUCUUUUGUGUGAUGCAUGUGUUGCUUGUCCAUGUGGGGCACACAUCUAUCCCCUUACCUCCAACUCCCUAAUCUCGGUCGACUUUGUUUCCCUUGAUCUCACAUUUGAUACGAGACUUGUUACUUUGCUUGUUUCUUCGACUGAGCUAGUGAUUAGGAGUAAGAUCUAGUGAUGGGCUAUAUCUAUGUUUGGGAGCAUUCUAGAGAAGGUGGACAUACUGAUGCUGAUUGGAGUCCGAUCUUUGAAGACCUAUAUAGCCCAAAGCUAGGUUUCAUGGAUAUUUGUGUGACCAGUGUGUUUCUUUUUCUACUUUAGCUUCAUAGGUUUGUCAAAUGCGCCCACACUAUUCACUGUGCACUUUAGUUGACUAUUGAGAGCUAAGAGUUGUGAGAGUUUUCACCAUAAGAAACCCCUUGAGAUGUUGAGGUAGUGCAUGUGUGGAUGUGAUGACCACCUUACAUGGAAGUGUCCCGUCUAUUUAGAGAAGUGCAGGAGGUUACAUACCGCCAAAGGGUACGAUCGCUUCUUCUAGAGAUCCUUUAAAGUCCUUAAUUUUUUUUCUUUUUAGAGCCACCUUGGCCUUGUAGGUUGAGCCUUAGAUAUUUUGAUUAGGAUUUCCCUUCUUACACGUGGGUGCAUUUGAGAGCCUUCAGGGUCACUUUAGUCAUGGUUUGGAUCCAAUACUCCCUCUUCUGGUCUCCAAUUGGGAGUGCUUAGAUAUCGAUAUGAUUUUGAGUAUCAGUUGGACCACCCCUUCCUAUAUGGUUCUUCUUGUCGCUCAUUGAGUCUAGCACACUUUCUCCUUAGGCUUUAGAUAGUCUUCUUUUCUUGAUUCGACACAUUCUUUCAGUUUGUUAUCACUUUCUGCUUGACGUUUUAGGAUAUGCUCAUUGAUCAUGCUCAUUUUUUUACAUUUUUCACUUGUCAUGGGCUUGGUACUUCAUUCUUUGGUCGAUUUGCCUAUUUCUAUUUUCAACCCAAUAUUUUUAUUACAAGAAGGUGAAAGGCAUGUUUUUACAUUCACACCGUUUUUGAGAGAUUUGCCUUGAUCACCUUAUCAUUUUUCUUUAUGAAGCUCAGGUUGAAAGUGAAUUAGGGAUAUUUUGUUAUAAAUGGGGUAUCGAUCUCAUGACAGUGUUAUUUUUCACACCUUAUUCAUUUUUUGGAUCACUGAUAGAAAUUUUUUAGUCACAUUUGUAGCCAUUUCAUAGUGGACACUUUUAUGACUUUAGAGUCUCUGUCAUACAUCCAAUUUUUUAUUAUCAUCACAGGACCAUAUAUCAUGUGAUGUGUUGUACUUUUGACUUGAGGCAUCUAUUCAUUUGCACAUUGUGGUCUUGAGGUCUGACCUAUCAUGGAGGAUAUUGAGCUUAUUAACCUUGGAUUAGAGACUUGACCUAGGGAGUUCGAGACUAUGACCCACUUUCUUAUGAUCGAAGUAGUACCUUACUCAUUCCCACACUUUGACUUUGCUUCGGCCUACAUCCACCUAUUUUGAGCUUUACAUAGUAUAAGCCUUGACACCAUUGUAUGACCUUUCCAUCCCUAGCUGUUCUAGCUUUGCAUAUUCUCUCUUUCAUCCAACCAAGUAUAGUGUGAGGAGUUUGAGCCCAGGGUUGAUCUUGCAUGACGAGGGAUGGCUUAUGAUCUUUGGGUGGCUUACGAUGUGAGGAUUGGUUGAUUACCUUAUGGGACUGUCACUUAUUCUUCCAUGAGUAUAGAGAUUGAUCUUGUAUGAUGAGAGUUGGCUUGUGAUGAGCAGUUAUGCUUGAUGAGAUCGUUGUUUACUUUGCUUUGAGAGGAUUAUCUUUGAGAUUAUUAUGGAGCAUUUGGAGUGCAAUUUGGGGCAUAAUUCCAUAGGGUUGACAUGGUUAUAUCAUAUGGGCAUUGAUUUUCAGUAUCGAUCAUUUAAGGGUUGAGAACAUAAUGCUUGAGAUUGUGGUUGUAGGAUGGGUGGCCUUCAUUUCAGUUAGUGACUCGUCCCUACUGCAAUCAUGCCAUUUGAUUCUAGCCCAGACGAGUGUUAUCAACAAAAUUUAUAAAACCUAAAUCACCUUACACUAGGGUAGCAUAGCUAACAUAGUAUAGUGGCUCUAGGAUUGUAUAUAAGGAUGGGUUUUCAUCAUACAGUUGACUUUAGUGAAGAAAAUAAAAUGGUGUUUUUCCUUAUGAAAAUUAGCUUUUAAAGAAAAUGGAAUUGUAGUUGCAAAGAUUGAUUUUAAGUUAAGCAAAAAUAAUGAGUGAAGUUAUCUACAAAGAAAAGGUCUCUUAGAGCUUUAGGUCACUAGGAUCAGGUUCCUUAGGCAAAAGCGGAGAUUUUGGAUCUUCUCCUCGUGUUGGAGACAAUAGCAUAAAGGAUGGUUAUCUCCCGAACCAGUUUUAUAUUUAGCAAUUAAGAUUUGAUACAAAGGGUUCAUGAAAAAUGAUAGUUGCUUCCCAUUAAUGGCUUCAAACACUAAAGACUCUCACCUUGAACCACCUUCCAAUGACUCGUAAAGGAUAACUAAUUGACAUCCAUGGAUCUAGCAAUAAGCAUCUAUAGAAUCCGAAAAGCUUACCAAGUAUUGGCCAUUCAAGGUGCUUUUAAGGGAUUUAAAGCUAAACCUUAAAAUAAAAACCAUUAAUGGUUAACAACUACUUUAAUUUAAAGCAAGGACAACUCCCAUCUUUGCAUUCGGGUCUUUCACCUAGCUUCCAUCACUCCAAGAAACGUAAAACCUAGACGCUCAUCCCUUGAGAAAUCAUCCUCAGAGGUUGUUUGGUUAGAAAGAAAAGUGAAAACAAAAUGAGAAGGAAAGGUAGAGCAAAAGCUCUGCAUAUUUCCCCCUACUGGAUUUUUUUAGUGCUCAAUGUUUUAUAUAUCCCAAAUUAUACAAGAGUAUCUUAUAUAGAGAGGUCUUUCCAACCCCCCUUUACAAAAGAUGUUACCCAACAGAUAUAUAUGAAAAUAUCUAGGUUGAUUACAAGGAGAAAAUAGGAAAUUACAUAAAAAUAUCUGGAGGUAAAAAUGUAACGAAGUCGGUGCACAGGAAGAUUUUGCAUACCAUGCAAAAUAUCUAGGUUGAUUUCGCAUACAGUGUGCGAAAUUGUCUUUCACUUAGUCUUGCUCUCAGUCUUGCAGCUCCUCCUCCUCUUGAUUUCGCAUGCUAUGCAAAAUCUUCGCAUAACCAUGCGAAAAUGCUAGUUGGAUUUUUUCCUCUAAUUUCCUUUCUUGUAUCUUUGAUUGGCUUAGCAACCUAUUGCCAAGCUUGGAAAAGGCUAUGAAGUGCUCCAAAGCUCGAAUUCUUCAUGUAUUUAAGCUUCAACUAGCAUUGCCAUGGAUUUCACAAAAUUCUCCCUCUUCUUGGCUUGUUUCAAUGAUCUAAAAGCUACCUAAAAACACCAAAACUUGCCAAAAACUAAUUAGUAAUCCUUGCUAGGUUCCUUAAUGUGCCAAUUGAGUUAAAAGGUAUUAACUACUAUUCAAAAGUGUUUAAAAUAGUUAGUUUCAAGCUAUAAAACAGUACUUUUUGAGUAGUAAUUAAUCAGUUAGCUCACACCCUAUUACCUUUAUUAACAUCUAGACCAUUGCUAGCCCUUUGAGCCUCAUAUGAGCAUCAUAGCCUUUUCUUUUUUAUAGCCUUGCUCAUCUUUUACAUCGGGAUAGGGGCCUUCCAGUGCAUAUAUGUUUUAUUUGGGAGUCUCAUGAGCCAUAAACUUAUUGACUCAUCUUCUUCAUUAUUUUUCAUCAUAACUCUUUGUUGUCCUAUCAUCAUUUUUCAUCAUACCUCUUUGUUUAUAUCCUUUGUUCUUUCCUUUGUCUUUGUCAUCGCGUUUCUUUCUAUGCCAUGAGUGAUGAUCUUUCACAUUUCAAUGCAUGGAGGACAGUCAUGUCCCCUUCCACUCCUAUCUCAUGGACAUUGGUUCGGAGAUCCUUAGUUGAGAAGGUCAUUUUGUCAGAGAAAGUUUGUAUAUGUCAUUGUUUGAGAGUAUAUCCAUUUCAUAAUGUAUUCUUAGUGGAGUUAAUUUGAUUGUUAUUCAAAAUAUGCGCAGAAAAAAAAAUGAAAAAAAAAUGAAAAAAAGAAGAAGUAAUAAGCGCAUGUAUUUAUGUAUGUAUACAGUGUUAUUCUCCAUUGAGUGUAUAUAUUGGACAUUGAAAGUUGCUUUUUUUUAGUCAGUUGCUUAUGAGAGUUUGUAUGUGAACUUUCAAGAGGCUCUCAUCUUCUUGUGUUAAUCUAGUUAUGUAUUUUACGUGUGAGAAACAAGUGACCUUUUCCUAAGGACUCCAGAUCAUUAUCCUCUCCAUCAUUACAUACAUUGGUGAUUUCACUAUUCUCCAUGGCUUGAUUUGAGUGGAUUAGAGCUCAUUCAUUUUCCUUCAAUCUAUUUGUUCCUCUCAUGGCAUUUCAUUCGCCUUGCCUACAUUGUUCUUUGUUCAUAUCGAUUUGCAUUAUGUGUUCGAUAUUUUCCACAUAUCAUUCUUAUACAUCCCAUCAGCAGUUCAAUAUUCUUCAUUUUUUCUCUUUCAUCAUUGAUAUAUUCAUCUUGAAUUCUUUCUUCCUCACCGAUAUAUUCAUAUUAAACAUCCUCAUACCUAUGGUUUAUGAGACUCUCUACACAUAUUGCAUUUUAUACACGAGGGUAUGAGGUUUUAUCAUUAGGUAUUUGAGCCUAGUUUCCUUUCAUUUCUUUCACACUAUUACCAUAGCCUAUGUUAUGUCCAGGGUCUUAAGACCACCCUGAGGCCAUGAUAUCAUGCAUUGUGUUUUAAUAGCUCUUAUGUGAGCGAUACUUGAGACUAGUUCAAGAGCAUUCUGAUUGUGAUGGACCAGGAGUUAUAGUAUGACCUCACACUGGGGCAUAGCCACCUUAGAGAGUUUUUAUCGGGUAUGUAGUUAUCCUGCUUGAUACAUUGCAUUAGGGCGCACACCUUUCUUAGUCGAGGGUUGAUUUUUUUAGAUGACUAUUACACAGCGGCAUACCCCUCUCAAUUGAUGAUGGUUUUUGCGGCAUAACCAUUCUUAGGAGGUGAUCAUUUUCUUCUUUACAUUGGAGUAUGAGAUAUGACUGGGUGAUUUGAUUGGAUGUGUUUACACGGGAACAUAGCCCUCUCAUUAGUAUUGACGGAUUUUUGAGUGAUUGGAUCAUGGCGCACUCUUGUGAGAGCUAUAUUCGUUCUUGAGCAUUUUAGAGAUCUCCUUACACUAGGGCAUAACCCUCUCAUUAGCGAUUGAUCUUAGAAACAUCGGCUUACAUGAUCACAUCAAAGAGCAUUUUUGUUCAUACAUACCACUUUGCUUGAUUUUCCACAUUGGGAUUUGCUCAUUCCUUGGAGGAAAUCAGAUACUCCUAUCGUGUAACAGUACGAGAGGACUUCAGAGAGUAGAGAUUUACUUUGACUCGAUGAUGUAUCAUGGAUUAUACUCCUCUCAUUGAUGUUUUCUUUGGAAAUGCUUACACUGGGGCAUAGCCCACUCAUCAGUGAUGGAUUUUGUGAGAUGACAGUUUAUGCAAACACUUACUUCCCAGAGAUUAUCUUGUUGAUUACUACUUAAAAAGUGCUAUUUCAUAGCUUGUAAUUAACUCUUUUAAACACUUUUGAGUAGUAGUUAUUGCCUUUUAACCCAAUUAACAUGUUAAGGACCAUUGCAAUCAAUUCUAAUCAAAUUGUGUUAAGUUUUGGUGUUUUGAUAGCUUUUUGAUCACCAAAGCAAUCCGGGAUUGAGGAGAGUUAUUUGGAAUCUAUGGCAAAGCAAUGGAAAGCUCAGAAACAUGAAGAACCGAAGCUUUGAAGUCCUUUUUCAUAAGCAAAUCCGGAAUGCAAGGAGGGGAAGCAAAGAGAAAUCUGCCAUGAAGCAUUCUUGAUGACAGUCAUGUCAGCCACUUUUGGAGCACUUCCUGGAAUUCAAUUUAUGCAUUCUAUAUGUCGUUUCGAAGCUCAGGAAGUCAAAAAUUCAAUGCUUCAAAUGGUGUGCGAUUCAGAGUUGAAAUGAAGGAGUUACAGCCAUUGGAAGCCAAUCACUUCAAGCUGAAGAAAGAAUUUUGUACGACUGCGAAAUCACCCUUUUGCUGCGAAAUGAUUUCGCAGUACCAAGUGUUAGCUUAGGUGACUCCAAGGUGUUUUAAGUUAGCUAAAAAUAUAGAAAUCACUAAAGGAUCACACUUUCUCUUCAUUCAUGGCUGAAACCACAAAGCUACUUAUUCUUGCACUUGGAACCUUUCCUAGAAACCUUAGCUCCAAGGAACUAAAGGUUUAAUUACUCAUUCUCUGGGGAAACUUCCUCAGAGAGUGCAUAACUAGUAAAUAAAAAAUACAAUCAAAGUGAGAAGGUAAGGCAGAGCAAAGGCUCUAUAUUUUUUUUCUUUCUUUCAAACUUUUACAAAGGGUUCAUCCUCUUCAAGAACAGGCUCCCGAGAGCUAUUUAUAUGAAAAUUACAAUAAUAAUUAUUACAUGGAUAUUUACCCUUUUUCCUAACUUAAUAGCUAAGGAAUCCUAUAAUUGGUAGCUUACAAGGAGAAUUUGGGGACUUAGACAACAAAAAUUUGAAGAAAAAUAUCCAAAAGUGUCGGUCGCAAAUAUCGGGAAGCACUAAGGACCAUUUCGCAGGUGAAAACGAGGUCUGCGAGAUUUCGCAGACGCACAAAAAGGGCUGCGAAAUCACUUCGCAGCAAAAGGCUGAUUUCGCAGUGUUGCGAAGUUGGCUUUUAGCUUGUGGUGUUCUGCUUCCAACGUGUCGGUCACAAAUAUCGGGAAACUUCAGGAGGAAUUCCACAUCACUGUGCAAAAUGGCUGCGAAAUCAUUUCGUAGCAAAAGGGUGAUUUCGCAACCGUGCAAAAUUCUUCCUUCAGCUUGGAGUGAUUGGCUUCCAAUGGCUGUAACUCCUUCAUUUCAACUCUGAAUCGUACACCGUUUGAAGCAUUGGAUUGUUGACUUCCUGAGCUUCGAAACGACAUAUAGAAUGCAUAAAUUGAAUUCCAGGAAGUGCUCCAAAAGUGGCUGACAUGACUAUCAUCAAGAAUGCUUCAUGGCAAAUUUCUCUUUGCUUCCCCUCCUUGCAUUCCGGAUUUGCUUAUGACAAAGGACUUCAAAGCUUUGGUUCUUCAUGUUUCUGAGCUUUCCAUUGCUUUUCCAUAGAUUCCAAAUAACUCUCCUCAAUCUCGGAUUGCUUUGGUGAUCAAAAAGCUAUCAAAACACCAAAACUUAACACAAUUUGAUUAGAAUUGAUUGCAAGGGUCCUUAACAUGUUAAUUGGGUUAAAAGGCAAUAACUACUACUCAAAAGUGUUUAAAAGAUUUAAUUACAAGCUAUGAAAUAUCACUUUUUGAGUAGUAAUCACUCCCCCCAACCGACAUAUUGCUAGUCCCUUAGCAAUGAAGGAGAGAAAAAUAAAAAUAAACAAUACUAUAAUUUACAACAUCAUGCUAAUUACUUCAAAAAAUUUUAAGUGGCAUGAUGAUCUAACUCUCACAUGGAACAUUAAAGAUAUAUAAACUCAAAUUUCAACAAUAUCAAAAACUUUGCUAAACACUAUUGAUCAAGGGAAUGCAUUAUGCAAAUUGAAGUUUGAACAUCAUUUUCACUUCCACAGAACCAAACUUUAUUCUUCCACAAAAAUCUAAGUGUAAGAUGAUAGUUUCCGAAUAUAGCAUGCUAAACUAAUCUCUCCCCCCAACCUUUCUCCUUUCAAUACUUAGCAAACUGACCAAAUUCAAUAGGCAGAGAACACACUUUUUUUUUUUAGAAGGUACAAGGCUUAAGGGGUAUUCUUUUCUAAAUUGUCCAUGUAACGGGGGUCCAUCAAUGACUCCCAACCAAUUAAGGUUUAGGGCAUCAAGCUUUAAGGAUUUUUCAACCACUAACUCCUAGGAUUUUACCCCGGACUUUUGAGAAUGAAUUUUUAAUACCCAAUCACCUACCAUAUGCUAACUCCACCUAUCCACCCUUGUAACGAGCAUUGAGGUCGGUGACUCCCAACCAAUUAAGGCUUAGGGCACCAGGUUUUAAAGAUUUUCACCAUAUACCCCUCAGACCUUGCUCGGGUUUCAAGGCAAGCAAACAUUUUGCUUUAUUUCUCUUUUUUUUUUUUUUUCAAAGGCUCAUUGGCCUUUCAUAAGGUGUCUCACAUUAUUAAAUGAGGUCAAAGGUACCAAGUCCCAAAAUUUUCCUAAGUCAAGAGGGAAAUAGUUUUUCAUCUUAUAAUCGGAAUCUAUUGUGCACAAUGUGUGGAUAGCUUAAAGCGGAAGAACUAAACUUGAUUUCAAUAGAAGCUUCAACAAUUGAACCACUUUAGUAAGCAUAAUCCAAACUCUAAGUCAAGUGGGAAAUAGAAGUUCAGUUUCUCCUGUUUUAAUUUGAAAAUUUUUCUCAUGAUCCAUGGAGAUUAGAGUAAAAAGUAAAAGACUACAACUAAUUUACCAACAUAACUGAAUUACCAAAAUAACUUAGCAUACUUCCUUCCUCAUUUCUUCCCCCCCCCCCCCCNNNNNNNNNNNNNNNNNNNNNNNNNNNNNNNNNNNNNNNNNNNNNNNNNNNNNNNNNNNNNNNNNNNNNNNNNNNNNNNNNNNNNNNNNNNNNNNNNNNNCCCGGGGGGAUUGGAAAAAAAAAAAAAAACUCCAAAAUUUUUUUCCCAAAAAAGGAAUUUCAAAAAAAAAUUUGGAAAUUUUUUUUCCUUUUUUUUUCCCCCCCCCCCCCCCCCCCCCCCCCCCUCCCAACCGAGCUGAGCAUUGUCCUCAAUGUGAUAUGGGUAAUUGAAAUUAUAGGGAGGAAGUGCUACCUCCUGAGUGAUAUCAAUUUCAAAUAUUGAUUGGAGAAACCACAUGUUUCAAAAAGAAUAAAAGAUGUGAGAAAAGGAAAUAAUAGUAAAUUAAUGCUAAGAGCUAACAAAAAAUGCUAGACUUGUAUUACUUUUAAUUCAUGUGAGUACAAUCGGAAAGAAAGCAAUACAAGCAAUCCCCAUAUAUGAUAUCAAAAUGAUGGGAUUUCAUAAAAGACUAACAAAAACGAAAUACAUAAAAGAAAUAUAUAGUAGAUAUAUAAAUGAUCAGAUGGGUGGAUGAUGUUGGAGAUGAUGGCCUAGGCAGAUGGCUCUGCCUCUUCAAUAGCUGAUUCAGGAGGGGCCUGAGGCUCUGUGGCCUAUGAGUGUGGCACUGCAGUGGUGGGGGUGAGAUGCUCAGCAGCCGAUGGAAGACUGAGAUGAUGCUGGAGCUGCCUCAAGAUGGUAGUGUGCUGAGCCUGGGUGGUCAACAUCUGCUCCUGGUAAGCUCGAAUAGUUGCCAUCUCCUGAGCAAGGCUGCUCUGAGACUCGGUCAGGGUCUGCAGUAUGCGACAUAAAUCUCUAUACUCUGAAAUGGGAAUGGCCAUCCUUGGCUCAGCUAAAGUAGAGGGCUCUGAUGAGGCUGGAGUAACUAGAGGGGCUCUGGAUAUGGUAGGAGAAGUAAUGGGUAUACCCUCAGGUAUAUGAUCUGGAGAUGCUCUCCUGGCAGCUGGUAUCGCAGUUGGCUGUGGGAGCUCUGGCUGCUCAAAUCUAUAUGUUGUCAUAUUGGUCCACUUUUCGAGAGUAAAUACCUCUCGGCAUAUAUGCUUGCGUUCCAGCUGAGGAUCUGAUGGAUACCCCAGAUGCUUCAGAAUCUGACACAGCAGCCGUGGAAAAAGAAGUGGAAUGGCAUCAGCUCGCUGCAGCUUCUUAUGCACCUUCUCUUCAAAAUAGAGAAAGGCAACCAUAAUUAGGUGGUGAGGGCCAAAGAAAUAUCCCUCUGAAAUCUUGAACAGGGCCUCUAAAAGAACUCCUCUCCUCCGAGUCCAAUGCUGUAGUGGAUAAAUGUUGUGACGCAAGAGUGCAUCAAUGAGAAACAUUCUCGGAGAAAGUUCCCCCCUCAUUAGAUGUGGAUUUGUGGAAGCUCUUCUGGACAAGAUAUGAACCAUUUCCAGCUGAGAGGGACUAGUCCAUACUCGGAAAUCCUCAAAAUGGCUUGGCUCGUAUGGUAUAUGUAGGGCCUCUGCUAUAUGGCAAGCUCCUAAAAUGCCAUGCCGACCGUCAAUAGUAAAAUGGAUUAGAGUAGGAUCUCUAACCUGAUUAGUAGUCAUGGACUGAUAAAAAUCCAUGGCUACUCUAGGAUAGAAGAAAUCUCUUGGGGUCAGCAGAUGCUCCAUGCGAUAUCUGCGCAAUAAGUGGAAUGAAUCUGCAAGCUCCGACCUCAAUUUGAAGGUGGUUGUGUCAAAGCACAGCUCAGAGUGAAAUGGUUGAGCUCGGUAGUCCAAAUUUCCUUCAAUUGGUGGUUGAGUCAGCAUCGGACGCCUGAUUAGCACUUCAGGAGCUAUCCCAGAUGGAAUUUGGGAUUCUGAAAGUGGCGGUUGGUGCUCCUGAGGCUCCGCCGAAGGCUCUGACGACGGCACCGAAGAUGGAGCCUGAGAGGACUCUGGUGAAGGAACCAGGGACUGCUCUGUUAAGUCUAUGGGCUUUGAGCUUUCGACCCUGGCUCUCUUUUGCAGGGGACGGCCCCCUGACCUAGUGAAAUAAUGCCUCACCGGAGGAUUCUGUGGUGCGGGCUUCGCUUGAGGCUUUCGUGGUACGGGCUUCGCCUGAGGUGAAGCAGCUUCUGGCCGCGAAGGUUCAGAGGUGGGGCCUUGAACAGGCGCCUCUCGCGGGACUCGUUUGCGGCUGGAAGGAGAGGAAGAUUUGGCUCCUCUGGUUCGCGCCAUAUCGGGUUGACGAAAUUUAGCCAAAAGUGAUGACCGGAAGAGAUGACCGAAGAUUCGCGCGUCGUCGGGCUCGGGCAAGGAAAUGAACGGACGGAUGCUAUGGCGUUUCCUCUUUCUGAAACCCUUUCGCAACUCAAAUGACCGGUAUUUAUAAAAAAUAACGGAAUAUUAAUGGUCAUUUUGAGUUUCGCAGAAGAAAGCUGAUUUCGCAGCAAAAGGGGGGUUUCGCAGAAAAAAGCCCAUUUCGCAGCCCAUUUCGCAGCUUCAAAAUUGGGGUCACUGUGCUGCGGAAUGGCACUCGUGUGCCAAAAUCGAUUUCACAGCUGCAAAAUACCCUACGGAAUGGAGCUUUGGAGCUUCGCAGCCAAUUCGCAGCUUCAAAAUGGGGGCUCCUGUGCUGCGAAGUGGCACUCAUGUGCCAAAAUCGGUUUCGCAGCUGCGAAAUACCCUACGGAAUGGAGCUUUGGUUGCGAAUUUGGGAAUUUUCACGCUUUGGAGCUUCGCAACCGAUUCGCAGCUUCGAAAUAGGGGCUCUUAUGUUGCGAAGUGGCACUCUUGUGCCAAAAUCGGUUUCGUAGCUGCGAAAAUUUUCACAGAGAAGUCAAUUGAGUUGCGAAAUGGUUUCACAGCGAAGUGCUAAUUUCGUAAAGGAUUCUCUUAGGCUGCGAAGUCUCGCAGAGCCCUGUUUUUGCUCUAUUUUUACUCUAUUUUUGCUCUGUUUUUGCUUCAUUUUUGCUCCAAAAGACUUCCUUUCAAUUUCUUUGCAUUUUCUCUUACCUGAGAUCAUUUAAAAAGACUAAAUUACAUAUAAAUACACAAUUUAAGAUCAAAAAUUAAAAUCAAAAGUAUGGAUAAAACUUUGAAAUUUACAAAAUUUACAAAAAUUUUGGACUUUGGUGAAACCAAGUCCAUCAAACCCUUAUUUGCUUAGGCUUUUUGUGGCUCAAGGAGGUUGAUUUCCUCCUUUUCUGGUUUGAAUGACUCCAUGAAUGGCUUGAGAUGAUAUCCAUUGACUCUAAAGGUGUCAUUGCCAUUGGAAUUCAAUAAUUCCACCACUCCAUUGAUAUGUACUUGGUGAAUAAUGAAAGGACCUAUCCACCUUGACUUGAGCUUUCCAGGAAAGAUAUGGAGUCUUGUGUCAUAGAGUAGAACUCUUUGUCCUUUCUGAAAUUCUUUGUUGGAGAUUAGUUGAUCAUGCCACUUCUUCAUCCUCUGUUUUGCAACUUUGGAAUUGAUAUAAGCAUCAUUUCUUAAUUCCUCCAUCUCAUUAAGGUUUAAACACCUCUUUGCUCCGGCUCGGAUCAAGUCCAUAUUCAACUUCUUGAUUGCCCACCAAGCUUUGUAUUCAACUUCCACAGGGAGAUGACACGCUUUUCCAUAGACAAGACGAUAGGGAGACAUGCCAAGAAUAGUCUUAUAAGUUGUUCUAUAUGCCCAUAAUGAAUCAUGAAGCUUAACAGACCAAUCUUUUCUGCUUGAAAUCACCACUUUCAUCAAUAUGUUCUUUAUUUCCCUGUUUGCUAGCUCAACUUGCUCGGAAGUCUGAGGAUGAUACGGUGUAGCUACCUUAUGCUUCAAUCCAUACUUGGCUAAUAAAGUUUCAAAAGGUUUGUUGCAAAAAUGAGUACCUCCAUCACUGAUUAUGGCUUUGGGCACCCCAAAUCUUGAAAAAAUGUUCUCUUUAAGAAACUUGAGAACCACUCUGUGAUCAUUUUGUUUACAGGGGAUUGCCUCAACCCAUUUAGAAACAUAAUCCACCCCCACCAAGAUAUAAGAAUUACCAAAAGACAUUGGGAAAGGUCCCAUGAAGUCAAUGCCCCAUACAUCAAAUAGCUCAACUAUUAGAAUGGGGUUCAUAGGCAUUUGAUUUCUUUUUGUUAGCCUUCCAAGCCUUUGGCAUCUAUCACAACUUCUACACAUGAUGUGGGCAUCUUUGAAAAGAGAUGGCCAAGUAAACCCUGAUUGCAACACCUUCAUAGUUGUUUUCUGAGAGGCAAAGUGGCCUCCACAUGCAUUCUCAUGACAAUGAUUUAGAAUCCCUUGUUGCUUUUCUUCAAGGACGCACUUCCUUAUGAUCUGAUCUGCACAAUACUUAAAAAGGAAGGGCUCUUCCCAAUAAUAAGCAUGAAUUUUUGCAAAGAAAUGCUUCCUGUCUUGUGCAUUCCACUCACUUGGAAUUUCACCAGUAACUAGAUAAUUAGCAAUAUGAGCAUACCAAGGAGUUUUCACUAAGAACAUGAGUGAUUCCUCAGGAAAGUCAUCAUUAAUAGGCAAGGCAUGGGAAUUAUGUGCUAUAACUAAUCUUGAAAGGUGGUCAGCUACCACAUUCUCCACUCCUUUCUUAUCUCUGAUUUGGAGAUCGAAUUCUUGUAACAAAAGAAUCCAUCUAAUCAACCUUGCUUUUGCAUCUUGCUUUGUCAAUAAAUACUUCAAGGCUGAAUGGUCAGUGAAAACAAUGAUGAAAGACCCUACCAAAUAAGCACAAAAUUUGUCCAAGGCAAAUACCACAGCUAACAAUUCUUUCUCUAUAGUUGUGUAGUUCCUUUGAGCUUUAUUCAAUGUUUUGCUUGCAUAGUAGAACACAUAGGGCUUCCCGUCUUCUCUUUGGCCAAACACAGCUCCUAUAGCAAAGUCACAGGCAUCACACAUCAGUUCAAAGGGUAGUUGCCAGUUAGGGGCCCUCACUAUUGGAGUUGUUAAAAAUUUCUUCAGUUGAUCAAAGCUAUUUUGACAUCUUUCAUCCCAUAUAAACUUAGCAUCCUUAGCUAAGAGCUCACAAAGAGGUUUUAAAAGACUUGAAAAACCUUUUAUAAACCUCCUAUAGAACCCUGCAUGGCCAAGGAAUUGCCUUACUCCUUUUACAGUUGUUGGGGAUGGUAAUUUGACAAUAAGCUCCACCUUUGCUUUAUCAACUUCAAUGCCUUUUUCGGAGAUGAUAUGGCCAAGGACAAUUCCUUGACGUACCAUAAAAUGACAUUUCUCCUAGUUGAGCACCAAGUCUUUUUCAAUGCAUCUGUGAAGAACCGCUUCUAAAUUGACUAAGCAUUCCUCAAAUGUACCUCCAUAUACGGUGAUGUCAUCCAUGAAAACCUCCAUAAUUCGCUCCACCAUAUCAUUGAAAAUACUCAACAUACAUCUUUGAAAUGUUGCAGGUGCAUUGCAUAAACCAAAAGGCAUUCUUCUGGAAGCAUAUGUUCCAAAUGGACAUGUAAAAGUGGUCUUUUCCUGAUCUUCCAUAUCAAUUUCAAUUUGAAAAUACCCUGAAUACCCGUCCAAGAAACAAUAGAACAGAUGGCUAGAGACUAUCUCCAACACUUGAUCGAUAAAUGGCAAUGGAAAAUGAUCUUUCCUGGUUACAGCAUUCAACUUUCUAUAAUCAAUACACACCCUCCAACCUGAAGUGAGGCGUGUAGUAAUUUCUUCUCCUUUUUCAUUCUGAACCACAGUAAUCCCUGACUUCUUUGGUACCACUUGAGUAGGACUCACCCAAGGGCUGUUAGAUAUAGGGUAAAUAAUACCUGCUUGAAGUAGCUUCAACACCUCAGCUCGCACCACCUCUUGUAAAUGAGGAUUCAAUUUUCUUUGAAGUUGACGAAUUGGCUUAGCUUCCUCCUCCAUAUAUAUAUGAUGCAUGCAAACUAAAGGACUAAUGCCUUUCAAAUCAGAUAUUUGACAUCCUAUUGCUUUCUUACACCUCUUGAAAACUUCCAGUAAACACUUCUCUUGAUGACUGGUCAGAGAUGAAGAUAUUACGACAGGACAUUGAUUAUUUUCUUCAAGGUAUGUAUAUUUCAGCUCCACGGGUAGAGGCUUCAAAUUGAGUUUUGGUGUCUCUUUCUCAGCAGCCGCUCCUUCUUCUUUAUUGAACAAAGGUAGAAUCUCUUCUAUCCUCCUCCAACUUUGUAGAGUAGCAAGCACAUUAGAGGGUUCAGACAAACCUUCCUUAAAAUCCACAAAACUUUCAUUCAACUUGUCUUGCAUAUUCUGAUUACAGUGCUCCUCUACUAGAGUGUCAAUAAUGCACACCUCUUCUGGACCCUCUUCUUCUUCUGGAGUGGUUUGCUUUUUAGACAUAUAAAAAAUGUUGAGAUCAAGUGUCAUGUUUCCAAAAGUGAGUUGCAUGAGCCCAUUCCUACAGUUGAUGAUUGCAUUUGAGGUAGCAAAGAAUGGCCUUCCAAGGAUGAUAGGAACUAAAUUAGCUUCCUUUACAGUAGGAUUUGUAUCAAGAACAAUAAAAUCCACCAGAUAGUAGAAAGUAUCAACUUGAACCAAGACAUCCUCAAUUACCCCCCUUGGAAUUUUUACUGAUCUAUCUGCUAGAGAUAGAGUAAUUGUUGUUGGCUUCAACUCACUAAGUCCCAAUUGCUUGUAGACAGAGUAUGGAAGCAAAUUCACACUUGCUCCCAAGUCUAACAAAUCUUUCUCCACUACCUUUCCUUCCAAUCAUGACUGAAAUGGUCGGACUUCCCGGAUCUUUGUACUUCAAAGGAGACUUACAUUGUAAGAUUGCACUUACUUGCUCAGUUAAGAAGGCUUUCUUAUUUACAGCCAACCCUCUUUUGAUAGUACAUAAAUCCUUUAGGAAUUUUGCAUAUGUUGGAACUUGUUUAAUCAUAUCCAACAGUGGGAUAUUGACUUUCACUUGUCUCAAUACUUCAAGAAUUUCAGAUGCAUUUCUAAUCCCCUUUUGCCCAUGCAAUGCUUGAGGAAAAGGUGGAGAAGUUGAUUUCUUCAGCAUUUCUUCCUUCAGAAGUUCCUUCUCUGGAUUUUCUUUCAUUGUUGACUCAUAGUCCUCUUUCUUUUCACUGAUCUCUCUCUUUUUGUCUUCCAUUUCCUCCCCUUUCUUUGUCUCUUCUUCUUCCUCAACAUGUGCCUUGGGUGUUGGCUUCUCAAUUUUUUGAUCACUCCUUAGAGUGAUCAAGGCUUUGACAUCUUUCAUCUGUGAUGAUUCUCCCUCAUGGCUUUCCACUUCAUGGACACCCUUGGGGUUUUGGUGAGGUUGAGAAGGAAAUCUUCCCUUUUCUUGCAAUGUGUUCAAAUUGGUGAGCCUUGAGAUUGAGUAUUGGAGAUUAUCUAUCUUUUGGGAUAUAUCAUUUUGCAUUCCAUCCAUCCUUUUGUUCAUAGUACUCUCUACUCUGUCAAUUCUUUGAUUAAGUUGAGCAUUGAUGGCUUUUUGGUCUCCAACAAAAUCUCCCAUUACCUUGUUGAGAUUCACUAUUGCUUGUUCAAGACUUGAAAAUUGUUGAGAUGGUUGAUCCGGCUGUUGGUACUAAGGUGCUCUGGCCUUCCAUGAAAAAUUUGGAUGAUUCCUCCAACUCGAGUUGUAAGUAUUUCCAUAGGGUGCAUUGUUAUUGGGCUUGAAUUGUCCAACAACAUUUUCUUGAUCUCCAAACAUUUCCCUUUCAGCUGAGAUUGUAGGGUAUUCCUCCACCAAGUGUUCAUAUGAUUGACAAUUAGGACAAAGUUUCACUUGCACCGGUGCUUCAGCAACAGCUUGCACUUCAUGCAUCUUUUUCAGCUCCAGCUCCUCCAAUCUUCUUGUCAUAGCUGCAAACUUUGCUUUCAUAUCAUCAUCUUCUUUCAAGGUAUACAUCCCAACCUUAGCAUUGAAAGCACUCAGUUGAGACUUCAUCUUUCCCACUUCUCCUUUGAUUGGUUCAUCCCAUCCCCUUGAAACUUCAGCUACAUAACUCAAGAAAUCCAUAGCUUCCUACGGAUUUUUGCUUAUGAAAUCUCCUCCACACAUUGUCUCGAGGAGUUGCUUCAUUGAGGAAGACAUCCCAUCAUAAAAAUAGCUCACCAAUAGCCAAGUAUCAAAACCAUGGUGAGGGCAAGCAUUUAUAGCUUCCAUAUAUCUUUCCCAACACUCAGAAUUUCUCAUUCUCUUUAGCUGAGAAGUUUGAAAUUUGCCUUUUCAAGCCAUUUGUUCUAUGUGUGGACCCGCAUUUUUCACGUGCGUCCCCACUCGAUCGGCGAGACUCGCUUUUUUAUUUGUGAAAAAUUAAUUUUUGGAAAAAGUUGGAGUCGCCACUUAUUUUAUUUUAUUUUAAAGGAAAAAUAAAACAAGAAAGAAAAACCCUAAAAUGUGACUCCAUAAUUUUUGGAAAAAACAUGUCUUUGAAAAACCCGAGUCUAAGUCCGGGGAUCAGGUUACCUAUUGGGAAGGUACCUUUAAAAGGUAGCACCCCUCUAAGCCCUUUAAAGGUCUCUACUAACUAAGUUAAGGGGAAUGUGGCAAUUAGUCGGUUUAAUUAUGGAUACCUAAGUAGGCUAGGUGGUUCCAAAAAAAAAGCAUGCCAAACAAGAUCAAAUCAUAAUAAAGGAAGGUUAGGAUGCGUACCCGGACCGCUUCUCAAACGCUAUCAUAAAACAUCGAUGGUUAAUUUAAACAAUAUAUCAUCCAACAUGCAUUUUAUUAGAAAUAAUCAAACAAUGAAACAUGUAUAUCAGAACACUCAAGCAUUAUUAGACAUAAGCAUUAUUUCACAAUGACAAGCAUAUUCACAGAAUUCAGAAAGUAGGUGAUAGAGGACAUACUUGGAUAGCAUAGAUAAUUUGUAACGUACUUCCUCAAGUUGUAAGGGGUAAGAUAAUAAAUAAUAAAAUAUAGAAAUCCUAGCAUGCUCGUUAUCUAAUUAGCAUAGCAAAAGUGAUCACAGUAUACAGAAUCAUCAAUUAUCUCAUACAUCUUGUAUAUAAUUCCUAAAAAAAUAGAUAGACAUGAUUUCAACAAGUGUCAAAUGUGGCAACAAAAAUAAAUUUUGAAAAGAUUUUCUUAUGUAGGGGUUUCACCAAUUCCCCAAAUUAGUAUACACGAAUUUAGCCUAGAAUUAUCCCAUUUAUUUGGGACCACAAGCUUUGAUUCGUGUUUUUGUUCAAAAUCAAAAUUUUUGUUGAAAACCGAGAAGGAUGCAAACCGAACAAGAUAUGGUUGCAUAUUAUUUUUUUAAAAUAAUAAAAAAAAAAGAUUUUGAUCCUGAGGACUCUAAAUGAGUUUUUGAAAUAGAUUUUUAAAAUGAUUUUUUUGAGAAAAGUAUUUUAUUUUAAAAUAAAAGGAAUUAAUUUGGGAAAAAAUAAAAUGAAAUAAAAUACUAAACAAAACAAAAAUGAAACCUCAAAGUAAAAAAAUUUUAGUGAUUAACAAAAAUGAUAAUGGUGAUGGUAGAGGCCAAUCUUCAUGGUUUUCCAAUGGCCUCAGAAAGAAAAUCAAAUUAAAUGAAGGAUCACUAACAGGCAAGACAUUCUAAAUUAGACAAACUAACAAAGUAUCAAUUCAUGAACUAAUCGCUAGAAUUUUAAAAGCAUAUAAGCUAAGAUAAGGGUGAUCAGGAACUAACAUUAAUGAUUUUGAAAUAAAAACUAAAAAGGGAUCAAUUCGGGUAAGGAACUAAAAUUAUAGAAGUACCUAAACUAAUUAUAAUGAGUUUGACUAAAUUAAACUAAAAACAUGAACUUUCAAACAUAGAAUUAAUUUUACUAAUGAACCAAAGCAAACUAAAAAUAUGUACUUUCAAGCAUGGAAUUAAUGUUAUUGAUGAACCAAAAAUUGUGAACGUGUCUAAACUAAAUAGAUGAAUUAAAUUAAAUCAAAGUACACUAAAAAAACAUGAACUUUUAAAUAAAGAAUCAAUUUUGUCAAUAAACUAAUAAAACUAUAAAAACACAUAAACUAAUUAAAAUGAACGAAAUUAAAUCAAAGAGUACUAAAAAUAUGAACUUUCAAACAUGGGAUCAAUUUUACUAAUGAAUUAAAACUAUAAAAAAACACCUAAAAAUAAUGAAUAUAAAUUAUUAAAUCAAAGCAAACUAAAAACUGAAACUUUCAAACAUAGGAUCAAUUUAAUUAAUGAACUAAAACUAUAAAAACACAUAAACUCAUUCAAGCUAAACUAACAAAUAAAUUAAUACCAAAUUAUAUUACGACUUAAAAAAAAUCCACUUCAUCUAAUAAAAUUGAUUAAGCUACCCCAUUAGAAUAAAAAAAUGCAUUUUUAAAAUAAAACAAAUUAAUAAUUUAUUGACUAAAACUAAAGUAAUCGAAAUUAGAAACAAGAUGCAAUUUUUCUAAAAGAUUUAAUCAAACAAUUGAAUUAAAAUUAUGAAUAUAAUAAAUUAAUAAACCAAAUCGAAACCUCAACCCUAUCUAAGAAAAUUAAUUAAUUCAACUAAUAGAUCAAAAGUAACAACGAAAUUAAACUAAGUAAAUUAAGACAAAGCCAAUUAAAUUAAAAUCACAAACACGUUUAAACUAUCAUAUGGAUUAAAACAAAUUAGCAUGGACUUAUGAAUUAUGAACCCGUAAAAAAAAGACAUCUAAUGAAAAGAAUGAAAACUCUUUCAAAAACUAACCUGUGUUAUGGGAGAAAAAUUCGUCUUUAAUGCGUUGAAGUGGCUACUCUAUUAAAAUUUGAAAGCCUCUGUUACUUCCCUUCCUCCAGAAAAUUCUCACUCCUUUACGUAUCCUCUGCUCCAGCAAAAUAAUAUCCCCCCAGAAAAAAAUCCCUCCUUUGCUCCAGAAAAAAAAUAUAUCUCCCCAUGUGGAUCCCCCUGCCCCUGUUUAUAUGGUAGCACUUUCCUUUUUUUUUUUUAAUAUUCUAUUUCUUUUUUGAAUGCAUGUGGAUCCCAGGAAAGUGCAUGCAUCAUGGCUUAUGAUAUACGGUGGAAUUUACAUGAUUGCCCAUGCCCAACUUGGAAAUUUUGAUCUGAUGGGCUCAGAUGAAUCUGCAUUUGAGACCCCAACCUGCAUAACACUCCUCCAUCAUCUGAUUUGAAUGCCUUUGUUCCCGCCAUCUCUCAAUAUAUUACAAUCCUUGAGAAUCAUUGAUGCUGUCGACGAAGAGGAAGUCAUCGAAUCUGCACCCUCUGAGUAGUUGGUUGAGUCUGCACACAAGUGAUCACGUGAUUCCCUGCCCGAGAGUUGCUCGCUCUUCACGAUUCGUUGCCAAUGACUGGGCCGACACCGGAGACUCCGUCCCAUUAGAUCGUGGUGGUCGAUCGCCAGCGUUCCAGUCAAGGAGGCGAAGUCUGAGGCGUUGACCACUGCCGCAGCUACGUUGAGAAUGCUAUGAAAUCUCCCGAAGGGACGUCGGAUCUGGACGGUGGUGAGGGAGGAGUGCAGCAGUGUUGCAGGUAGAGGAGAUCACAUCGUCGGAGAGGUGGCGUUGGUGAGGGCAUUCGCGAUUAUGUUCUUUGAUGGAUUCAAGCUUUUUUUGUCACUCGCGAUCAUGGUUCUUCCGCUCUGAAUCGCGAUCCUGGUCUCAGUUUCUGGAAGAGCAGUGGUGGCGGUUAUGGUGGUGAUGACGGCGGAAGCCAUUGGAGGCGUCUUCGUCCAUGUUAGAUUUGGUCGGCGAUGGUGAGAAGUGCAGCAGUGUUGUGACAUGGAGAUGGCGGAAAGAAAACCAGAAAAAGAAUCGUGAUGAAGGUGUGAUCUCCUGUUCUCUAAGAAAAUGGGUGUCCAAGGGAAAGAUGGUGAUUCCAUCCUUGAGUAUGAAGGUUAUGGAGCUCCGAAAAUGGGUGUUUGAUGACCCUUUCUCACUUUUUCAAUGAAGAAUUCAAGAAAACGCCCCCUAGUCUUAUUGUCGAUGUGGUGGUUUCUUUUUAUACCGGCAUCAAAAGUCACUGUAAUUCUCUCUGUCAUUCAUUCUCGGGUGUGAUGUGAAUGCUCCCUUGCUCGCGUGUCCUUCACGCCAGAUCAUCCUCUCUAGAGACUUCCAGAGAAACUCCAAAAAUGUCUGACCUCCCAUGCCCUCCUCAUGUGAUAGCUUCAUCAACUUCAUCCUUCUUUAAAAUUCCUCUCCCCAUGCAAAAUAGAAUAGAAUAAUAGUAUAAAAAAAAAAUUUCAGAAAACUAAUGAAAUUAGUAAUAAAAUAGAAUAUGAUGUCAAAGAAAAAGCAAGGGAAUAAGGAGAGAUUAGAUAACAUCAUUUUUCUCAUUCAAUAAUAGGGUCACAUGCGUAUUUAAAGUAUAAACAAUUCAAGCAAUUUUUUUUUUAUUAAGUAAAUAAAUAAAUAAAUAAAAAUAAAUAAAAUGAAAUAUAUAAAGACAAUUAAAUACAUGAAUAAAUAAAUAAUAAAAAGUAAAAGUAAAAAUGAAUAGACAAAAUAAAUGUAAUUAUCAAAUGCAUGCCAUAAUAAUAAUAAUAUUAUAUAAAAAAAAUAAAAAAUAAAAAUAAAAUAAAAAUAAAAAAUAAAAAAUAAAAGUUGAGCCUUAAUGAAAUGUCUAAAUGGACCUAUUCUAAAAAAGGUGUCUAAGUGACCUAAGUGACAUGUGUGUAAGUAAGGAGGUGUCUCGGUGCGAGUCAAGGUGAAUCUAGGUGGGCCUAGGGUGCCUAAAUGGACCUAGGGUGCCUAAAUGGGCCUAAGUACCUAAGUGGGCCCAGGGUGCCUAAGUGGACCUAAGAUGGUGCUUAAUGGGCCAAGUGUAUCUCAAAACUAUCCUAAAAAUGAAUGGAAAGCCUAAUUCUAAAUUAAGGCUGCCAAAGGUCACAAUAAGGGGUCAGAUAAUCCCUCAACCAAAGUCUUCGAGGUGGCUUAAAAAAGGUAAGUAGUAUGAGUGGCUAUGAGCCAUCGAAGAACUACUGUAAAGUAUCAAAUAAGUAUCUAAUAAGACAUGUGCUAGGAGGAUAAAAUUGAGGGUCUACACUAUGAGUGGGAAAAAAAUUCUUGAGGAAUUCAGCUUGUAAGUCAGUCCAAGUGCGGAUACUCCUUGGCCUUAAAGAAUUAAGCCAAAUUUUGGCCUUAUCCUUUAAAGUGAAAGGAAAUAACUUAAGCCUCAUCAAAUCAAUUGAAGCUCCUCCCUCUUGGAAUGUAUUACAAAUAUCUUCAAAUUCCUUGAUAUGUGCGUAGGGAUUCUCACUUUCCAUCCCAUGGAAAGUUGGUAGAAGUGGAACAAUAUACGGUCUAAUCAAUAGUUGCUCUGUAGGGGGCACUAUAUAUGAUGGUGCACUCAUACGAGGUGGAUGCAUGCGGUCCCUCAUUGAUCUAAAUUCAUUGAGAUUGUCUUGACGACCCUGGUGACUAUGCUAAUCUUCAAGUGUAGCUUCCAUGAUAUUCAAGCUCAAUUCCAAUUCCUUGUUAUGAGGUGUAUCACGUUUAACAAGCCUUCCUCCACUGUCUCGUAUCCAAUUUGGCAUACACAACUAGUAUCUAUCUGUAACUAAAAUGAAAAUAAAGGACAACAAAAGAAAACAUGGCUACAAAAACAAAAUAAAACUAAACUGAAUUUUAAAAGAUAAAUUUAGAUUAUGAAUAAGUAAAAAAAAUGAAAAUUAAUAAAGCAAAAGAAACGUUACCAAAUUUGUGAUGAAAAUCACAAGUACUCUAAAAUAGUAUCACUAUAAACUUGACACCUUCCCCGGCAAUGGCGCCAUUUGAUUCGUGCCCAAUUGGUGUCACAGUUGAUUCAUGUCCAACUGGUGCUCAUUGAUUAAGGGAGUAAUCAACAAAAUUUAUAACCUAUUACACCAUAUACUAGGGUAGCAAAGAAAAAGCUACUACAGCAUAGUGGUUCUAGGAUCGUUCACUGGGAAGGGUUUUCAAAUUACAAAUGAUACAAAUUCAAAGUGAAUUGGUGCUGUUUCAUUUCAAGGUUAGCUUAAGAAAUAAAACACAAACUUUGGUUGAAAAAUGUUUAGAUUUAAACUAAGGGCAAAGCAAGUAAUGGAAAUUACUUAUGAAGAAAAACAUUCCUUGGAGAUUUAGGUUCACAGGGGAGGUUCCUAAUGCAAAAACAUAGCUCCGGUCAGUUGGUUCAUUUCCUCGUAUUAGAGAAUUAACAUAUAGUCAAUUCUCUAACCGGUGUUGUACAGAUGCAUCCCUUAAUUGGAUUUCAACUCUAAUUCUCUCUCACUGAUGCAACUUGCAAUGGUUCGUGCCUCUCACUUAGCAUUUACCAUUCAAGGUGAUCUUUAACCUUGGACUUCCCUUCUCAAGCUCGCAAGAGAUAAUUAAUGGAUGCCUCCUUGGAGUCCAAAAGCUUACCAAGUGUUGGCAAUUCUAGAAAAUCCUACCUUCAAGUCACUUCCCAGAGGCUCGCAAGGGGUAAACUAGUGCAUCUCCAUGGACGGAGAUCACUUGCCUUACCAAGUGUUGGCCCAGGUGACUCCAAGGCUUUUUAAGUUAACUAAAAAUAUAGAAAUCACUAAAGGAUCACACUUUCUCUUCAUUCAUGGCUGAAACCACAAAGCUACUUAUUCUUGCACUUGGAACCUUUCCCGGCAACCUUAGCUCCAAGGAAUGUUUUUCUUCAUAAGUAAUUUCCAUUACUUGCUUUGCCCUUAGUUUAAAUCUAAACCUUUUUCAACCAAAGUUUGUGUUUUAUUUCUUAAGCUAACCUUGAAAUGAAACAGCACCAAUUCAGUUUGAAUUGGUAUCAUUUGUAAUUUGAAAACCCUUCCCAAUGAACGAUCCUAGAACCACUAUGCUAUAGUAGCUUUUUCUUUGCUACCCUAGUAUAUGGUGUAAUAGGUUAUAAAUUUUGUUGAUUACUCCCUCAAUCAAGGAGCACCAGCUGAACAUGAAUCAGCUGUGACACCAAUUGGGCACGAAUCACUUGCAUAUAGGGCUUAUUCAUUUUGAGAGGAUGUAUUCAUACUAGGGCGUAGCUACCUUGCUGAUUUUGACAUUAAGACUCGACCUUCUUUUAAUGAUUGCUAUUUUUGAUGGAUUAUAGAGUUGUUGACACCCUGGGUUCAGUCUUCUCAGCAUACUUGGUUCGACUUGGAUACCCACUUUUCUUCGUUAGACAUCCAGACAUCCUACAUUUGACACCAUUAUACCUACAUCCAUCUUUUCAGAGCCUAACAAAUAUUGAGCAUGCUUAUCUCACUAUUGAGCAUGACCUUAUCCCUUUCUCUUUAUCAAGGGAGGAUGCAGACCAAUCUUGAGUUUUCUGGUCAAGUUUUCAGAUGCCUCUAGACAUUAGGUUCAACAUCUUCCAUGAUGGCAUGACCUAUUAUAUUGUUUAUGUAUUUGUGAUGAUGUUUUCGUAUUGAUAGUUGAUAUAUUAUGUCUUGUUUUGCUUACAUUUCAGACUUGGAGUCUUGGUUAGCAUUUGUCUAGUCCAUUAUUUUAGUUUUGCUUUGUCAGUAUAAUUUCUAUGAUGUAUGGUCUUGUUUAAGCAUUUAUUCAUUGAUGUUAAACUUUUUCAUUGCAUCAUCGUUGAGCAUAUCCUAGAGUGUUUUAUAUGGUGACAUUCUGUGUCGUAUGUUAGUUACUAUUUUACAUUGGGGCAUACCCCCAUCCUUGAGUUCAUCAGAUCUUUUGCAGAUUUUCUCACUGCUCGAUCUAUUUCUUGAUCUUUGCAAGUCGUCAUACUGAGGCAUACCUCCUUUAGCACUCUUCUAUUGGGGCAUACCCCUCUCUUUGGGUUUAUCACAUCUCAUGCUGAUUUCAUGGUUGUUAGACCCAUUUUUCAAUCUUUACGAGUUAUCACCUAGGGCAUCCCCCUACCUUUAGUUUGUUUGGGACAUUCCAUUUCAUUUAGCUUGUUUAGGGCAUCAUCCUACCAUCAGUUUGUUUAUGGCACUCUUUUUUUUUUCUUCAGUUUUUCUGGGGCAUUCUCCUACUAUUAGUUUGUUUAGGGCGCUCCCUCCUCCCCCCCUCCCCCUUUUUUCUUCAGUUUGUUUAAGGUAUCCCCCUAUCGUCAGUUUGUUUAGGGCAUCCUAUUUUCUUCAGUUAUCUAACCACCGUGGAUUAGACGUCCAUAGGCAUUUCAAUUAUCUUACCACCAUGGAUUGGACAUUCAUGGGCAUUUUAGUGAUUCUCACCACCAUUGAUCAGACAUCUAUAGGCAUUUCAAAUUCACCACCAUAGAUUAUCAUUUAUGGGUUUUGAUCAGUUUUCACCACCAUAGAUCAGACAUCUAUGUGCAUUUCAGAUUCCCACCAUAGAUUUUCAUCUAUGGGCCUUGAUCAAUUUUCACCACCAUAAAUCAAACAUCUAUAGGCAUUUCAGAUUCACCACCAUAGAUUAUCAUUUAUAGGCCUCAAUCAGUUUUCACCACCAUAGGUUAGACAUCUAUGGGCAUUUUAGAUUCACCACCAUAAAUUUUUAUCUAUGGGCCUUGAUCAGUUUUUACCACCAUAGAUUAGACAUCUAUGGGAAUUUCAGAUUCACCACCAUAGAUUAUCAUCUAUGGGCCUCAAUCAAUUUUCACCACCAUAGAUUUUCAUCUAUGGGCUUUGAUCAAUUUUCACCACCAUAGAUCAGACAUUUAUGGACAUUUCAGUUUCACCACCAUAAAUUAUCAUCUAUGGGCCUCGAUCAAUUUUCACCACCAUAGAUCAGACAUCUAUAAGCAUUUCAGAUUCACCACCAUAGAUUUUCAUCUAUGGGCCUUGAUUAGUUUUCACCACCAUAGAUUGGAUAUCUAUGGGUAUUUUAGAUUCACCACCAUAGAUUUUCAUCUAUGGGCCUUGAUCAGUUUAUCACCACCAUGGAUCGAACAUCUAUGGUCAUUUUAGAUUCACCACCAUAGAUUGUAUAUUUAUGAGCAUUUGUUACAAUUAUCUCACCAUCAUAGAUUUUCAUCUAUGAGCAUUUGUUUUAGUUAUCUCACCACCAUAGAUUGGACAUCUAAGGGCAUUUCAGUCGAUUUACCACCAUAGAUUUUCAUCCUUGAGCCUUUGAGAUUAUCACCACCACAUAUUUUUAUCUAUGGGCCUUUGAGAGUUUCACCACCAUAGAUUGGCAUCUAUGGGCAUUUCAAUUGUAUCACCACCAUAGAACUUCACCUAUAGGCUUUCUAAUUUAGCGUUUAGAGUUAGCUUUUUAGUUUGGCUUCUAGAGCCAUUCUUUUCUCAAUUUAGUGUUUAGAGACAGUCUUGCCAUUCAAAGCCACAACUCUUGAUAUUCAUGAUCACUAACAUUACAUGAUUUGUUCUCACAGUUUCAUAUUCCACCUUACUUCUCUCUUCGUUGAAUAUGUGCUUCUCACUUCAUUAUGAUAUUCUAAAGUUUCUUCUCAUCUUUUGUGUAGGAUAUAGCUCUGUGAGCUCGUAGCAUGUCUUAUUUGUAUUGUUGGAUACCUUAUGCCUUGUGUCCUUGUAUGUUACAUGUAUGGUUUUUUCCUUUGUACACUUUCGUUCUUGUGCUCCUUGGUGGUUUGAUUGCUCCUCGACUUCGACAUCAAUUUUUGAGUCAUUUUUUGAGACUUUUAUGAGGGAGUAUGGAUCCAUAGUGUAUCUUUAGAGGCACCUUAGGAGUUUUCGUUAUUGCCAUUUAUGUAGAGUUUUAGAGCCUCUUUGUUCUUGUUUUGGUCUAAGAAAGCUUGUGUCAUACGAGGACAAAUUUGGUGGUCUUUCUUAUUCUUUGGUAGAGCUCACUUUGUUUUGCUUAUGUAUACACUCACUUUACUCAUGGACUCUACCGAAGAAGGGCAUAUUUGUAGACCCCAAAAUUUGUCCCAAUUUUAUUUUUACAUUAAUUUUUAGCCUAAUUUUACUCUUAAAAUUAAAUCCCGAUUACAUAUGAUAUUUUGGCCCACACACAAUUUAAUUAUUAAUUUUUAUUAUUUUGUAUAUUAUUUUAUUAUUAUUAUUAUUAUUAUUAUUAUUCAUUUGUUUGUGUGAUUUGAAUUAUUGAAUUAAUAUGAAAUUUAAGCUUUGUUAAUUAAUAUGGAAUUUGGGUUAAUUUGUUAUUGGAGAAUCAAUAUGAAAUUUGGGUUAAUUUAUUGUUGGUGAAUAAAUUUGGAAUUUCUUAAUUUGGGUUAGAUUAGUUGAUAAUUUAUAUAGUUGUACUCAUUUGAAUUAUUUAAUUUGGAUAUGAUAUAAUAUUUUGGUAUAUUUUGGAUGUGGGUUUGCAUAUUAAAUUGAUUGAUUUUGGUUGUGGAUUUAGGUUUGCAUAUUAAAUUAGACUUAUAUUAUGGGAUAUUAAAUUUAGGCCUAAUGGGAUUUAUUUUAAUUUGUCAUGUUUUUGGUUUGAUUAAUUGAGCUUAUAUUUUGGCUAUUAAUUUGGAAAUUUUGGAUUAGGGCCUAUGACAUGUGAGAUAUUUUGUUGGGUUCUAUUUGCUAAUUUGGGCCCAUCUUGAUUGACAAAAUUUGUUGGACUAAUUUGAAAUUUGAAUUUGAGCUUGAAUAUCUAUUGCUUAUUUUAUACAUCUAUAGAUAAUUUACAUUUGAGCUUUUUUUUUUUUUUUGCAUAAUCUCAUUCUGCAAUUCUAUUGGUUGAGUAUGAAUUUAUGACACGUGGAGUAUGGAAUUUCAUGGAAGAAAGUAAGAUUCGAAAAGCUGUAGGAAGAUAUUGAGCUUGUUGUAAGCUUGUUUGAGUACACGUUUUAUUACUUACUUUUAUUUGGUUUUAAUUUUAUUAGUUUCUGUAAAUAUUUGCUUGUAUAUGUUUAUUAGUUGUGUAUAGAAUUGAAUAUCGAACAAAUCAGAGAUUUUGUUUAAAUAAGAGGAACAAUUCAGUAAACAUGUUUUAAUAAAAUAAUUGUUCAGAAAAUAUUUUUUUUAAUAAAAGAAAGUUUUUUUAUUAAUAAAAAUUCAGAAAAAUGCUUUUAGAAAAAUCUAAAAAAAAUAUUGUUUUUAAUAGAAUUUGAAAAAUUGUUUUUAAUAAUAAUUGUACAAAAAUUUCUUUGUUUAACAAAAAUUGUCCAAAAAUUGUUUUGUAAAUAAAGGUUUCCCAAAAAUUAAUUUUUAAUUAAUUUUUUUUUGCAAAUAAAGUUAUCUAUAUAUAUAUAUAUAUAUAUAUAUAUAUAUAUAUAUAUAUAUAUAUAUAUAUAUAUAUAUAUAGAAAACAAUUGUUUUCACCAGAUUUUUUUUUUAUAAAAAUAAAUAGACUCAUUUAAUCAUGUUUUCUAAAACUUGGUUUUAUAAAUUAUUUUUUGUUGUUUAACUUAAAAAUAGUUUUUAAAAACAAAUUUUAGAAAACAUCAUCAAACGGAUCUUUAAUUUUCGUUCUUCUAUGGAGGCCUAUUCCUACCUAUUCUAAAAAAUAAAUUUUUAUUUUUAAAAAAUAAAAAAAUAAAAAAUAUGUUUAACAAACAAAAAAACAUAAAACAUUUCUUUUUGUUGAAAUGAAAUGUUUUGAAAAUUGACGUACGAAGGAACAGUGGGAGCCCCCCCUCUAAAUGGACCUUUGUUUCAAGAAUCACUAAAAACGCUUAAAAAUGGCCCUUCUUUUUCUUCUUUCUUCGCCUUUGAAUAAUAUAAUAUAAUCCAAAAGAAGAUUUAGAAGAUGCGUAGAUGAGGAGUAAUAACAUGCCCAUGAAACUCAUGCUACACAGUUUAUGAGGUAGGCAUUGGCUAAAUUCAAUGUUACAUCUCUAACAAAUAAGACAUUUCAAACAAAUGAAGAAUGGACUGAUGGCCUACAAUAUGUAUUUUAUAAAAAUUUUAAAAUCAUAUUUAGCAAAAACUUAAAAAGAGAAAAAAAAAAAAAAAGGGGGGAAACUUGUGUUUUAGGUCGUCCAUUUGGACAUAAUAGGUUUUUCUGAACCUAAAAGUUGGAAAUCCAAGAUUUCCCCAUUAAUAUGGAAAAAUAUAUGAUUUUUAUGCACUCUAUGCUAAGUGGUCUUUUUAUACCCACUUUACCCUUACCCAAUCUCCAUAUCAGCAUCCAUGUUGCAUUAUUGCAGUCUGAAAUUUCCCAAACAACAUUUCUCUCUUUCAUUGACUUCUUCAUCACCCGAACAGAGUGUCAUUUGAAAUUUCCCUAUUUCCGAAACAAGAUUUAUGUCUUCCUCUCAUUUUUGCCUAACUUGAACCUGAGACGGUUGAUUCAACGAAAGAAACACAAGCAUUCCCCUCAAAUCGUCUCUCUCCUACUCACUGACACACCUACCAUGGGCAACACCUCUUCCUCACUAUUGUCGCCGUAUUUUCUAUUUCCACCUCUAGAUCCAACGCUUCCACCUUUCUCUGUUACCUCUCUCAAUGUUCAAAGCCUGAACCUCUCUGGUGAAAUAUUUGCUAGUGAAACUUAAACUAAUAAUAUUUUCAUUUUGAGGUUAAAUUUAGAGAUUUUUUUUUUUUUUUACUUCGUUACUUUCUAAUGCCUCCCAUCUUCGUCAUUACUGAUAGGGUUGUUGAAGAUGGAAGACACUUUUGUAAUGUUUUGGAAGGUCAACUCAGAAACAAAGGCCCAAUUUGUUCUCGUAUCUGUACUUUUAGCAUGGAUAUCGGUUCAGUGAAAACCUCUUAUGUUCUUGAUCUCACAAUCUUGUAGUGCUUCUAUUCCUUAUGAAUUUUCCAUUCAUUUUUUUUCUUUUUUAUAUGAAUGACUUUACAUGUUAUAUUAUAGUCAUAACUUCUUACAAAUGCUAGCAUGGAUUGGAAGAGGUUACUAUGAUGUUGGUCAGUUAUAUUGGUUUGUAACUUUUAUUUAUUUCUUUCUCACAAAUAUUAGCACUGAUGUGGAACUAAUUCAUUAAUUGUUGUUCAUGUUGAUAGUACUAAUGCUAAUGUUGAAAGAAGGCAACAAGGAAAAAGUAAAAAAUUAUUAGUUUGGAGCCUAGUUGCAUGAAUCCCUUUGCCAUUGUUUAUAUAAAUAAGGUUAGUUUUUCAUCUUAAUACAAUGUUUAUAACAAUAUAUUGCUAUAGUUUCUAACUCAAGGUCUUCUUUUGGUUUUAACUAAAAAAUAUGCAGCGCACUACUUCUUAAUUGCAUCUCGAUAUGCUCUUCCUCCCUUCAACCAUCCAAAUCCUGCUCCUAUAAAGAGUGAAGAUAGAAAUGAGAGAUUAAGGAUUUGAUACCUAUUGAUGUUAUAUAUGAAUUAUUUUAUUUCAUUGUUUCUGUAUCUUAUAAUUGUUUUUCUACUUUUGUAGGUAUUUAAGCAGUGACUUUAGUAAUCACCCCCUAUCAUACCUCAUGGCCUCUGUAUUUGGCAUGCACCACAAAGAAAAUGUUAAGGUAUGUUGCUAGUGAACAAUUCGACAUUCCCAAUCUAAGAACCUGAUCUCACUUGCCAUAUGCAUUGCUAGUAUGCAUUAGAAUGUAAAAGCUUCCUUUUUUCCUGUCAUUUUUUAGUGUUAGGUGUUUUGUUAUGCCUUCAGUCUAAAUGGUUCAACUUAAUAGAGACAUCAUAUUCAAUCAAAAGCCGAGCACUUUUAGAUGGUUUUACCAUGUCAUUUGAUAUGAUUGACAAACUGAUUAAUGAAGACAAGAUAUAGCUCCUUAUAAACCUCAAUGGUUAUACCAAGGUAUAUAGUUUUAGUAUGAUGUAAUUGCUUUUUGUUAACAAUGUAAAUAAUUAGGUAUCAUCUUAGUUUACUCUUUAUUUAUUUUGUUGGGGCAUAUAGUUAUGGUAUCAGUUACCACACAUGUUUAAAGUUGAAUGCUCUUACUGAGUUUAGUUUGUGAAAUUUGUUUAUAAUGUUUACCAUUUAUUCCCUCCAGCUUUGCUAUGAGUUUGGUGAGUAUAUAGAGCCCAUUAGCUCAAAAACUGUUGUCAUUCUUAAAACAGUAAAAGGUUUCUCUGGAGAAGAACCCAAAACUCAAGUCCUGUGCAUGGCUAUUUUUUUUAUGGUUGGUUACUCUUCCCCCUACUCCUAAAUGGGUUAUUAAAGAUGACCAUUCUUCACACAGUGUAAAUACUAUAAUAUAGAAUUCACUAACCUUUUUUAAUGCUCUCAUGGCCUAAAAUUUUGUUGCUUUUGUUUAUGAGGUGAAUUCUUAACUCAUUUGUAAGUGUUAUGUAUUAUUAUUACUAUUUCACUUGUUUACUUUUGUUUAGAGGUUUAGAGUUUGACUGUAUAUUUAUUUAUUUGAUUAUGUGAUUUUAGGUCUCAAAAUAGGAACUGGUUUUUGCUCUAAAAAUAGAAAUCACAAAUAGAUAUAUUUAAAUGGAGUAAUCUUGCAAACUAUGGUUUAACCUUACUUUUCCUAUGAAAAUUGAACUUAUUUUUAGGAAAAAUAAAAGUCAAAUAUAAUUUUUUUUACAUUUUCAAAGAUGCCAACGUUCAAAUAUUGAUAAUUCUUAGAAAAAUGAGAUUUUUUUUAGAUUGUUUUUUUUUCUUUUUUGUUUUCAAAAUGCCUAUAUUUCUUCUAGGGACAAACUCCUCUACAAUAUAAUAGGUUUCAUAGAGGAGCAAGAAGCUCUGGUGGUGAAGUCCUAGAAUUCAAUGAAGAAGAAUGUUGGAGAGUUGGGUCUUAAAUUCUUCUUGAAGUAAAUCAAAUUUUCCUUAUUCUUCUCUACAUGUUGAUAAUUACCUUAUUUCUUAGAGAAGGGGUUCACCUUUGCUUUUUGAGGCCUAUACCUUAAGUACUACCUUAAUAGCCCCUAGGUACUACCUUAAGGGACCUUAGGUACUACCUUAGUUAAAGUUGGGUUCUACCUUUUCCAAGCCUCGGACCUUCCUUUGUGACCCUUAGACCAUGCCAUUAUAUGAUUCUCUUGUGUGAUCAAGUGGUUCACCUUUGGUUUUUUUUGCGGACUAUACCUUAGGUACUACCUUAAGGGACCUUAGGUACCACCGUAAUUAAAGUUGAGGUCUACCUUUCCCAAUCCUCGGACCUUCUUUUGUGACCUUUGGACCAUGCCAUUAUGUGAUUCUCUUGUGAGGGGAAGGGGUUCAUCUUUGCUUUUUUGAGGCCUGUACCUUAGGUACUACCUUAAUAUCCCUUAAGUACCACCUUAAUAUACCUUAGGUACCACCUUAAGGGACCUUAGGUACUACCUUAAGGGACCUUAGGUACUACUUUAGUUAAAGUUGGGUUCUACCUUUCCCAAGCCUCGGAUUUUUCUUUGUGACCCUUAUACCAUGCCAUUAUGUGAUUAUCUUAUGUGGGCAAGUGGUUCAAAGUACAAUUAUUCUAUCCUCUCCUGGGAUUGGUCUCCUAAAAGCUUAAGACCAAAGUACAGUGCCACUUAGACCAACCAACUCCAAAACCAGUAUUACACUACACACCACAUUCCCCAUCAAUCUCUCAAUCUCUUCACUGCACUACAAUACAAGCCAGUGGGUAAUUUGAAACCAUAUACAAAAUUGUUCUCCACACAAAUUCCAUCCCAGCCAACAUCUUUCCAAUUUUCUAUAUUCUUUUUUCUUUUCCACCUCUUAAUACAUGUUUCAAUUUCCAUGUUCAAAAUUGUGUCUUUGUGUUUCUGUUUGUGAGAGUCGAGUCCCAAUAUCAAUAUCCAUAUUUUUUUCCUGUGUGGGAGAAAGACAGAGUCUCAAUUUCAAUGCAACAAUGUUGUGUGUGAGAUAAAGAUAUCUAUCAAUAAAAUUGUACCCACAAACCACACAGGUCAAGUUUCAGAUAUGAACAGGAUUUAAAAAUACUGUUUCAAUUCACUUAAUUAGAAACUUUAAUCCAAAAUACCCGGUUCCACAUUCAAAUUAAUUGGUACCAGAAUGAGCCCUGCCCCACUACUGUGUGUGCCUGUUUUUUCCUUCCUCUUUUCAUAUUUUUUACUUGAGCAACUUCAGGGGAAAAACAAAAGAUAAAACAAAGAGACAGCCAAAAUGCUGGAUGCCUACAAAGCUGAGAAUUAAAAUGAAGACAGAAUAUCCCCACAGGCACCAGCAGCGUACAAGACUAGCAUUUAAACCCAGAUACUGAAGUAAGAAGUAAAAUGCCACUGCCACCAGAAGUGCAUAUCCAUAGAUUGAACAAAAGGGCAAAUUCAGAUAGCCGACAUUAAAGCUCCAAGUUGUACUAUUGUUACUCCGUUUCUUUGUCAGGUAGGUGGCAUAGUUUCCAAGGGCAACAAUCACAAAUAUUAGAAACAUUAGCAUCAGCAUAAACCAAACAGAUGUGGAAAUGAAGUUACAGUGGACCAAAUGAUGAAAUGCUUCAAAAUUCUUUCAGGGAUAACAGAGAAGAAAGGGAAAAUUGUUGGUUCCAGCCCAUUAAGGUGGAAAUACGGACAUACCCAGGAUUUAUUGCAUUAAGUAGCACCAUCAAGAACAUGUAUGAAAUGGCCUACAUACAAUAGUAGUAUUAUCAAUAGAAUAAACCAGAGUUUGAAGCAUUAAUUUGGACAAAGUUCCCUGCUCCAAAAUUUGAAGAUUUCAAUUGACAUAGUGCAAGCUUUCAGAAAAUCAAUACAGUUUAUAUUAUGGUUGCUAGAAUACACAAAAAAGUUACAAAAAUUAAGAUUUUGAGCCAUGUAAUUAAUUUUCUAAGCUUUAGCAUCAAAAACUAUUUUAGUGUCACUUUCAUUUGGUGGAGUAAAUUAACUUCUUUGAGUUUCACAUAGUAUUCACUUGUAGAAAUUGGUCAAAGCUGUGUAUAUUUAUUUCCAAAUGAUGAGAAGGCAAAGACAAGAUUCUAAACCAUUAAUAUAAUCUUUUCAUUUUAAUAUAACAAUAUCAUGCACAAGCAACAAUUUUCCCCUUUUCCUAAGAAGAAAAGGAGACCCUAGAAUUCCAGACAAAUAAUUAAAAAUUUAUUUUCAAAAGUCUAUAUCUUUAUUUCCAACUGAACAUAAGGCAAAGUCAAGAUUUUAAACUGUUACUACAACAACAAUUUUUCAUUUUAGAUCUUAGUUCUAUUAGCACAUCCAUAGAGAGACGACAUGGACCUGCAUUAUGAACACAUAAUGAAUAGGAUAUAGAAACCUUCUAUGAAACCGUAUGCAAAUGGUAGGAUAAAUGAGGAACACUUUUAAUCAAUAAUAUCCAUAAGACAACCAAAAUAUCACCAUAAUGUUUUUUUCCUCUUAUUGCCCUAGGGGCUGAUUCCCUGAUAGCUGAAAUGAACUUGUCAUGUAUAAAACAUUUCCACCUCUUCUUCCUCUGGACCUCUGACCAUCCCUUUACUACCCUGGGUGCAUUCUCAAAACCCUCCUCAUCUUCUUUAUUCUCUGCCAUGCCCCAUUCUAUGGCUGCACGACAACCUCUUCAACUCCUUUCAAUCCUCAGCAUUCCUAAUUCACUUGCCAUAAUCCUAAUGCUUAGAACCCAAUCAAAUACAACCAAAGACACUAUCUUCUCAAAUUCAAGCACUUUCCAAUGAUUUCAAGUCAAACCCUGAUUUGAAAUCCAAUAGGUCAUACACUGAUUUAUGCCUCAAAUGUGUGGAACCCUUAUAGGGGUUUUGCCAAAUUAUUGGCUAGCACAGGCUAUAGCCAUACUCUUUUGUUUAUAUGGACCAAAACUCGCACCAUCAUCAUUCCUUUUAUCACAGCCCUGGAUUUGCAAUUAUUCACAAAAAGUAUUCCCAACAAAUAAAUUUGCUCAUUUCUUGUUAACAUGCUCUACAUCAAAUAGAGCAGAUUGUUUAUUUGAUAAAACUGUGAAGGAGUUUGCUCUGUUCUUGUUUCUCUUCCUCUAUUUCUUCUUCAUGCAAUUUUUCAGCAUGGUAUUCAGCCACUUUAAGCUUGUGUAAACUUUUCAGCCACUUUAAGCUUGUGCCACUUUUCAGCUACUUUAAACUUAUGUAGACUUUGUCAAUUUAUUCUUAGUAAUUUUCUCUUCCUCUAUUUCUUCUUCAUGCUAUUUUUGGUAUUCGGCCACUUUAAGCUUGCUUUGGUAUUCAGCCACUUUAAUAUUAUUAUUAUUUAUUUUUCUAACUUCUUUUGUCCACGUCUCAAUUUUUAUCAGAAACUGAUUAUAGAAUAUCAACAUGAACCAUACUGAAAUAUUGGCCAAAAUAUUGAUAUUGAUUUGUCCAAAUGUAUGUUCAGUAAGAUUUCAGAAUUGACACUCAUUGAUAUUGAUGGUAAAUAGGCAUAUCAGCUUAUCCUACGACCAUGUAACAUAUGCUCCGACAAUCUAGCAAGUGGUGGCAUAAUUCAAUUUUUUUUACACAUGGAAGUUGUCAGUUACCUCUCAUUAAUAAGCCAAUCCAUGUAAUACCACAUCAAUGAUCCAUAAAACCAACGAGAAAAAAAGAAAGAAAGAAAUAAAGAAAGUUGAAGUACUCAACUGAUCAUAUUUUUUGAAGUAAUCCGAGGAGCUUUGAUGGCAGCACCAAUUAAACUACUUCCAGUUAUAUAAAUUCCCUUAAAAAUACAACAAUAACGCAACCAUCAAAACAAUGAUCCAACAAAAAAAGAAAAAGCAAAUAUAAUGUAUCAAUUUAACCUAAACCUCCGCUAGUUUGACAAGAAUGAAAAAAAUUUACAGCAUUACAACAUUUUUUUGGGAAAGUUAGGUUUUGGGUUAUUGAUGUUUAUCUACAAAAUGGGAGACGAGAAUGUUACAAAAAUGAAAGAGGUUAGGUUUUACAGCAUUUUGGGUUUCUGAGAUUGAGAAUGGGAGACAGAAGGGGAAAAACAAAAUAUGAGAGAGAUGUUGGCUUUGUGGCUUUUCAAAGGGUUUUUUCUCUUUUGAAUUUUCAAAUGUGGAACGCUUAGCUGGCAAGGUGAAGGGUAUUUUUGGCAUUGAAAUACACAUAAGCUAAAAGUGCAUGAUUCUCUAAAUAUUUUCUAAUUACAUUAUCAAUUUUGAAAUAUGUAAAAUUGGGUUUCUAAAACCAUAUAUUUUCCACAUCAACAGCCCAAAACCUAAUUUUCCCAAAAAGAAAAGAAACACAUGUGAACUAUUUAGCGCAUAAGACUAUCUUUGGUAAGUGUUUUUUAAAGUAAUUUUGAAAAAUUAUUUUUGAGAAUAGUUUUUAAAUUUUUUUUAAAUUUUUGUAUAACAAAAGUAUUUGAAGCAUAAAAUAUUUUUAACUUAUUUUUAAUAUUUUAAAAAUAAUUUUUAUAUCUAGUAUUUUAUUUUUAAUCAUUCCACAUGUUUGUAUUAUUAUUUCUUUAAACAAUCCUUAAAAAUCAAAUGUAACCACUAAAAAAUAAUUAAAAUAUGUUAUUUAAAAACAUUAUAGAUGUUUUUUGUUCCAUGUUUUUUGUUUUGGAAAACAAAAAAUUAUUACAAAAAAAAAAAAUUCCCAAACAAAUCCUAAUAUUUCUAUUGUUAAAUGAAAAAUGUUAUUUGUAAUCGAUCUCCUUAUUAAAUAGUAAAAGUUAUUCAUUCAUAGUUUGCUUAUGUAACGGAUCAAUCUUGAUUGAACUUUGAUAUCAGUAUAACAUCAUAAAAAUAUAAUUUAUAUUUUAUUAAAAUUAAAAAUAUAUAAAAUUUAUAUAUUCUAAUCAUUUGUGACAUUUGUAACUUCUCCCAUGGCACAUAAACCACUUUUGAAAGCAGUAAGUUUUUGUUGGCGUGAGUUGUAUAGUAAAAGGAAAUUAGAGUAAUUAUAGAAAAUGAGAUUUCUUUCCUUCACAGGUUAGCUUAAUUAUAGGAGCAAAAUCUGUAUAACUUAGAAUAGAAAAUAUAUUCUGAUAUAUACUCGUAGGGUUGUGGUAACAGAAUAAGAAUUAUAUCGAAUAGAAAAAGAACUUUUUGACAUGGUAUCAGAGCCUAACCCUAGUACCCACCUACCUUAAACAUUGCAUCUCUUACCUCGCCCACCAUGUCGUCCGAUGCAGAACCCCAGCUUGCUGUGUCUCAAUUCGAUUCCCUCUUCUUUGAAUUCACGACUAAGAUGACUGAAGCUCUUACCAAAGUCCAACCACCAACUCUGACCACCGAACCCUCUACUGCUCUGAUUGGCAUCAAACUAGAUGGAACCAACUAUGCUCUCUGGUCCCAAGUCGAGAUGUAUAUCUCUGGAAAAGACAAGUUGGGAUAUAUCAAUGGUGAUAUACUACAACCACCUUCGACGGAUCCAACAUUUCGAAAAUGGCGCACUGACAACGCCAUUGUCAAAAGUUGGUUGAUCAACUCCAUGGAUCCCUCUUUGAUAGGGAAUUUCAUUCGGUUUCCUACAGCUAAGUUGGUGUGGGAUUCCAUUGCUACCACUUACUUUGAUGGUAGUGACAAUUCUCAAGUCUAUGAUCUUCGACGUCGUGUGACGCAGCUUAAACAGGCUGGAGGCUCCCUUGAGAAAUACUACAAUGACCUCCAAGGGUUGUGGCGUGAGAUUGACUUCCGCUGCCCUAAUCCUAUGGAGUGUGCAAUUGAUAUUCACAACUAUAAUCUUCUUCUUCAAGAAGACAGAGUGUAUGUUUUCUUGAAUGGCCUGGAUGAUCAACUAGAUAAGAUUCGGGGUGACGUGUUGCAGCUUCGUCCAUUCCCUACUGUGGAGCAAGCGUAUGCCCACGUUCGCCGCGAAGCUCUCCAUCAAUCUGUUAUGAUCACUGGCAGUGCAGAUGAGGUUUCUGGCGCUGUUCUCGCAACCAAAGGACUCAAACUUGGUUCCUCUGUCCAACCUCCUACUGUGCACAAUGGCAGGCCUAAGUCUCGUACAUCUUCAGAGGGCUUGAAGUGCUCUCAUUGUGGCAAUUCGAAAAACACUUGUGACACCUGUUUUAAACUGCAUGGGUAUCCAGAUUGGUGGAAUGAUCUCCGGGCUAAGAAGGGUCGUGACGCGGGCACUAAGGAUGAAGGCUCCGCUACAGCAGUUGUGGCUAUUGCCGAACCUCAACUCUCAUUCAUACCAUAGAUGACAAUGCCGAACUCAGGUAACUGUGGUUAUGCUUGUUAUACUUCGACUAAUGAUGGUUACCGUGGUGCAUGGCUAUUGGAUUCUGGUGCAACUAACCAUAUGACGUUUACUGCUAUGGAUUUCACCAUGACUUCCCUACCAUGACGUACUAAUAUCACCAAUGCUAAUGGUGUUAUCUCCCCUGUCACUGGCACGGGCACUGUGACCUUAUCCCCUAAGUUGCAGCUGCAUAAUACUUUGCUUGUUCCAUCCUUAUCUCAUAAGCUUCUCUCCGUGAGCCAAGUGACCUCUGAUCUAAAUUGCAUUGUGCUAACAUAUCCUACUUUCUGUUUUCUCUAGGACAUUCUAACGAAAGAGAUUAUUGGGCGUGGUACUAAGAGGGGGGGACUCUACUAUAUGGAAGACCUGAGUGUGGGCCGAGCACAUCACACGCAACAUACUCUUGAUGUCAAAGAAAAGGAACUUUGGCUUUGGCACCGUCGGUUAGGACAUCCGUCCUUCACCUAUAUGAAACAUUUGUUUCCAGAUUUGUUUUCUCAGUUGAAAAAUUUUGAUUUUCAAUGUGAAACUUGCAUAUUGGCCAAAAGUCAUAGGGCUUCUUUUCCAUUAUAUUUGAAUAAAAAGGAUACUCCAUUUGCUUUGAUCCACUCGGAUGUGUGGGGACCUUCCCCAAUUACUACUGUCAACGACUUCAAAUGGUUUGUGUUGUUUGUUGAUGAUUGUACCCGCAUGACUUGGCUUUAUUUGCUCAAACAUAAAGAUGAAGUACUAGGAGUUUUUAAAUCAUGUCAUGCUAUGGUGCAAACACAAUUUUCUGCUAAGGUUCAAGUUCUUCGAUCGGAUAAUGGUGGUGAAUAUGUCAAUCACUAAUUUCGUGAAUACUUUCAACAACAUGGUAUUAUUCAUGAGACUUCAUGCCCCCAAACGCCUCAACAAAAUGGCAUUGUUGAGAGAAAAAAUAGACAUGUUCUUGAAACCGCUCGUGCUCUUUUAGUUGGUGCCCAUGCUCCUACUCGUUUUUGGGCUGACGCCGUUACCACUGCAGUUCAUUUGCUCAACCGAAUGCCCUCUAAGGUGUUGGACUUCCAAACCCCCUUACAAGCCCUCUCGGGCUAUACAGCUGUGCCUGCAAUCUUGAUGCUUCCCCCAUGUGUAUUUGGGUGUGUAGCAUAUGUCCAUCUCCAUAAAAACCAGCGGACUAAGUUAGACCCCUGUGCACGUCGCUGCUUAUUUUUGGGCUAUGCUUUUCACCAAAAAGGAUAUAGAUGCUAUGAUCUCACUUCUGGUUGCAUGUAUAUUACUAUGGAUGUCACCUUCGUGGAAACCGAAACAUUUUUUCCAUCUAAUUCUCCUUUUCAGGGGGAGACUAGAUAGGAAGAGCAGAAUUGGACAGAAUUAAAUUGGCCGAGCAUAUCUGAAAUACAUGUGGAACUGAGGCAACCAGAACACGUUUCUCUAGCUAUUGAACAUCAUGAAGAUGAUCACAAAGCACAUGUUACUUCCCCCUCUACAGUACCCGAAAACCCAACUCCUGAGAAUGAUCCUGAGGUAAGCUCUUUUAACACAAAUAUCUUGGCACCUCCUAUUGGUUAUGUGUUACCUAACAGGCACAAUCGUGGCAAGCCUCCAAGCCGCUACUCACCAGACAUUGAAGGAAGAAGAUCAAGAUAUCCUAUCGCCAAUUAUGUAUCCACAAAGAAGUUGAAUGAACCCCUCAAGACAUUUGUGCAUAACAUUUCCGGGUGUCACGUUCCAACAAGGGUGGAGGAAGCCUUGGGAGACCCGAAGUGGACUCAGGCAAUCAAAGAUGAAAUGGAGGCACUAAUGAAGAACAAGACAUGGAAUCUAGUGCCAUUACCGGAAGGAAAAAAAAUAGUGGGGUGCAAGUGGGUGUUUUCCAUUAAACACAAAGCUGACGGAUCUAUAGAAAGAUACAAGGCAAGACUUGUGGCAAAAGGGUAUACUCAAACAUAUGGUAUAAACUAUCAAGAUACUUUCUCACCAGUAGCUAAAUUAAAUACUGUUAGAGUGUUGAUAUCUCUUGUAGCAAAUUUAAAUUGGCCACUACAUCAGUUUGAUGUGAAAAAUGAUUUCCUUCAUGGCGGGCUUGAAGAAGAAGUUUAUAUGGACAUCCCUCCAGGCUACUUAGUGACCACGGGAACUAAUGAGGUGUGUAAGUUGCAACGAGCCUUGUAUGGGUUAAAACAAUCGCCACGAGCAUGGUUCGGGCGAUUCAGCCUGGCAAUGAAGAAAUAUGGUUUCCAACAGAGCAAUGCAGACCACACAUUGUUUCUAAAAAAACAGCAAGGAAAAGUCACAGCUCUUAUUGUCUAUGUCGAUGAUAUGGUCAUUACAGGAGAUGAUAUUGAAGAAAUCUCACGGCUCCAAGGGCAGUUGGCUAGUGAAUUCGAAAUGAAGAAUCUAGGUGGGCUCAAGUAUUUCCUUGGGAUAGAGGUUGCCAGAUCAACCCAAGGUAUAUUUUUAUCCUAAAGAAAAUAUGUUCUAGAUUUAUUAUCUGAAGUUGGAUUGUUGGAGUGCAAACUAGUGGAUACCCCAAUUGUCCAAAAUCAUAAACUUGGGAUAUAUCCAAAUUAGAAACCAACUAACAAAGGAAGAUAUCAACGGUUAGUUGGCAAACUCAUUUAUCUCUCUCAUACUCGUCCAAAUAUUGCGUAUGCUGUAAGUGUAGUAAGUCAAUUUAUGCAUUGUCCAAGUGAAGAACACAUGGAGGCUGUAAUUCGGAUACUAAGGUACUUGAAGUCUUCUCCAGGAAAAGGGCUCAUGUUUUCUAAGAAUGAUCAUGUGAGAGUUGAUGGCUAUACAGACACAGAUUGGGCUGGGAACAUCUCUGAUAGGAAGUCGACAUCAGGGUAUUUCACAUUUGUAGGUGGAAACCUUGUGACAUGGAGAAGUAAGAAACAAAAGGUGGUGGCACUCUCUAGUGCAGAGGCAGAAUUUCGUGGGAUGGCUAAGGGUUUGUGUGAGCUUCUUUGGCUGAAAAGACUACUAACCAAGAUCGGUUUUGCUCCCAAGUCUGAAAUGAAUCUCUUUUGUGACAAUAAAGCAGCUAUAGACAUUUCACACAAUCUGGUUCAACAUGAUCGAACAAAGCAUGUAGAGGUUGAUCGACACUUCAUCAAAUAUAACCUAGAGACUAAUACAAUCUGGUUUCUAUUUUUCAAAUCUGAGGACCAACUUGCAGAUAUACUCACCAAAGUCGUGUCAAGCAAGGAUUUCCACAACUCACUGAUCAAGUUGCGCAUGAAGGAUCCGUAUGCAUCAACUUGAGGGGGAGUGUUGGCGUGAGUUGUAUAGUAAAAGGAAAUUAGAGUAAUUAUAGAAAAUGGGAUUUCUUUCCUUCACAGGUUAGCUUAAUUAUAAGAGCAAAAUCUGUAUAGCUUAGAAUAGAAAAUAUAUUCUGAUAUAUACUCGUAGGGUUGUGGUAACUGAAUAAGAAUUAUAUUGAAUAGAAAAAGAACUUUUUGACAGUUUUAUCAUGUUGGUUAAUAAAUCAAUAAAGCAAUUUAUGCUCAAUACUAAAAAUCUAUUUUAUAAUGAUUUUAGGAAGUAUUUUUGAACAAAAAAAGUGUUUUUCUUUCACUACUACAAAAAUAGUUUAUGGUGUCACUAUUUACGGUGUCACUUUUAAAAUAAUGACACCAUAGGGUUUAUAAUUAAUAAAGGUGACACAUCAUAUAAAAAAUCUUCAAUUGAGGUAGUUAGAUGAUAUUAAUUUUAUAUUUAUAGUGUCAUUUUUUGGGAAGUGACAUCAUAUAAAAUAAAUUUUUUUAAGUAUUAUAACUUAAUGAGCCCACUUUUAGAAUUAAUAAUGAUGGAUACUAUAUAAAAAUCCCAUUGUUUCCAUAUCUCACUCACAAUCCAAAAAAUCUCAAUAUAUAAAUCCUAUAUAUAAAAUCAUGAUCUUCUUCAACCUUUUCUCUCACCCAUCCAUAGUCAACACGCUCAAAACCGACAUUCUUCACUUUGUGGACUCCCAGGUAACCCAAAAUCUCUUGGAUCUAUCAUUUUUUUUUCUUUUAUUAAUGCCAUUAUAUUAAUUGUUUCAACAUCUUUGUAUUAUGGUUUUUGUGAAUUGUGUUUUCUUGAGUUGUAGGGAAGAAAAAUUUAGGUUUAAUCUUCUAGCAUGGAAGAAAAAACUAUAGAUUAAUUGAUUUUUUUAAUCUAAACCAAACACAUGAUCAAGUCCUUAAAAAAAAAGUGAAAAACAGGAAAAAAUGAAUGAUUUUUAAUAUGUAUUUGUGUGAGAAUGACAGGUACAAAUUUUUUUUAAGAUAUACUAUCACAUAAUCUUCAUCCUUUCUAAAAAACGAGAGAGGAAAAAAAAAGAAUGAUUUUUCUGUUUGUAUCUAAGUGGGAAUGAGAUAUAGAAUUUCGUUGAGAGUAUCCAACCCCAAAAGGACCAAUCCGAGAAGGCAUGUGUGGUAUUGACGGGAGAUGAUAAGAUGGAAAUCAUAACCAUAGCCAUGUUCUCUCUGUGUCUUUCUAUCCUCUUCAAUUAAUUCAUGGGCAUAGAUAUUUUAUUUAGUUUUUAUAUUUAGUUUAUUUAUAGUUUAUUUAGUUUCUAAAAUCCAAUUAGUUAGAUAUUUUUUUUAUUUUGUUUUUAUAUUUAAGUAUUUGAGUUUUGGAAAGUUUUUAUAUUUUGUUAAUAGAAAUAGAAAUUUUUAUAUUUUUUAUUAUUAGGAAUUUCUAUUUUGUUAAAUUGUAAGUAUCUAUCUCAAUAAGAGAUUAUUAAUAUUCAAAUGAAAGUGAUGAAAGAGAGUAAACAUUUUAAUGCUCAAUUAUAUUUUAAUGUUAUUUUUUUUUUUUACAUAAGGGUUUAUUUAUGUUUUCAAUUUUGAAGUUCCCUUUCCAAGUCCAGCAACAAAAGUAGUGUCCAACCUUAAAAUGGGCAUGUGUGGUAUUGACGGGAGAUGAUAAGAUGGAAAUCAUAACCAUAGCCAUGUUCUCUCUGUGUCUUUCUAUCAUUUUCAAUUAAUUCAUGGGCAUAGAUAUUUUAUUUAGUUUUUAUAUUUAGUUUAUUUAUAGUUUAUCUAGUUUCUAAAAUCCAAUUAGCUAGAUAUUUUAUUUGAUUUGAUUUUUAUAUUUAAGUAGUUGAGUUUUGGAAAGUUUUUAUAUUUUGUUAAUAGAAAUAGAAAUUUUAUAUUUUUUAUUAUUAGGAAAUUUUAUUUUGGAAAAUUGUAAGUAUCUAUCUCAAUAAGAGAUUAUUAAUAUUCAAAUGAAAGUGAUGAAAGAGAGUAAAUAUUUUAAUGCUCAAUUAUAUUUUAAUGUUAUUUUUUUUUACAUAAGGGUUUAUUUAUGUUUUCAAUUUUGAAGUUCCCUUUCCAAGUCCAGCAACAAAAGUAGUGUCCAACCUUAAAAUGGGCAUGUGUGGUAUUAACAGGAAAUUAUAAGAUGGAAAUCAUAACCAUAGCCAUGUUCUCUCUGUGUCUUUCUAUCCUCUUCAAUUAAUUCAUGGGCCUAGAUAUUUUAUUUAGUUUUUAUAUUUAGUUUAUUUAUAGUUUAUUUAGUUUCUAAAAUCCAAUUAGCUAGAUAUUUUAUUUGAUUUUGUUUUUAUAUUUAAGUAGUUGAGUUUUGGAAAGUUUUUAUAUUUUGUUAAUAGAAAUAGAUAUGAGGACUUAAAGGGUUUAUAUUUAGGUAGUGCUUGAGCCAAGGAAAAUGAUAGUCCACUAUCUUGACCCUAUGCAUCACAAACCAUGUGAGGACUUAAAAGAUAUCAUAAAUAUGUAAGUUCUUCCUAUUAUUUUUCAUAGUAUUAUUUUUAAAUAAAAAAAAAUACAUUCACCUCAAACACAUUUUAUUUUAUUUUAUAUAUAUUAAAACAUAUAACAUUUACCUAUUUUAAAAAUGUACCCAUUGAACUUAUUUACAUAGGGCUCUUCGAAUAUCUGCAAAGAAAACAUCUAAGAGGGAGCCAUCUUAGCAACUAAUGCAGGUGACAUCCAAAAAUUUUUCUUUACACAUUAGCUUAUGCAUUUGCACCAUUUAUAUAUGUGAGUACUAAUGUUAUUUUAUAAUUGAUCGAUUAGUGUCCAAGACAAGAAGGAGGGUUCGAAUAUGGCUACUUUGUUAUGAGAUUCAUUAAAGAGAUAAUUUUUUAUCCUACAAUUAUUGCUUCAAAGGUAUUACUUUUUUAAUGAAUUGUACAUAGUUUUAGGCUUCCAAAUGUUAUGCGUUUUAAUGUUAUUUUCUUAUUUGAUUUCAGUUUGGUAAUAAAAAAAACAUAUUCUCAAGUAGAAUUCGAUGAAAUUAGAGGAGAAUGGGCUACUUUUGUGCUACAACUAAUCAUGAAUCAUGUUGAUGCAUCAUGAUCACCAUGCAUGGUGAGUCCCUUAGCUACUACAUGAAUUUUUCCAUAGGUAUUGUAUAGUAAUGCUUAUUCUUUGAAUAAUGUUUCUAUUUGAAAAAAAAAAUUAAUUCUUAGAUUUGUUCAUUUAUGAUAACAUAAAUCCAUGUUUAUUUUCUUCAAUAAAAAUCUCUAAAACUCAUUAAAUUUUGAAAUACAGGUAUACACUCUUGGGAGGGUGAAAUGGAGAAUAAAAAGAAAGAAGGCAACAAGAUUUUGGGUUUUUAAAUGCAACUCUUAUGUCAUACGUUGUAGGACAUAAACGUUACUUUAAUUGCAACUGAGAAAUUUAUAUUUUUAGAUGGGACUUCUAUGUCAUUUUAUGGUUAGCCGAUUUUAUGCUUAUGAAAUGGAGGUAUACAUGAAUCUUGGGAUCUUUAACAUUUCUAAAUCAUGUUUUGGUAUGCAUUCACUCUUCUUUUUUAGUUUUGAUGGGUUUGAUAUGUUGGACGUACUAUCCUUUUGUGAACCUUUGAUAUACAAAUAUUAUUAGAUGAUCAAUGUAUUAUGAGUUAUUCCAUAAACAUUACAGAAAAAUGAGUUAAAUAUAAUAUGAUUGUUAUAUUUAUGGACAAAAUAUAAACAGGUUAAUCUUAUUAAUUCAUAAGCAUUACAAAAAUCAACAACUAAAACCAAUCAUAUAUUCCACAAUAAUUUACAAUGAUGUGAUACCAUAACUCAAAGGUGAUGCAUUUAAUGUGACAUCAUAACUCAAAGAUGAUGUAUUUAAUGUGACACUCUAUCAUCACUAGAAAUAUAUGGUGUCACUUCUGAAUGGGUCACUAUUUAUCUACUUUGGUGUCACUUCCAAAUACGUCACCAAUUGGUACCCUCUAUGGUGUCAGUGGAGAAGGUGACGCUAUGUUGUAGUGACACCUUAUGUUUAUGGUGACUCGUUAUAAAUGUCACCAUAUACCUUUUUCCUUGUAGUGUUUUAAAAAAAUAUAUUUAAUAAAAUUUAGGAAACACUUUUUUUUUUUUUAAAUCACUUAUAAUAUUAAAAAGUCAUUUAUAAUGUAUUAUGAAAAACCACUUUAUAAGUAGUCCUCCUAUUUGAUAGGAAAGUACUUCAUCUAAUAACAGCAGGUUGCACCAAGAACACAAAUGAAUGCUAUUGCUCUUAGCAUAUUAGUCCGACAUAAAUGUCACAAGUGCAUUUAUUACAAAGUGGCAUAUUAACUUGGUCUUCUUUAAAGGCAACUCCCUUAAGAAAAAAUGACUUUUCUUUAUUUUCUUCAUGGUAAUAUAAUGUAAUAGGAGACGCUUGAGAUCUGUAGAUCAAAAGCAAGAUUUUUAAAUCAAAGAACAUGGUGACUCAUUAAUGCAACAUUUGACAACUGAGCAUGGAACAUUAAUUGUUUAUGUAUAAACAAACAAUGUGACAAUUCAUAAACUAAACUUCAAAUAUUUUAAAAAUAAUGCCCAAACAUAGUGUUGUUUACUUGUCGCAAAAGGGAUCAAUUAGUCCACUAGCAAAAAAUUAGAAAACAUAUUUCAUCUUCAAGAUAGAGUAUGAUUGAGAACCUGAAAAGGUGCAUGCCGCUUCAUGCACUCGUUGAGGGUAUGUAAAUCCUAAAAUUUGUCCAAAUUUUAUUUUUACAUUGAUAUUGAACUCAAUUUUAUCAUUAGAUUUAAAUCUCGAUUAUAUUUGAAUUGUUUAGCCCACUUACAUUCUUUAAUUCUUAGUUUUUAUUUUUUUAUAAAUUUUUUAUUUUUAUUUUUACUUAUUAUUAUUAUUAUUAUUAUUAAGUUUUUUUAUUUUUUUAUUUUUUCUUCAUUUUUUCUUUAUUUUCUCUCUCCUCUCUCUUCCUACCUUUCCCAACCACUACACCCACUCUCUCUCUCCUCCCAUACCCCCAUUCCUACGCCAUACUCAUAUCUCCUCUAUUUAUUUUAUUUUAUUAUAUUUUUCUUUUUCCUUUUUUUUUUUCUUUUUCAUCCCCAUUCUUCUUCAUCUUUUUCUCCCCCUAACACCCUUUCCUAACGGCCACACGCUCCCUCCCCUUCUCACUUCUUCCCCCAUUUUUUAUUUUUUUUCUUCUCCUCCCAUCCAUUUUUCUUCCAAUCUUUUUCCCUCCAUUUUUUUUCUUUCUCUUCCUCCACCAUACUCGACUUCUAGAGAGAUCCAAACCCGAGUUCCUUUCUUUCUCCCCUUUUAUCUCAUUUUCUUCCUCUCAUUCCCCAUUUUUUUCAAAUUUAUUUUCUUUUCUUUAUUUUAUUAUUAUUAUUGUUUUCCCAAAAACCCAUUGACCCUCACUAUCGCCGGUAAGAUCACCAGCUAGUCACCACUAACGAGCUACUGCCGAUCAUUGACCCUUUCCUCUUUUCUAUCAUUCCAUUGCUUUCCCAUCACACCCAUUUUCCAUCAUCAUCAUUAUUAUUAUUCUUUAUUUUUCGUGAUUUGAUUUUAAUAGUAAUUUUUGUUUGUGAGUUUUGAAUUAUUAAAUUAAAAUGAAAUUUGGACUAUUUUUGUUUUUGCAUGGGCCUAUUCUGCAAUUCUAUUGGCUGAGUAUGAAUUUAUGACACGUGGAGCAUGGAAUUUCAUGGAAGAAAGUGAGAAUAAAAAAGUUGUAUGAAGACAUUGAGCUUGUUUUAAACUUAUUUGGGUACACGUUUUAUUUCCCAUUACUAUUUGGUUUUAUUUUUGUUGGCUUUUGUAAAUAUUUAUUUAUAUAUAUUUACUUGUAUACAGAAUUGGAUAUCGAAUAAAUAAAAAAUUUUGUUUAAAUAAGAGGAAUAAUUUAGUAAAUAUGUUUUAAUAAAAUAAUAAUUUUAAAUAUUCUUCUUAAUAAAAUAAAGUCUUUUUAUUAAUAAAAAAUCAAAAAAAUCCAAAAAAUAAAUAACUAUUUUUUUGAAAAUUAAAUACAAAUGAAAUUGAAUCAAAUCAUUAAUUGAAAAUAAAUUGAAGUCACUAAUUCAAAAUUGGUUUUUAUAAAAUCAUUUGAAAUUUCUUGAAAACUAAUUAUUUUAAAUAUAUUUUUUCUAAUUAGUUCAAUAAAUCAAUUUGCAUAUUUCUAUUGUCAUUUGUUUUGUACAUUCUUAUAAUUUUAUUUUGUCAUUAUCUUUGUGUAUAUUGUUUCAUUCCUUAAAUUUUGGUGUCCAUGAUUAAUUAAUUAAUUGUCAUAAUUUCCUUAAUUCGUUUAGUAGAGACCGUAUGUAUAUGGGCUUAGAGGGGUGUUAUGGCUCACCACCAUACCUUCCCAAUUAAUAACUUGACCCUCGGAUCUAGAUUCAAUUUUUGUAGAUGUCUUUUCCAAAUAAGAAGUGACACAAGGUUUUCUUUCUUAUUUUGUUUUCUCUUUUAAAAAAAUAAUAAAACAAAAAUAAGUGGCGACUCCAAGUCUUUUUCAAAAAAUCAAAUUUUCACCAAAUUAAAAGCGAGUAUCAUCAUCAAGUGGGAACGCAUGUGAAAAACGUGGGUCCACAAGGUGUUAUAUGUUGAGGGUGUUAUACCUUAAGGAUUCCACAAGUCAUACUACUUGUAGAGAUGCAUUCAUUGGCAAAGCCAAGGUAAUUGCUUGCUUUCACCUCAGGUUUCUCCAUGAACUCAAGAAGAAUGGUAGAAGAUGAUACUAGUAGCCAUAGCACAAUCACUGAGUAUGAGUUGGAAGAUUAAUGAUUAAAAUAACUCAUGACACAAAAGGAGAAGAGAUUAGCGAAGCUCUAAGAUUGAUGAACAAAGAACUCCAAAGAACUCCUAAAUUUAUAGAAACUCAAUUAGAUAGGAAGGUGAGGGAAGGCAUGACCAAAGCAAUCAAUUUUCUAAUUGAUUAAAUUGAAAAUUUUCAAACAACUAGUUAAGUAAACUUGUUAAGGUAUUGAAUUCAAAUGUUUAAACUAAUUAGAGGAUUAAUCGAUUCUCAAAUAUUUUUAAUUAAACAUGUACAUAAAUGGGAGAAGAGGGUUCCUUAUGUUGUGAUAAAUGUUAAUUUAUGUAAUCUUAACUUGAUUUUUACUACUAUAAGUCUAGUAUGUGUCUUGUUAAUGUAGUUGAGGGGUUGUUAUGUCUCUUUUAGUUUUUUUAUAAAUAGGUUUAUUUAAAUUUGAUAUAAUUUUAAGUGUAUCCUUUAUUUCUUCUAUUCUCUCUCUCUCUUUCUCUCUCUAGCAACCAAAGAGGCUCCUCAAGAGCAAAUCUCCACUAAUGUAUAGUUCGUCUCAAUUGAUCUCUAGAGAUAAGGAGUAAGGAAGAUGGAGAAUUCACUUGAGGGAGUAUAGUUUAGUGGUAGAAUCCCAAACAAACACUAUGUUUUGAGUUUUAGAUGUGAUGAUUAAAUUCUUUACGUAGUUUUUCCCAAUUGAGAUACAAUCAAUGUUUAACUUGGUUUCACUGAUGACUAUUAAUAACUUGAUAAUUAGAGAACUCACUUUGAUUGAUGGUAUCAAAAUUGAGAAGACUUUCAAAGAUGAAUCCUGUGUUAAAAUGGUGGAGCAAAAAAAUAAAGGAUUAAGUUAAUUCAAAUAGACUUUUGAGAUCUAAAGUUUAAUUUCUAAAUUCAAUUUCCAUAUAUAUCCCAAUCAAUUUUUAGAUCUUAUUUAAUUUUGGAUUGACUUUUAAUCAUUAAAGAAAAGAAAAGAUCUACCUUCUAUUAGUGAAUUUAAAGUCCAAUUGUGAAUUGCUCUAGACCUUUCUCUUCUAGUUGUUAUUUUCAUUUGUGAAACUAUUUUUUUAAAAAAACCAAUAUGUGUUCAAAACCAUUUUGAUUUAAAAUCCCUAAUAAAAUAGAAUGAGCUUUUGUAGAAAAUUGGUAGAUAAUUAAUCACUUAAUCUAAUUAAACAACUUAACAUAUUAGUACUGCUCCGAUGAUAAUAUGUCUCACUAUGUAACAUAAUAUCUUUCUCUCUUAUUUUUCUUGACCAAUGAUGUUAUAAAUAACUACAAUUUCACUUUUAUUUUUAACCUAAAGAGUGUAAGUUUAUGCACCAUCUUCAUCUUUGAGAUGGACUUCUACAGAUAAAUAGCCUAUAGCAUGUAUGUCUCAUUGUUACCUAUAUGAAUCUACUUUUUGGGAUCUCUACUAAUGUAGGUUUGGUUACUUCGGACUUGACUUUUAUAAUAGGUGUAAGUCCCAUGCAUCCUCCUUGAUUUUUUUCAACUAGUUUCUUAUUUACUUAUUUAGUAAGAGGAUCAACCAUAGUUUAACUUUGACUUCACAAAACAAAAGAAUAUGACCUUUGUCUCAAGCAACUAUUGAAAAUGUUGUGCCUUAAGCAUAUAUGCAGUAAAUAUUUUACAUUUAGCCUUAAAUAUUGCAACUUAGAUAUUACAAUACAUACACAGUCUUAGCCUUGUCCAUAAUGAUAAAUGCCAAAUGGUUUCAAAGCUACAUAGACUCAAAACUUACCUUAUCUCGUCUAAAUUAUAGAUCUAGUUGACACCAUUUUAUCUUUCAAGUACAUUUGGAAAUCCAUUACAUAACACAAACUAUGGUCAAUGGUGCCCCUCUAGCUAGCAAUCAGAGUAUAACAUUGUUUUCACCAUAAUAUACAUGUAUAUUGAUUCAUGUAUUACAUGAUAUUAUUAAUUUUCGAACAAGCCUAGCAGGCUUUUGAAUUCAUGUAAUUUUUUAUACAACUGCUCUUGAUCAAGGGUUGCUUGAUCACUUCUAUCAUGGUGUGUUGUUUAGUUAUUGGAAAAAUGUGUGAGAUAAAAAAGAAACAGGAAGAAUAGCCCACAAAAUUUACAUGCUUUAGAUACCAAUAUGAAACCUACAUAAAUGAGACAACAUAUAGGAUUGAUUGUUAAUCAUUGUGAAGGGAAUAUUACAAUAGCCUAAUAUUAGUACAAAUGUCUUUGUAUGGCAUUUGUGGAUGUCAACUUCAAUGAUAGAAAAGUAAAGUUGACAAUCACUCCUCAAAUUACUUUCCAACUUCCUCUUCUGGAACCACCAACACUCUCUUCAAGUUGGUGCAAAAUAUCGAUGGAGCCCAACUGCAAGAGGAGACUUAAAUAGCCACUUGGAUAAUUGGGAAUCGUGUAUAUUACAACAAGUAAUCAAUUGAUUUUUGUAAACAAAUGGGUUUUCUUAACUCUAUUUACUGACUUUUAUUUCUUUUAUUUUAAUUAUUGUAAAUGAAUUUUUUUAAUCUAUUUAUAAAAAUACCAUUGUAGUUUUUUAAUAUCCUUUUAUUUUUUAUAAUGAUGUGGCAUUUUUAAUUGCUAAGUUAUGUAAAUUUUUUUUAAAAUUUUUUAAUACAAUAUGUUUAAUUUUUUAUAGGGUAUUAAGACAAUAAAUAAAUGAUAUUUAAUAAUUAAAAUACUAGUCAUAUUUAUUUUGACAUAUUAGAAUGUAUAUUGUCUUUCUUAUCAUGCAAUAUUGGAGCUAAAACCUCUAAUUUUACAAAUUUUUAAUUAAAUAAUAGUAAUAAUAAUUUAAAAAAACCAUUAAAGUAGGCCAUAAUACCAAUAUAUUAUAUUUUGAUGUAUUGAAAUAACAUCACUUAGAUAUUUUAUAGUUAAUUAAUAAAAGUAAUCAUUAAAUAUUUUAUGUUUAAAUUAUUAAAUAUUUAAUAAUACAAAAAUGUUAAUUUCUUUACCAAUAACAUAAAAAUACAAAAAUAACAAUACUCCAAUUGACAUCUACAAUACAAAAAAUGAGUAAUUAAUAAAGCACUAUAAAGACUUGAAAAUCUAAUUAAGAGUUGAUUUGACAAUGAUUUUAAAAGGAGUUUUUAGCUUAAAAAGUAUUUUUGAAAAAAAAUAUUAGGUGUUUAGCAAAAUUUUAAAAAUUUGUAAAAUUACUUAUAAUGUUGAAAAAUCACUUAUAAUGAUUUUUGGAAAAAUACUUUAUAAAUGAUUCUUCUAAAAGCACUUUUAGAUAACUCUCAACUUGAGGGAAGUCCAAUUUUGGUGAGAUUCCAAAUUUGGUAGUACGGCGUGACUCCAAUUUGAAGACCAAGGUAUAACACAAUUGGAGUUGGUCAUGAGGAGUAAAUAACUUGUAAUAUUUGAUACGACUGCACUUUGCAAUAAUUUUUUGUCAUAGUGAAAUUAUAUCCUAAUUGUGUUUUUUCACCUCACGAGAAAGUUUUUUUAUGUAAACUCGAUGUGUCAAUUCUUUAUGUGUGCUUAAUUCAUUUUUGUGCACAUCUCUAUAUAUGAUAAAUUAUAUAUAAAUUAAUCAAUCUUAGUAAACUGAGUUCAACCUCAAAGAAACAAAUUAAUUUUGUGUACAACACUUGAACAAGAUCCUGAAAUAUUUAAAAGGUAUAUCCCACACUACUCACUCUAACAAAUGUAUGUGAUAAGGUUUUGUUAGAGUAAACCGUCGAAAGCAUGACAUGAUGUAAUAUAAUAAGAUCCUUAACUGCAUUAUUUAUCAUCUGAGCAUUCACUAUUGUAUCACUUUUGUUGUUCAUGAUUUGGGUGCAUUGGGAGUUACAUAAAAGAUCCUUGUCAUAGGUUCCUUGAAAGAUGAUAAGUUGUUCCUAGUUGAUUCAUGGAAUUAAGUAAUCCAUUAAAGAUUGUGGUGUACUACCUCUUAAUUUGAGAGAACUUUCUUGGUUAUUUUUUUAGCUUUUUAUGAGGUAGAGUAUGUUAGUUCAUAAAAAAUAGGAGGAUUGGAGACUCAAGGAUUACAGAGGUAAUCUUGAGAGGGUAAAUAUGAGUUAAAUCCCAUAUGGGGCUGCUUUGCAUGAAAGAUCUCAUGGUGCGUGAGUGACAACCCUUUUUUAAUGGUGGAGAUGACGAUUGUUUCUCAGUGAAAUUAUACAACUCCAAAAAUUGUUGUGUUGUCUUGCAUCUCAACCUCGAAAGUGUCAGAGAUCAAAUGGAAAUUAGAAUGUGAACACCCACCCCUUUCUCUCCCAACCCCCCCAAAAGUUGCAAUCGUGGGGAUGCUCUCCAAACUGAUGGUGAAUCCCUCUCAAAGAAACGUAGAAUGACCCUCUCAAAACCUACAAAAUUUCCUCCAAAAUCGUGCUAUCUAAAAUCUCUAAAUCCCAGCCUGAACGUCUCAAAAAAAAAAAAAAAAACAAAACUAUAGACCCCUUAAAAAUCAAUAAACACGUUCUCCAUAACACAGACUAAUUUGUUUUUUUUUUUUUUUUUUUUUUAAAAAUGGUCUGACAACUCCCAAAAUGCAACUACGUCUUCUCUCAAAAACCUCCCAAAAGCUCCCUGUUGAUUCUUUCUCAAUUCUCCCCCCAAAAGCUCCCUGUUGGAAAUUCUUUCAAAUCCACACUUAAAACCCCUCUUUUGGACGCUGCUAAAUUUUUUUUAAAAGAACCUCCUAAUCCUUUAUUCGAAUGCUGCUCAAAAUCCUUCAUUUCCUAUAAAGAAACACUACUUAAAAUCCUUCGUUUCCUAUCUCUCAAAAUCCUUCCUUUCAUAUAAAAAAUGCUACUCAAAAUCCUUCAUUUCCAAUAAAAAAAAUGCUGCUAACACUUUCCUUCCUUUCCUUUCAAAUCUAAAUAUGUUUUUCUCUAGGUUAAAGGUUCCUCUCUUCUUCCCAAAAUACAACCUCUUUCUUUUCCAAAACACGUUGAAUCCUCAAACCAACCUGAUUCCUAUCCAAAAAUGUAUUGAAAAAUAUCCCCAAACUGUGUUCUGAAUAUCACCAAAAAACGUGGCCUAAAUCAUUCUAAAAAAAAAACCUCUAAUUUUUUUCUCCCCUAAAAGUGUCCAUAUACACUCCCUUAACUAGCCUAAUUCCUUUCCAUGAUCAUUCCAUUUCCAAAACAAAAAAUAAGUAGAUAAAGAAAUUUAAAAAAAAAAACAAACAAACAAAGGCAUUUUAGACAAAGAGGUAAAAAGCAUGCACAUGUCAUGCAAUUACGACAUGUCAUGCACAUGACAUGCAAUGCCAUUGAUCGAUCUUCUCUGUUUUCCAAAAUACUAAGCCUUUUUAUGUAGCAACUCUAAUCAAGAAAAACUAGAGAAAGAGUCACUACGACUUUUGUUGUACUUUGGGUAUCAUUCUUAAGGAUUAGUUUAUGGAAUUUGUCAAUACUAUGAUAAAUGAAUCACUUUUAUUUGAAUCCUAAAGUGAAAAAUAAUAUCUGAAUGAAAUGAAACUAAGCAAGAGAACUAAAUUAACAAAAAAAUGAAUAUUUGAUUUUUAAUUCAAUUGAUUCAAAUAUGGGGCUUUCCACAAUCCAACUUAAGGUAUAAAAAUAGAGAGAAUAAGGGUUUCUUAAGUAGAGUGAUCUUAAGGUUUUGGUAUCUUUGGUCGCUUGUAAUCAACUUGAGCUCUAUAACUCAAAAUUGCAUCUCAAACCUAAAUUUUUCCUUUUAAAAAAAUUUCCUAAAACCAUCAAAUUAAUGAGAUUGAUUAUUGGUUUAAGGAUUAGUUUUUUUAACCCUUCUUAUUCCUUAUAACUUUGUUUUGGAGCAAAUAACGAUAAGAAAGACCAGGAUAAUUAAUGAUCAAGAGUUACCAAGAAUUACUAGUAUUGGGUGAUAACCUACCAUAUCAUUCCCUAAACUAAAUCACAAUGAUAUGAUAAAAAAUUGAUAAAUUGUAACCCAACCAAUAAUUGAUCUCAUUGUUAUAACAAUUUACCCAUUGUUAUAACAAUUUACCCAUUGUUACUAUGAGUUUCUAACUCUUAGGUUUUCAUUCUUAAAGCCCCAAAGAUGGCUUUUUAGCCUCUUAUGAGGGUAAUGUCACAUUCACAAUCCAUUAUAAGAUAAAAAUUCAUAAUUAAAAUCAUGAAAUUAAAAACAAUAUAUUCAAUAAACAAGAAAAGAAACAAACUGAAGUUCUCGUCUUCUUCCCCACAAAAAUGACAAACUCCCUGGAAGAUGGUCCAAGAUGACUAAACCCUAGAACUAAGAGAGUUUAUAUAGUAUCAUUAAUGACCUAACACAUGACACACUCUCAUUAGCCACUUAUUACAAGGAAAAGUCAUAAACAAUCUAAAAAGCAUCAAAAUUUAGGAGUUCUAAAUGAGUAUAAGGCAUUUCGAAUUGGGUGAAGGCAUUUGGAACUCAUUUCGACAUAUCUUGGGGCUCAAACUUGAUUACCAAUGACUGCGUUCGAAAUUGGGGUGAGUCUUAAGUCAAUUUUGAACACAUAAGUGGAAGGAGGUCCAAUUCGAAAUGUAGGGCUAAGUUCAAAAUGCAUAGUGAAUUUCAAACUCAACAUCCUUCUCUGACCAAUUUGGUUCAAACAUGCAUAACUUCCUCGUUUUAGCUCUGAUUUGCACACCAUUUGAUGCAUUGGAUUCCUAACUUUUAGAUAUUCGAAAUGAUAUUGUUGAUAAUAGACUUUAAGAAGUACUUUAAAUUUUUCAAAGUUAGAGAAUAUGUUGCCACCAGUUUUGAGUUCUAAAUUUCCAUGCAACUUGAUGAAUUUGCUUUAUACCUCAUUUUCCAUGUUUGUCUGCCUUCUUUCUUACUUUAUAAUGGUCAUUACUCAAAUCCCAAACUCAUGACAUCCUCGUCUUACAUUUCCCCAAAUGCCAUGGAUCUUGACUCGCUCAAUUCCUCAUUUAACCUUUUGAUAUUUCAAAAUCUAAGAUGUUUUCAACUUGUGCCCUUUUAUUCCCUUAAACCUGAGACAUAUCUCCAAAAUAAAAUUUAAACUCAAGGCUAGGGCCUUAGCAUCAAUUUGGGUUAAUUCAAAUGAUUUGAGUGUCUUAUAGUGCAUAAAUCAUAUCAAAUAUAUGCUAUUAUAGCACAUAUUUGGGCUCCAAUCAAUCAUGCAAAAACCAUGGAAACCAUGCAAAUGCAAAUGCCAUGGAAGUUCCAUGCAAGUCAUGUAAACUAUGCAAAUACCAAACAAGAAAAAAACCUAAAGAAGACUUAGGUGGGCUCAGGCAAGCCUAGGUGGGCCAGGGUGUGCCUAGAUCGACUAAGGCAUGCCUAAGAGGUCCAAGACAUACCUAAGAGGGUCAAGGCAUGCCUAGGUGAGCUAGGGUUUGCCUAGGUGGGCUAGAGUAUGUCUAGGUGGGCCAAGGUAUGCCUAUAUGGACCAAGGUGCACCUAAUAGGGCCAAGGUAUGACUAAAUGGAUCAGUGUGUGCCUAAAUGGGCUAAAUGUGCCUAGAUGGGACAAAGUGUGCCUAAGAGAGCCAAGGUAUGCCUAAAUGGACUAGGGUGUGCCUAAAUGGGCUAAAUGUGUCUAGAUGGGCCAAAGUAUGUCUAAAUGGACCAUGGUGUGCCUAAAUAGGCCAGAUGUGUCUAAAUGGGCUAGAUGUGCCUAGAUGGGUCAAAUGUGCCUAAAUGAGCCAAAUAUGCCUAGAUGAGCCAAAGUUAGAUAUAAUUGUCUCAUUGCUAUCCUUUUGGUGUAUUGACAUUGAUUUGAGCAUUCGGCCCAUGUCUCUUACAUUGUACAUGACUUGGGUGUAUUAAAAGUUGUAUAGAAAAUACAAGUCAUGGGUUCCUUAUAAGUAAAUAAGUUGUCCACAGUUGGUUCAUGGAUUUGGGCAAUCCAGUAGACUCUAGUGCAUUAUCUCUUAAUUGGAGGGAUGACUUGUCUUGGUUGUUAGGAUGCAUUUCUCAUGGUGAGUGCAUUAGUGUAUGUGAUGCACAUUGAAUAAGACCUACGAUGAAUCAUGACAUAAGUUUAUUAAUAGUCAUGAUUCACCAAGCUACUAUAUUGUGUGCACUCUUAAUCUUGAGAGGAUAUUAAGUUUAUGCCAAAAUCAAUAGGAGACUUUGACUUAUUGGUGAGACCCUAAAAUGGUCAUAUAUCUUUAUGGAUUGGGUCCCUAUUGAUGAAGGUUGUUCACUACAUGUAUUCUCAAUAAACACACCAUGAUAUCUCAUGGGAUUGAGAUAGUGUGCGUCCUUGGAUGAUCUAAAGGACAUGUGAUCAUGAAAUUUGUGGCCAUAAUAAUUCCUUUAAUAGAAUUUGACAUAUGCUCUUUUGAAUUAGGAUAUGUCAGUUGAUCACAUAAUAAAUGAAAUCUAUAACUCAAGGAUUUGAGAAGUGAUCUUGAUAGGUGAUAGCCCUAGCUUGUUAGAUUACAAACACUAGUUCAUGAGGAGUUUGCAUGCAAUGGAUAGUGGGUCACAGACUAAAGCUUCGUCUCGUUGUUAUUUACAUAAGGUACUGGAGUGCAAUUGAUUUUCUUUAGUGGAAUGUUGAAUCAACUUUAGAAUUGAAUUAUGAGAGAGCCAAUACUCCCAUGGAUCCAAAUGGUCCCUACUUUGAGCUCAUAAACCAUGAUAACACAGUUUAUGAGGGUUAGAUUGGCUCUAGGUUCAUUCUUAUGCAUAAGAGUGUUUUGGUAAUUAUGCAAAGUUGCAUAGGGGAUAAUGAACAAGGUCUCUAGAUUGAGAUAAUUGAUUAUUUAGAUGACCCUAUGUGGUUAAUUGAUCAAUUAAGACCCAUUUUAGGCUAGAUUAAGUGACCCAAGUGUUGAUGGGCUUAAGUCACUUAAGUCUAAUGGGCAACCUUAUAAAUACCCCUUAUGGGUUAGGGUUUCUUAAUUACUUUAGUUGGUCGUCUUCUACUUCCAAAAAGAGAAAGAGAGAGUCAAGGUUUUCACCCUUCCAAAGCCUACACUUUGGAGUGUCAAGAUUGUGGUUCAAGUCAUCGGGAGGAAGAUCUUGGGUAUACGAGACCUCCAGACUAUUUAGACAUGUUCUUCACAACAAUGAAUUGAUUUUGGAACAUUCAUAUCUAGGUAUGUGGUUCAUAUCUCUAGAUCUAUAGUUAAUAAUAGUUUUUAUUGUCAUUUUAUUUCAUUGUGACAUAUUUAGAGAUGCUUAGAGAUAGAUGCAUGCACCUUAUGAGAUCCAGGGUAUGGGAUUGGAGUAAUUUAGGGUUCCCAACAACUAGGGUGUGCCUAGAUAGGCUAGGGCAUGCCUAGAUGGGCCAAGGCAUGCCUAGAUGGGCUAAGUCAUGCCUAGAUGGGCUAGAGUUGCCAAGAUGGAUCAAGGUAUAUCUAAAUGGGCUAGGUAUGCCUAAAUGGGUCAGGGUGUGCCUAGAUGGGUUAGGGUGUGUCUAAAGGGGUCAAAGGAUGCCUAGAUGGGCCAAGAUGUGCCUAAGAAGGUCAAGGUAUUCCUAAAUGGACUAAGGUGUGUCUAAAUGGGCCAAAUGUGUCUAGAUGGGCCAAAGUGUGCCUAAGAGGGCUAAGGUAUGCCUAAAUGGACUAGGGUGUGCCUAAAUGGGCCAAAUGUGCCUAGAUGGGCCAAAGCAUAUCUAAAUGGACCAAGGUGUGCCUAUAUGGGCUUGAUGGCCUUAAAUGAGUCAGGGUGUGCCUAGAUGGGUUAGAGUGUGUCCAAAUGGGUCAGAUAUGCCUAAAUGAGUCAAAGCGCGCCUAGAUGAGGUAGGGUGUGUCUAAAUGGGUCAGGGCUUGCUUAGAUGGGCCAAGGUGUGAUUAAAAGCGCUAAGGUAUGCCUAAAUGGACCUGUGCCUAAAUGGGUCAAAUGUGCUUAGAUGGGCCAAAUGUGCCUAGAUGGGCCAAGGUGUGCCUAAGGGAUCUAGGGUGAUAAAAAAUACGCCUAAGUGAUCUAGGGUGGUUAGAAAAGUGCAUAAGUGACUUAGGGUGAUUAGAAAAGUGUCUAAGUGACCUAGGGUGAUUAGAAAAGUGUUUUAGUAACCUAGGGUGAUAAAAAAAAAAGUGCUUAAGUGACUUAGGGUGAUUAGAAUAGUGUUUCAGUGUGUUGUUCUAAAGGUUUAAAGGAGCUAUCCUAAAAAGAAAAAAAAAUGAAAAUCCUAAAUCUAACCUAGGGUGACAAAAAAAAAAAAAGUGCUUAAGUGACUUAAGGUGAUCAGAAUAGUGUUUAAGUGUGUUGUCCUAAAUGUUUAAAGAAGCUAUCUUAAAAAUAAAAUAAAAUAAUGAAAAUCCUAAAUCUAACUCGAGGUUGCCAAGAGUCAUAAUGAGAGGCCAGAUAAAUCCCUCAACCAAAGUCUCCAAGGUGGUUAAAAAAGGUAAGUUGUAUGAGUAGCAAUGGCCCACCAAGGAACUAUUGUGGAGUAUUGAAAGAAUACUUAGUAUGACAUGUGCUAAGGGAUAAAAUGGAGGGUCUACACACUCUCUCCUUUGCUUGAUUGUUGUGCUUUGAGUUUGGUUUUUGGUUUUUCGAUGCACAUGGCAUAUAUAUUCAUUAUCGAUUUAUUAAUUUUAUUAAUAUGUCUUGUUUUUUUUUGUUUUUUGCUUUUUGUUUUUUUUUUGUUAUGAUCUCUUAGUAUACAUAAUCUGUUAGUCAAUUACCUUAGUUCCCUCCACUUGUUUAGUAGAUACUUUUUUAGAACUUAGAGGGGUGCUACCCUAUGAUACCUUCCUAAUAAGUAACCUAAUUCCCAAAUCUAGACUCGAUUUUCACACUUUACUUUUCCUUAAAUGUAAUAUGAUUGUUAUAUUUUUAGAUGAAAUGUACUAUAGGUUAGUCCUAGAUGUUAAUUAAUAAGCAUUAUAAAAAUACUUAAAUUAAACACUCAUAAGCAAUCAUAUUUUCUAUAAUCAUUUGGAAUAAUGUGAUAUCAUAACUCAGAAGUGAUGCAUUUUAUGCUACUUCUAAUUAUAUCUAUCCCUUAUAGCUCAUCAGCCAAAUGAGUGUCAACAAAAUGACAAUAUUGUCUCUAUCCCUUAUAUCUCCUUUUUUUUUUCUCAAAUAAUAAAUAUUUAUAUUUCAUAACUAGACACAAAAAUAACAAUAGUCAAUUAUGUCAUCUACAAUAUGAAAAGUAAGGAAACAAUAAAGUAUUAAAACAACUAGAAAAGCCAAAUUAACAUUACCAAUAUUAGUUACCCAUGAAACACAAGUAGGUAUUGAGUUUCAUAUAAUAUAACAAGCUAAAAUUAUAGGAUAUCCAAGUUCAACAACACACAAAUGGAUAGAUGAAGAUAUUGGUUUAUGCAUCUGAUGAUGUGAUCAUGUGGGGAUCGUUAAAGGACGAAAUCCAUGAUGGAGACUAGCUUCCCAUAUUUUCUCAAUGUUGAACAUUGUGUUACCACACUCGUGCACAUUCCAUCCUUCUAAUGCAUGAAUCACCCCAGCUACACGCGAUGCACUCAUUGCCCUUCUCGGCAACCAAUUCUAUCACAUAUUUACAUUAUAAAAAAAUCCAUAACCCAGAUGAAUAAUAUAAGUAAUCCAGUUUAUAGUGUAUGAUGAUUGGUAGGUGGUGGAGUUAAUGCCUUGAAAGUUUCUUUGAAAGAUGUUCUCUUCAUUGAUUCGUGCCUAAUUGGUGUCUCAGUUGAUUCGUGUCCAGCUGGUGCUCCUUGAUUGAGGGAGUAAUCAACAAAAUUUAUUACCUAUAACACCAUACACUAGGGUAGCAAAGAAAAAGCUACUAUAGUAUAGUGGCUCUAGGGUCGUUCACUGGGAAUGACUAACAAGCAAUCAAUGAUACCAAUUCCAAGUGAAUUGGUCUUGUUUCAUUUCAAGGUUAGCUUAAGAAGUAAAACACAAACUUUGAUUGGUAAAGGUUUAGACUUAAACUAACUAACAUAACAGAAGUUUGGAAUAAUUUAGGAAGAAAAGCAUUCCUUAGAGAAUUAGGUUCACUGGGGUGGUUCCUCAUGCAAAUGACAUAGCUCCGGUCAGAUGGUUCAUUUCCUCGCAUUAGAGAUUCAACAUAUAGUCAAUUCUCUAACCGGUGUUAUACAGAGACUCCUUCAAUUAGAUUUCACUUUAAUUCUCUCACUGAUGCACUUUGCAAUGGUUUAAGCCUCUCACUAAGCCUUAACCAUUCAAGGUGAUCUUUAACCUUGGAUUACCCGUCAAAAGCUCGCAAGAUAUAACUAAUGGAUGCCUCCUAGGAGUCCAAAAGCUUACCAAGUGUUGGCUAUUCUAGAAAAUCCUACCCUGAAGUCACCUACCAGAGGCUCGCAAGGGGUAAACUGGUGCAUUUCCAUGGUUGGAAAUCACUUGCCUUACCAAGUGUUGGCCCAGGUGACUCCAAGGUGUUUUAAGUUAACUAAAAACAUAGAAAUCACUAAAGGAUUUCACUUCCUCUUCAUUACUAGCUAAAACCACAGAGCUUUGCAUUCUUGCACUUGGAACCUUCCCCGACAACCUUAGCUCCGAGGAAUUAGAGGUUUAGUUACUCAUUCUCUGGGGAAAACUCCUCAGAGAAUUCAUAACUUAGAAAUAAAAUGAAAAUACAAAGUGAGAAGGUAAGGUAGUAGAAAGAAAAUAGACUUUACUUGCUUACCUAAACGUUUACAAAAGGAACUCCUCUCUGAGAACAGGCUCCCGAGAGGUAUAUAUAUCAACAUAAUAUAAAACUAAUUGUUACAAAAAUAUUUAGUCUUUUUACUAACUUAAAAACUAAGGAAUCAUGUAAUUGGUGGUUUACAAGGAGUAUUUUGGGAUUUAGACAACAAAAAUCUAAUGGAAAAUAUCUCCUAAUGUCGAUAGCAAAUAUCGGAGGCUUCAGGAGCCAUUUCGCAGGAGAAAAAUGGUGUCUGCGAGAUUUCGCAGACACUCAAGAGGGCUGCGAAAUUAUUUCGCAACACCAAACUAUCUUCAUAGGGCUGCGAAGUUGGCUUCGACCUUGAGGUUCCCAACUUCCUUCUCGCGGCAUAAAUCGUGCAUCGUCAGAAGGAGAAACACCUUACUGUACAAAAAUGCUGCGAAAUCACUUCGCAACAAAAGGGUGAUUUCGCAACACUUUGCAAAAUGCUUCCUUCAGCUCGGAGUGAUUGGCUUGUAAUGGCUGCAGCUUCUUCGUUUCAACUCCGAAUUGCACACCGUUUGAAGCAUUGGAUUUUUGACUUCCUGAGCUUUGAAAUGGUAUAUAGCAUGCAUCAUUUGGACUUCAUAAAGUACUCCAAAAGUGGCUGCUACGACUGUCAUCAAGAAUAGGCUUUAUGGCAGAUUCUCUUUGCUUUUUCUCCUUGCAAUCCGGAUUCACUCUUGGCACAUGACUUCUAAGCUUUGCCCAAGAUUCCUCAUAGCUCUCCUCAGUCUUGACUUGCUUUGGUGAUCAAAAUACUAACAAAAACACCAAAACUUACACAAAGUGAUUAAAAUUGCUUUAAAGGAUCCUUAACAUGUCAAUUGAGUUAAAAGGCCUAAACUACUACUCAAAAGUGUUUAAAAGGAUUAAUUAUAGGCUAUCAAAUAGCACUUUUUGAGUAGUAAUCACUCCCCCCAACCGACAUAUUGCUAGUCCCUUAGCAAUAUAGGAGAGAAAAAAAUGAAAAUAAAUAACAAACUAAUCUAAAAUUUACAACAUCAUGCUAAAGGAAAAUAAUUCUCAAGUGGCAUGAUGAUCUAUUUCUCACAUGAAUCAUUAAAGAAAUACAAACCCAAAUCUCAACAAGAGUCAUAACAAACUAUGUUAAACACUGUCAAUCAAGGGAGUGCAUUAUGCAAACUGAAGUUUUAAAAUCAUUUCCACUUUCUAAGAAUCAAACUUUAAUCUUCCACAAAAAAUCUAUGUGUAUUGGUUCCUUAGGUUCCGAGAAUAAUAUGCUAAACUAAUCUCUCCCCCCAACCUAUCUCUUUUCAAUACUUUAGCAAUCUGACCAAAAUCAAUAAGAAAAGAACACACUGUCAUUUUUUAUUUUUUUUUUAUUUUUUUUUCAAGGUAGCUUUAUGGGGUACUCUUUCUGAUUUGUCCAUGUAAUGGGGGUCCAUCGAUGACUCCCAACCAAUUAAGGUUUAGGGCACCAAGUUUUAAGGAUCUUUCAACCACUAACUCCUCGGAUUUUUCCCCGGACUUUUAAGAAUGAAUUUCUAAUACCCAAGCAUCUACCAUAUGCUAACUCUACCUAUUCACCCUUGUAACGAGCAUUGAGGUCGGUGUCUCCCAACCAAUUAAGGCUUAGGGCAUUAGGCUUUAAAGGCUUUCACCAUAUGCCCCUUAGACCUUGCUCGGGUUUCAAGGCAAGCAAACAACUUUCUUUAUUUCAAAGGCUCAUUGGCCUUUUGCAGGGUGUUUCAAUUUUUAUCAAAUGAGGUCAAAUAUACCAAGUCCCAAAAUUAUCCUAAGUCAAGAGGGAAAUAGCUUUUCAUCUUAUAAUCGGAAUCUAAUGUGCACAGUGUGUGGAUAGCUUAAAGUGGAAGAACUUAAUUCAAUUUCAAUAGAAGUUUCAACAAUUGAACCACUUUAGUAAGCAUAAUCCAUACUCUAAGUCAAGUGAAAAAACAACAGUUCAAUUUCUCUUGGUUUAAUUUGAAAAUUUUUCCUCAAAAUUCAUGGAGAAUAGAGUAACAAGAGUAAAAAGUAAAAACUACAACUAAUUAACCAAUAUAAUUGCAAUACCAAAAAGGUUUAGAAUACUUCCUUCCUCAUACCCCCCAACCGAACUGAGCAUUGUCCUCAAUGUGAUAUGAGUGACUGUGAGUAAAGGGAGGAAGUGGUACCUCCUGACUGCUAUCAAAUUCGAAUAUUGAUUGAGGAAAACCACAUGUUUCAAAAAGAAUAGAAUAUGUGAGAAAAGGAAAUAAGAAUAACUUAAUGCUAACUGUUAACAAGAACUAUUCAACUUGUAUUACUUUCAAUUCAUUCGAGUACAAUGUAAAAGACAAGUAACACAAGGAAUCCCAUAUAUAGUACCAAAAUACUGGGAUUUCUUUUCAACUAAAAAACGAAAUACAUAAAAAUAUUAGAUAUAUAUAAUAGUCUGAUGAGUGGUGCUGGGGCUAGAACUAGGCAGAUGGAUCUGCUGCCUUUUCAGUAGGUGCAUCAGCUGGGGCUUCGGGCUCUGGAGGAUGAGACUCUGAAGGAUGAGGGUGUGGCUCUGUUGGAGUAGAAGUGGAGGGCUCUACAGCUUGUGGCAGAUCGAAAUGGACUUGGAGCUGCCUUAAGAUGGCAGCUUGUUGAGCCUGAGUGGCUAACAUCUGCUCUUGGCAUGCUGUGAUGGCUGCCAUCUCUUGAGCAAGAUUGCUCUGAGAAGCUGUAAGAGUCUCCAAUGCACGGCACAACUCUCAAUAUUCAGAUAUAGGAAUGGCCAUCCUCGGCUCAGCUGAUGUGGAUGGCUAAGAUGAAGCAGGUGUAGCUGGUGGAGCUCUAGGAAUGGCAGGAGUAGCAACUGUUAUACCUUCAGGUAUAUAUCUUAGGGAGGCUCUCCUUGCAGCUGGUUGAGGCUGCCCAGGCUGAUCAACUUUGUAGGCCGUCAUAUUAUUCCAUUUAUCAAGAGUGAAUGGGUCACGGCAUAUUCGCUUUCUCUCCAGCUGAGGCUCAGCCGGGUAUCCUAGAUGCUCCAAAAUUUGGCAUAGCAGCCUUGGGAAGAGGAGGGGAAUGCAAUCUGCUCUCUGAAGCUUCUUCUUGUGAACCUUCUCUUCAAAAUAGAGAAGGGCUGCCAUGAUCAGAUGAUGAGGCCCAAAGAAGAAUCCUUCUGACAUCUUGUAUAGAGCUUCCAGGAGAACUCCCCUUCUUUGGGUCCAAUGCUGCAAUGGAUAGAUAUUAUGGCGCAAAAAGGCAUCAAUCAAAAACAUAACUGGGGGAAGCUCCCCCCUCAGCAGAUGUGAUCGAUUUGCAGCUCCUCUGGAAACGGUGCGAACCAUUUCUAGCUCAGUAGGAUUUGCCCAAGCUCUAAAAUUAUCGAAUUGGGUUGGCUCAAAAGGAAUUUGCAGGGCUUCAGCAAUAUGUCGUGCUCCCAAUAUACCAUGUCUCCCAUCGAUAGUGAAAUGAAUCAAGGUUGGAUUCCUGACCUCUUUAGUUGUCAUGGAUUGGUAGAAAUCCGUGGCUAUCCGGGGAUAGAAAAAGUCUCUUGGAGCUAGCAGAUGCUCCAUAUGAUACCUCCUCAGCAGCUGGAAUGAUUGGGCAAGCUCUGGCCUCACUCUGAAUGCUGCUAAGUUGAAGCAAAGCUCGGAAUGGAAUGUCCGAGUUCGACAAUCCAAGUUUCCCUCAAUUGGGGGCUGAGGUAGCAUUGGCCUCCUAAUCACUUCUUCCAGAGGUGUUUCUGCUUGAAUUUGGGGCUCGGGAAGUGGCACUUGAGGCUCCUGAGAUUUUUCUUGCAGAGCCGGAGAUGGUACCGGCGAUGGAACUGGCAAGGGACUUGGCGAGAGAACCGGCGAUGGCACUGGAGUUUGAACCGGUGAUGGAAUUGGAGAAGGCUCUGGAUAUUGCUCAGUCAAAUCGAUGGGUUCUGAGCUCUCCACCCUGGGUUUCUUUUGCAAUGGCCGACCACCUGACCUGGUAAGGUAUCGUCUUGUCGGCGGCUUUGGUGGCACGGGCUUCACCGGAGGUGGAAUUGGCCUUGACGGCGAAGCCUCUAGAGCAGAACCUGGACUUGGCUCCUUUCGCAGACUCUUCUUGCGGUUCGAAGGAGAUGAAGACUUAGCCCCUCGUGUUCACGCCAUUUUGGGCUAUCGAACUUUGGCCGGCGUUGCUGAUCGGAGAAGGUGACCGGAGGCUCGGACGGUGUGGCUCAUUGAAGAAGACGAACAGGCUGCGAGAAUGGUGCUCUGAUUUUUGAAACCCUUUUCGCAGCUCAAAUGACCGGUAUAAAUAGGAAAAACGGAAGCCUAAGGGUCAGUUUAAGUUCACAGCAAAAUGCCAUUUUCGCAGCAACUUCGCAGUGAGUUUCGCAGCUGCGAAAUUGAUGUUACUGUGCUGCGAAAUGGCACUCGUGUGCCAAAACCAUUUUCGCAAUUGCGAAAUACCCUGCGGAAUGGGACUUUUGGUGCGAAAUCACGCUUUGGCUAUCGAAAUGGAUGCUAUUGUACUGCGAAGUGGCACUCGUGUGCCAAAACCACUUUCGCAGCUGCGAAAUACCCUCGCAGAGACUUCUACAGUGUUGUGGAAUGGUUUGGCAACAAAAUGCUCAGUUCGCAGAAGUUUUCUUCAGCCUGCGAAAUUUCGCAGAGCUCUGUUUUUCCCCUGUUUUUGCUCUGUUUUGGCUCCGAUUUCGACCCGAUUUUUUUUCUUUCAAUCUCCUUGAAAUUUCUUCCACCUGGGAUCAUUUAAAAGGAUUAAAACACACCUAAAAACAUGAUUUAAGAUCAAAAACUAAGAUCAAAAGUAUGGAAACAACUUGAAAAUUUACAAAAUUUACAAAAAUUUUGAACUGUGGUAAACCACGUCCAGCAAACCCUUUUUCACUUAGGCUUUUUGAGGCUCAAGGAGGUUGAUUGCCUCCUUUUCUGAUUUGAAUGGCUCCAUGAAUGGCUUGAGACGAUAUCCAUUGACUUUAAAGCUAUCCUUGCCAUUGGAAUUCAAUAAUUCCACCACUCCAUUGGACCAUACUCGGUGAAUAAUGAACGGGCCUAUCCACCUUGACUUGAGCUUCCCAGGAAAGAUAUGGAGUCUUGUGUCAUACAGUAAAACUCUUUGCCCUUCCUGAAAUUCCUUGUUGGAGAUGAGUUGAUCAUGCCACUUCUUCAUCCUCUGUUUUGCAACUUUGGAAUUGAUAUAAGCAUUAUUUCUUAAUUCCUCCAUCUCAUUAAGGUUUAGAAAUCUCUUUUCUCCGGCCUUGAUCAAGUCCAUGUUCAGCUUCUUUAUCGCCCACCAAGCCUUGUAUUCAACUUCCACAGGGAGAUGGCAUGCUUUGCCAUAGACAAGACGAUAGGGAGACAUCCCAAGAAUAGUCUUAUAAGCUGUUCUAUAUGCCCACAAUGAAUCAUAAAGCCUAAUAGACCAAUCUUUUCUGUUGGAAUUCACCACUUUCAUCAGGAUGUUCUUUAUUUCCCUGUUAGCUAGCUCAACUUGCCCGGAAGUUUGAGGAUGAUAAGGUGUGACCACCUUAUGCUUCACUCCAUACUUGGAUAGCAGAGCUUCAAAAGGUUUGUUGCAAAAAUGAGCUCUUCCAUCACUGAUUAUGGCCUUGGGCACCCCAAAUCUUGAGAAAAUGUUCUCUUUAAGAAACUUGAGAACCACCCUGUGAUCAUUUUGUUUACAGGGGAUUGCCUCAACCCAUUUAGAAACAUAAUCUACCCCCACCAAGAUGUAAGAAUUACCAAAAGACAUUGGGAAAGGUCCCAUGAAGUCAAUGCCCCAUACAUCAAAUAACUCAACUAUCAGAAUGGGGUUCAUAGGCAUUUGAUUUCUUUUUGUUAGCUUUCCAAGCCUUUGGCAUCUAUCACAAUUCCUACACAUGAUGUGGGCAUCCUUAAAAAGAGAUGGCCAAGUAAACCCUGAUUGCAAUACCUUCAUGGCUGUUUUCUGAGAGGCAAAGUGGCCUCCACAUGCAUUCUCAUGACAAUGAGAUAGAAUCCCUUGCUGCUCAUCUUCAGGGACACACUUCCUAAUAAUCUGAUCUGCACAAUACUUAAAGAGAAAGGGCUCUUCCCAAUAAUAAGAAUGAAUUUUGGCAAAGAAGUGUUUCCUGUCCUGUGCAUUCCACUCACUUGGAAUUUCUCCAGUUACUAAAUAAUUGGCAAUAUGAGCAUACCAAGGAGUUUUCACUAGGAACAUGAGUGAUUCUUCAGGAAAAUCAUCAUUGAUAGGCAAGGGAUGGGAAUUAUGUGCUAUAACUAACCUUGACAAGUGGUCAGCUACUACAUUCUCCACUCCUUUCUUAUCUUUGAUUUGAAGAUCGAAUUCUUGUAACAAAAGAAUCCAUCUAAUCAACCUUGCUUUUGCAUCUUGCUUUGUCAAUAAAUACUUCAAGGCUGAAUGGUCAGUAAAGACAAUGAUGAAAGACCCCACUAAAUAAGCACGAAAUUUGUCCAAAGCAAAUACCACAACUAACAAUUCUUUCUCUGUAGUUGUGUAGUUCCUUUGAGCUUCAUUUAGUGUUUUACUUGCAUAGUAAAUCACAUAGGGCUUCCCAUCUUCUCUUUGGCCAAGCACAGCUCCUAUAGCAAAGUCACUGGCAUCACACAUCAAUUCAAAAGGUAAUUGCCAGUUAGGGGCUCUCACUAUUGGAGUUGUUGUUAAAAAUUUCUUCAGUUGAUCAAAGCUACUUUGACACCUUUCAUCCCAUAUAAACUUAGCAUCCUUAGCUAACAGCUCACAAAGAGGUUUUGAAAGACUUGAAAAACCUUUUAUAAACCUCCUAUAAAACCCUGCAUGGCCAAGGAACUGCCUUACUCCUUUCACAGUUGUUGGAGAUGGUAAUUUGGCAAUAAGCUCCACCUUUGCUUUAUCAACUUCAAUGCCUUUUUCAGAGAUGAUAUGACCAAGGACAAUUCCUUGACGUACCAUAAAAUGGCAUUUCUCCUAGUUCAGCACCAAAUCUUUUUCAAUGCAUCUAUGAAGAACUGCUUCCAAAUUAACCAAGCAUUCCUCAAAUGUACCUCCAUAUACGGUGAUGUCAUCCAUGAAAACCUCCAUAAUUCUCUCCACCAUAUCACUGAAAAUACUCAACAUACAUCUUUGAAAUGUAGCAGGUGCAUUGCAUAAACCAAAAGGCAUUCUUCUAUAAGCAUAUGUUCCAAAUGGACAUGUAAAAGUGGUAUUUUCUUGAUCUGCCAAAUCAAUUUCAAUCUGAAAAUACCCUGAAUACCCAUCCAAGAAACAAUAGAAUGGAUGUCCAGAGACUCUCUCCAGCACUUGAUCAAUAAAUGGCAAUGGAAAAUGAUCCUUCCUAGUGACAGCAUUCAGCUUUCUAUAAUCAAUACACACCCUCCAACCUGAAGUGAAGCGUGUAGUAAUUUCUUCCCCUUUUUCAUUCUGAACCACUGUGAUCCCUGACUUCUUUGGUACCACUUGAGUAGGACUCACCCAAGGGCUAUCAAAUAUAGGGUAAAUGAUUCCUGCUUGAAGUAGCUUCAGCACCUCAGCUCGCACCACCUCUUGUAGAUGAGGAUUCAACCUUCUUUGAAAUUGUCGAAUUGGCUUUGCUUCCUCCUCCAUAUAUAUAUGAUGAGUACAAACUAAAGGACUAAUGCCUUUCAAGUCAGAAAUUUGCCAUCCUAUUGCCUUCUUACACUUCCUGAGAACUUUCAUUAAACAAUUCUCUUGAUGAUUGGUCAGAGAUGAAGAUAUCACAACAGGACAUUGAUUAUUUUCUUCAAGGUAUGUAUAUUUCAGCUCCACAGGUAAAGGCUUCAGAUUGAGUUUUGGAAUUUCUUUUUCAACAGCUGUCUCCUCUUCUUUUUUGAACAAAGUUAGAAUAUCUUCUAUCUUUCUCCAACUUUGUAGAGUAGCAAGCCUAAUAGGAGAUUCAGAAAAACCUUCCUCAAUAUCCUCAAGACUUGCAUUCAACUUGUCUUGCAUAUUUUGAUUACAGUGCUCCUCUACCAAAGUAUCAAUAAUACAUAACUCUUCUGGACCUUCUUCUUCUUCUGGAGUGAUUUGCUUUUUAGACAUAUAGAAAAUAUUGAGAUCCAGUGUCAUGUUACCAAAAGUGAGUUGCAUAAGCCCAUUCCUGCAGUUGAUGAUUGCAUUUGAAGUUGCAAGAAAUGGCCUUCCAAGGAUGAUAGGAACUAAAUUAGCUUCCUUUACAGUAGGAUCUGUAUCAAGAACAAUAAAAUCUACUGGAUAGUAGAAAUUAUCCACUUGAACCAAUACAUCCUCAAUUACCGCUCUUGGAAUUUUCACUGAUCUAUCUGCCAGAGAUAGAGUGAUUGCUGUUGGCUUCAACUCUCCAAGGCCUAAUUGCUUGUAAACAGAAUAAGGAAGCAAAUUCACACUUGCUCCCAAAUCUAGCAAGGCUUUCUCCACUACCUUUCCUCCAAAAAUGACUGAAAUGGUAGGACUUCCAGGGUCUUUGUACUUCAAAGGAGACUUACAUUGUAAGAUUGCACUUACUUGCUCAGUCAAGAAGGCUUUCUUGUUUACAGUCAACCCUCUUUUGAUAGUACACAAGUCCUUUAGGAAUUUUGCAUACGUUGGAACUUAAUUGAUCAUAUCCAGCAGUGGAAUAUUGACUUUCACUUGUCUCAAUACUUCAAGGAUUUCAGCUGCAUUUCUAAUCCCCUUUUUCCCAUGUAAUGCUUGAGGAAAAGGUGGAGAAGUUGAUUUCUUCAGCAUUUCUUCCUUCAAAAGCUCCUUCUCUGGAAUUACUUUCAUUGUUGCAUCAGAGUCCUUCUUUUCUUCACUGAUCUCACUCUCUUUAUCUUCCAUUUCCUUCCCUUUCUUUAUCUCUUCUUCUUUCUCAACAUGUGGCUUGGGUGUUGGCUGCUCAAUUUUCUUACCACUCCUUAGAGUGAUCAAAGCUUUGACAUCCUUCACCUGUGAUGAUUCUCCCUCCUGGUUUUCCACUUCAUGGACACCUUUGGGAUUUUGGUGAGGUUGAGAAGGAAAUCUUCCCUUUUCUUGCAGUGUAUUCAAAUUUGUAAGCCUUGAAAUUGAAUAUUGGAUGUUGUCAAACUUUUGGUUCAUAUCAUUUUGCAUUCCAUCCAUCCUUUUAUUCAACAUACUCUCCACUCUAUCAAUUUUUUGAUCGACUCGAGCAUUAGUGGCUUCUUGCUUUUCAAUAAAAUCUCCCAUUACCUUAGUGAGAUUGGCUACUGCUUGUUCAAUACUUGAAGAUUGUUGAGAUGGUGGAUCCGGCUAUUGGUAUUGAGUUGCUCUGGCCUUCCAUGAGAAAUUUGGAUGAUUCCUCCAACUUGAGUUGUAGGUAUUUCCAUAAGGAGCAUUGUUAUUAGGCCUGAAUUGUCCAACAACAUUUGCUUGAUCUCUAAACAUUUCCCUUUCAACUGAAAUUACAGGGCAUUCCUCCAUCAAAUGUUCAAAUGAUUGACAAUUGGGACACAGCUUCACUUGCACUGGUGCUUUAGCAAAAGCUUGCACUUCAUGUAUUCUUUUCAGCUCCAGCUCCUCCAAUCUUCUUGUCAUAGCUGCCAACUUUGCUUUCAUAUCAUCAUCUUCUUUCAAGGUAUACAUCCCAGCCUUUGCAUUGUAAGCAUUCAACUGAGACUUCAUCUUUCCCACUUCUCCUUUAGUUCGUUCAUCCCAUCCCCUUGAAACAUCAGCUACAUAACUCAAGAAAUCCAUAGCUUCCUCUGGAUUUUUGCUCAUGAAAUCUCCUCCACACAUUGUCUCGAGGAGUUGCUUCAUUGAGGAGGACAUACCAUCAUAAAAAUAGCUCACCAAUAGCCAAGUAUCAAAGCCAUGGUGAGGACAAGCAUUUAUAGCUUCCAUGUAUCUUUCCCAACAAUCAUAGAAUUUCUCAUUCUCUUUAGCUGAGAAGUUUGAAAUUUGCCUUUUCAAGCCAUUUGUUCUAUGAGUAGGAAAAAAUUUCUUGAGGAAUUCAGCUUGUAAAUCAGUCCAAGAGCAGAUACUCUAAUUCGUGCCCAAUUAGUGUCUCAGCUAAUUUGUGUUUAGCUGGUGCUCCUUGAUUGAGGGAGUAAUCAACAAAAUUUAUUACCUAUAACACCAUACACUAGGGUAGCAAAGAAAAAGCUACUAUAGUAUAGUGGCUCUAGGGUCGUUCACUGGGAAUGACUAACAAGCAAUCAAUGAUACCAAUUCCAAGUGAAUUGGUCUUGUUUCAUUUCAAGGUUAGCUUAAGAAAUAAAACACAAAUUUUGAUUGGUAAAGGUUGAGACUUAAACUAACUAACAUAACAGAAGUUUGGAAUAAUUUAAGAAGAAAAGCAUUCCUUGGAGAUUUAGGUUCACUGGGGUGGUUCCUCAUGCAAAAGACAUAGCUCCGGUCAGUUGGUUCAUUUCCUCGCAUUAGAGAUUCAACUUAUAGUCAAUUCUCUAACCGGUGAUGUACAGAGACUCCUUCAAUUAGAUUUCACUUUAAUUCUCUCACUGAUGCAACUUGCAAUGGUUUAAGCCUCUCACUAAGCCUUAACCAUUCAAGGUGAUCUUUAACCUUGGAUUACCCGUCAAAAGCUCGCAAGAGAUAACUAAUGGAUGCCUCCUAGGAGUCCAAAAGCUUACCAAGUGUUGGCUAUUCUAGAAAAUCCUACCUUGAAGUCACCUACCAGAGGCUCGCAAGGGGUAAACUAGUGCAUUUCCAUGGUUGGAAAUCACUUGCCUUACCAAGUGUUGGCCCAGGUUACUCUAAGGUGUUUUAAGUUAACUAAAAACAUAGAAAUCACUAAAGGAUUUCACUUCCUCUUCAUUAAUAGCUAAAACCACAGAGCUUUGCAUUCUUGCACUUGGAACCUUCCCCGACAACCUUAGCUCCAAGGAAUUAGAGGUUUAGUUACUCAUUCUCUGGGGAAAACUCCUCAGAGAAUUCAUAACUUAGAAAUAAAAUGAAAAUACAAAGUGAGAAGGUAAGGCAGUAGAAAGAAAAUAGACUUUACUUGCUUACCCAAACGGUUACAGAAGGAACUCCUCCCUGAGAACAGGCUCCCGAGAGGUAUAUAUAUCAACAUAAUAUAAAACUAAUUGUUUCAAAGAUAUUUAGUCUUUUUACUAACUUAAAACUAAGGAAUCAUGUAAUUGGUGGUUUACAAGGAGUAUUUUGGGAUUUAGACAACAAAAAUCUAAUGGAAAAUAUCUCCCAAUGUCGGUAGCAAGCUUCGGGAGGCUUCAGGAGACAUUUCGCAGGAGAAAAAUGGUGUCUGCGAGAUUUCGCAGACACCCAAGAGGGCUGCGAAAUUAUUUCGCAACACCAAACUAUCUUCACAGGGCUGCGAAGUUGGCUUCGACCUUGAGGUUCCCAACUUCCUUCUCGCGGCAUAAAUCGUGCAUCGUCAGAAGGAGAAACACCUUACUGUACAAAAAUGCUGCGAAAUCACUUCGCAACAAAAGGGUGAUUUCGCAACACUUUGCAAAAUGCUUCCUUCAGCUCCGAGUGAUUGGCUUGUAAUGGCUGCAAAUUCUUCGUUUCAACUCCGAAUUGCACACCGUUUGAAGCAUUGGAUUGUUGACUUCCUGAGAUUUGAAAUGGUAUAUAGCAUGCAUCAUUUGGACUUCAGAAAGUGCUCCAAAAGUGGCUGCUACGACUGUCAUCAAGAAUAUGCUUUAUGGCAGAUUCUCUUUGCUUUUUCUCCUUGCAAUCCGGAUUCACUCUUGGCAAAUGACUUCUAAGCUUUGCCCAAGAUUCCUCAUAGCUCUCCUCAGUCUUGACUUGCUUUGGUGAUCAAAAUACUAACAAAAACACCAAAACUUACACAAAGUGAACAAAAUUGCUUUAAAGGAUCCUUAACAUGCCAAUUGAGUUAAAAGGCCUAAACUACUACUCAAAAGUGUUUAAAAGGAUUAAUUAUAGGCUAUCAAAUAGCACUUUUUGAGUAGUAAUCACUCCCCCCAACCGACAUAUUGCUAGUCCCUUAGCAAUAUAGGAGAGAAAAAUGAAAAUAAAUAACAAACUAAUCUAAAAUUUACAACAUCAUGCUAAAGGAAAAUAAUUCUCAAGUGGCAUGAUGAUCUAUUUCUCACAUGAAUCAUUAAAGAAAUACAAACCCAAAUCUCAACAAGAGUCAUAACACCUAUGCUAAACACUGUCAAUCAAGGGAGUGCAUUAUGCAAACUGAAGUUUUAAAAUCAUUUCCACUUUCUAAGAAUCAAACUUUAAUCUUCCACAAAAAUCUAUGUGUAUUAGUUCCUUAGCUUCCAAGAAUAAUAUGCUAAACUAGUCUCACCCCCCAACCUAUCUCUUUUUAACACUUUAGCAAUCUGACCAUAAUCAAUAAGAAAAGAACACACUUUUUUUUUUUUUUCAAGGUAGCUUUAUGGGAUACUCUUUCUGACUUGUCCAUGUAAUGGGGGUCCAUCGAUGGCUCCCAACCAAUUAAGGUUUAGGGCACCAAGCUUUAAGGAUCUUUCAACCACUAACUCCUCGGAUUUUUCCCCGGACUUUUAAGAAAGAAAUUCUACUACCCAAGCAUCUACCAUAUGCUAACUCUACCUAUUCACCCUUGUAACGAGCAUUGAGGUCGGUGACUCCCAACCAAUUAAGGCUUAGGGCACCAGGCUUUAAAGGCUUUCACCAUAUGCCCCUCAGACCUUGCUCGGGUUUCAAGGCAAGCAAACAACUUUCUUUAUUUCAAAGGCUCAUUGGCCUUUUGCAGGGUGUUUCAAUUUUAUCAAAUGAGGUCAAAUAUACCAAGUCCCAAAAUUAUCUUAAGUCAAGAGGGAAAUAGUUUUUCAUCUUAUAAUCGGAAACUAAUGUGCACAGUGUGUGAAUAGCUUAAAGUGGAAGAACUAAAUUCAAUUUCAAUAGAAGUUUCAACAAUUGAACCACUUUAGUAAGCAUAAUCCAUACUCUAAGUCAAGUGAAAAACAACAGUUCAAUUUCUCUUGGUUUAAUUUGAAAAUUUUUCCUCAAAAUUCAUGGAGAAAAUAGUAACACUAGUAAAAAGUAAAAUCUACAACUAAUUAACCAAUAUAAUUGCAAUACCAAAAAGAUUUAGCAUACUUCCUUCCUCAUACCCCCCAACCGAACUGAGCAUUGUCCUCAAUGUGAUUUGAGUGACUGUAAUAAAAGGGAGGAAGUGGUACCUCCUUGCUAAUAUCAAAUUCGAAUAUUGAUUGGGAAAAACCACAUGUUUCAAAAAGAAUAGAAUAUGUGAGAAAAGGAAAUAAGGAGAACUUAAUGCUAACUUUUAACAAGAAAUAUUCAACUUGUAUUACUUUGAGUUCAUUCAAGUAUAGUGCAAAAGACAAGUAAUCACAAGGAAUCCCAUAUAUAGUACCAAAAUACUGGGAUUUCUUUUCAACAAAAAACAAAAAUGCAUAAAAACAUAAACAGAAAAUAUAUAUAAUGUCUGAUGAGUGGGGUGAUGGUGCUAGGCAGAAGGAUUUGCCUCCACAGUAGGUGGAUCAGCUGGUGGUUCGGGCUCUGGAGGAUGAGACUCUGAAGGCUGAGAGUGUGGCUCUGGUGGAGUAGAAAUGGAGGGCUCUACAGCUUGUGGCAAAUCGAAAUGGACUUGGAGCUGCCUUAGGAUGGCAGCUUGUUGAGCCUGAGAGGCUAACAUCUGCUCUUGGCAAGCUCUGAUGGCUGCCAUCUCCUGAGCAAGAUUGCUCUGAGAAGCUGUAAGAGUCUCCAAUGCACGGCACAACUCUCGAUAUUCAGAUAUAGGAAUGGCCAUCCUCGGCUCAGCUGAUGUGGAUGGCUAAUAUGAAGCAGGUGCAGCUGGUGGAGCUCUAGGAAUGGCAGGAGCAGCAACUGUUAUACCCUCAGGUAUACGUUGGGGAGGCUCUCCUUGCAGCUGGCUGAGGCUGUCCAGGCUAAUCAACUUUGUAGGCCGUCAUAUUGUUCCAUUUAUCAAGAGUGAAUGGCUCACGGCAUAUUCGCUUUCUCUCCAGCUGAGGCUCAGAGGGGUAUCCCAGAUGCUCCAAAAUUUGGCAUAGCAGCCUUAGGAAGAGGAGGGGAAUACAAUCUGCUCUCUGAAGCUUCUUUCUGUGAACCUUCUCUUCAAAAUAGAGAAGGGCUGCCAUGAUCAGAUGAUGAGACCCAAAGAAGAAUCCUUCUGACAUCUUGUACAGAGCUUCCAGGAGAACUCCCCUUCUUUGGGUCCAAUGCUGCAAUGGAUAUAUAUUAUGGCGCAAAAAGGCAUCAAUCAAAAACAUAACUGGAGAAAGCUCCCCCCUCAGCAGAUGUGAUCGAUUUGCAGCUCCUCUGGAAAGGGUGCGCACCAUCUCUAGCUCAGUAGGAUUUGCCCAAGCUCUAAAAUUAUCGAAUUGGGUUGGCUCAAAAGGAAUUUGCAGGGCUUCAGCAAUAUGUCUUGCUCCCAAUAUACCAUGUCUCCCAUCAAUUGUGAAAUGAAUCAAGGUUGGAUUUCUGACCUCUUUGGUUGUCAUGGACUGGUAGAAAUCUGUGGCUAUCCGGGGAUAGAAAAAGUCUCUUGGAGCUAGCAGUUGCUCCAUAUGAUACCUCCUCAGCAGCUGGAAUGAUUGGGCAAGCUCUGGCCUCACUCUGAAUGCUGCUAAGUCGAAGCAAAGCUCGGAAUGAAAUGCCCGUGUUCUACAAUCCAAGUUUCCUUCGAUUGGGGGCUGAGGUAGCAUUGGCCUCCUAAUUACUUCUUCCAGAGCUGUUUCAGUUUGCAUUUGGGGCUCGGGAAGAGGCACUUGAGGCUCCUGGGAUUUUUCUUGCGGCGCCGGAGAUGGUACCGGCGAUGGUACUGGCAGGGGGCUCGGCGAGGGAACCGGAGACGGCACUGGAGUUUGAACCGGUGAUGGAAUUGGAGAAGGCUCUGGAGAUUGCUCAGUCAAAUCGAUGGGUUCUAAGCUCUCCACCCUGGUUUUCUUCUGCAAUGGCCGACCGCCUGACCUAGUAAGGUAUCGUUUUGCCGGCGGCUUUGGCGGCGCUGGUUUCACCGGAGGAGGAUUUGGCCUUGACAGCGUAGGCUCUGGAGCAGAACCUGGACUUGGCUCCUUUCGCAGACUCCUUUUGCGGUUCGAAUGAGAUGAAGACUUAGCCCCUCGUGUUCGCGCCAUUUUGGGCUAUCGAACUUUGGCCGGCAUUGCUGAUCGGAGAAGAUGACCGGAGGCUCGAACGGCGUGGCUUGGCGAAGAAGACGAAGCGGCUGCGAGAAUGGUGCUCUGGUUUUUGAAACCCUUUUCGCAGCACAAAUGACCGGUAUAAAUAGGAAAAACGGAAGCCUAAGGGUCAGUUUAAGUUUCGCAACAAAACGCCAAUUUCGCAGCAACUUGCCAUUUUCGCAGCAACUUCGCAGUGAGUUUCGCAGCUGCGAAAUUGAUGUUACUGUGCUGCGAAGUGGCACUCGUGUGCCAAAACCACUUUCGCAAUUGCGAAAUACCCUGCGGAAUGGGACUUUUGGUGCGAAAUCACGCUUUUCCACUUCGCAAUGCGUUUCGCAGCUGCCAAAUGGAUGCUACUGUACUGCGAAGUGGCACUCGUGUGCCAAAUUCACUUUCGCAGUUGCGAAAUACCUUCGCAGAGACUUCUACAGUGUUGCGGAAUGGUUUGGCAACAAAAUGCCCAUUUCGCAGAAGUUUCCUUCUUUCUACGAAAUUUCACAGAGCUCUGUUUUUCCCCUGUUUCUGCUUUGUUUUGACUCCGAUUUCGACCCGAUUUUUUUUCUUUCAAUCUCCUUGAAAUUUCUUCCACCUGGGAUCAUUCAAAACGAUUAAAACACACCUAAAAACAUGAUUUAAGAUCAAAAACUAAGAUCAAAAGUAUGGAAACAACUUAAAAAUUUACAAAAUUUACAAAAAUUUUGGACUGUGGUAAACCACGUCCAGCAAACCCUUUUUCACUUAGGCUUUUUGAGGCUCAAGGAGGUUGAUUGCCUCUUUUUCUGAUUUGAAUGGCUCCAUGAAUGGCUUGAGACGAUAUCCAUUGACUUUGAAGCUAUCCUUGCCAUUGGAAUUCAAUAAUUCCACCACUCCAUUGGACCAUACUCGGUGAAUAAUGAACGGGCCUAUCCACCUUGACUUGAGCUUCCCAGGAAAGAUAUGGAGUCUUGUGUCAUACAUCAAAACUCUUUGCCCUUCCUGAAAUUCCUUGUUGGAGAUGAGUUGAUCAUGCCACUUCUUCAUCCUCUGUUUUGCAACUUUGGAAUUGAUAUAAGCAUUAUUUCUUAAUUCCUCCAUCUCAUUAAGGUCUAGAAAUCUCUUUUCUCCGGCCUUGAUCAAAUCCAUAUUCAGCUUCUUUAUUGCCCACCAAGCCUUGUAUUCAACUUCCACAGGGAGAUGGCAUGCUUUACCAUAGACAAGACGAUAGGGAGACAUCCCAAGAAUAGUCUUAUAAGCUGUUCUAUAUGCCCACAAUGAAUCAUGAAGCCUAAUAGACCAAUCUUUUCUGUUGGAAUUCACCACUUUCAUCAAGAUGUUCUUUAUUUCCCUGUUAGCUAGCUCAACUUGCCCGGAAGUCUGAGGAUGAUAAGGUGUAGCCACAUUAUGCUUCACUCCAUACUUGGAUAACAGAGCUUCAAAAGGUUUGUUGCAAAAAUGAGCACCUCCAUCACUGAUUAUGGCUUUGGGUACCCCAAAUCUUGAGAAAAUGUUCUCUUUAAGAAACUUGAGAACCACCCUGUGAUCAUUUUGUUUACAAGGGAUUGCCUCAACCCACUUAGAAACAUAAUCCACCCCCACCAAAAUGUAAGAAUUACCAAAAGACAUUAGGAAAGGUCCCAUGAAGUCAAUGCCCCAUACAUCAAAUAACUCAACUAUCAGAAUGGGGUUCAUAGGCAUUUGAUUUCUUUUUGUUAGCUUUCCAAGCCUUUGGCAUCUAUCACAAUUUCUACACAUGAUGUGGGCAUCUUUGAAAAGAGAUGGCCAAGUAAACCCUGAUUGCAAUACCUUCAUGGCGGUUUUCUGAGAGGCAAAGUGGCCUCCACAUGCAUUCUCAUGACAAUGAGAUAGAAUCCCUUGCUGCUCAUCUUCAGGGACACACUUCCUAAUAAUCUGAUCUGCACAAUACUUAAAGAGAAAGGGCUCUUCCCAAUAAUAACCAUGAAUUUUGGCGAAUAAGUGUUUCCUGUCCUGUGCAUUCCACUCACUUGGAAUUUCACCAGUUACUAAAUAAUUAGCAAUAUGAGCAUACCAAGGAGUUUUCACUAGGAACAUGAGUGAUUCUUCAGGAAAAUCAUCAUUGAUAGGCAAGGGGUGGGAAUUAUGUGCUAUAACUAACCUUGACAAGUAGUCAGCUACCACAUUCUCCACUUCUUUCUUAUCUUUGAUUUGAAGAUCGAAUUCUUGUAACAAAAGAAUCCAUCUAAUCAACCUUGCUUUUGCAUCUUGCUUUGUCAAUAAAUACUUCAAGGCUGAAUGGUCAGUAAAAACAAUAAUGAAAGACCCCACUAAAUAAGCUCGAAAUUUGUCCAAAGCAAAUACCACAGCUAACAAUUCUUUCUCUGUAGUUGUGUAGUUCCUUUGAGCUUCAUUUAGUGUUUUACUUGCAUAGUAAAUCACAUAGGGCUUCCCAUCUUCUCUUUGGCCAAGCACAGCUCCUAUAGCAAAGUCACUGGCAUCACACAUCAAUUCAAAAGGCAAUUGCCAGUUAGGUGCUCUCACUAUUGGAGUUGUUGUUAAAAAUUUCUUCAGUUGAUCAAAGCUAUUCUGACAUCUUUCAUCCCAUAUAAACUUAGCAUCCUUAGCUAACAGCUCACAAAGAGGUUUUGAAAGACUUGAAAAACCUUUUAUAAACCUCCUAUAGAACCCUGCAUGGCCAAGGAACUGCCUUACUCCUUUCACAGUUGUUGGAGAUGGUAAUUUGGCAAUAAGCUCCACCUUUGCUUUAUCAACUUCAAUGCCUUUUUCAGAGAUGAUAUGGCCAAGGACAAUUCCUUGACGUACCAUAAAAUGGCAUUUCUCCCAGUUGAGCACCAUGUCUUUUUCAAUGCAUCUAUGAAGAACUGCUUCCAAAUUAACCAAGCAUUCCUCAAAUGUACCUCCAUAUACGGUGAUGUCAUCCAUGAAAACCUCCAUAAUUCGCUCCACCAUAUCACUGAAAAUACUCAACAUACAUCUUUGAAAUGUAGCAGGUGCAUUGCAUAAACCAAAGGGCAUUCUUCUAUAAGCAAAUGUUCCAAAUGGACAUGUAAAAGUGGUCUUUUCCUGAUCUGCCAAAUCAAUUUCAAUCUGAAAAUACCCUGAAUACCCAUCCAAGAAACAAUAGAAUGGAUGUCCAGAGACUCUCUCCAGCACUUGAUCAAUAAAUGGCAAUGGAAAAUGAUCCUUUCUGGUGACAGCAUUCAACUUCCUAUAAUCAAUACACACCCUCCAACCUGAAGUGAGGCGUGUAGUAAUUUCUUCCCCUUUUUCAUUUUGAAUCACUGUGAUCCCUGACUUCUUUGGUACCACUUGAGUAGGACUCACCCAAGGGCUAUCAGAUAUAGGGUAAAUGAUUCCUGCUUGAAGUAGCUUCAGCACUUCAGCUCGUACCACAUCUUGUAGAUGAGGAUUCAACCUUAUUUGAAAUUGUCGAAUUGGCUUUGCUUCCUCCUCCAUAUAUAUAUGAUGAGUACAAACUAAAGGACUAAUGUCUUUCAAAUCAAAUAUUUGUCAUCCUAUUGCCUUCUUACACCUCCUAAGAACUUCUAUUAAACAAUUCUCUUGAUGACUAGUCAGAGAUGAAGAUAUCACAACAGGACAUUGAUUAUUUUCUUCAAGAUAUGUAUAUUUCAACUCCACAGGUAAAGGCUUCAGAUUGAGUUUUGGAAUUUCUUUUUCAACAGCUGCCUCCUCUUCUUCAUUGAACAAAGGUAGAAUUCCUUCUAUCUUUCUCCAACUUUGUAGAGUAGCAAGCCCAAUAGGAGAUUCAGAAAAACCUUCCUCAAUAUCCUCAAGACUUUCAUUCAACUUUUCUUGCAUAUGUUGAUUGCACUGCUCCUCCACCAAAGUAUCAAUUAUACAUAACUCUUCUGGACCUUCUUCUUCUUCCGGAGUGAUUUGCUUUUUAGACAUAUAGAAAAUAUUGAGAUCCAGUGUCAUGUUACCAAAAGUGAGUUGCAUAAGCCCAUUCCUGCAGUUGAUGAUUGCAUUUUAAGUAGCAAGAAAUGGCCUUCCAAGGAUGAUAGGAACUAAAUUAGCUUCCUUUACAGUAGGAUCUGUAUCAAGAACAAUAAAAUCUACUGGAUAGUAGAAAUUAUCGACUUGAACCAAUACAUCCUCAAUUACCCCUCUUGGAAUUUUCACUGAUCUAUCUGCUAGAGAUAGAGUGAUUGUUGUUGGCUUCAACUCUCCAAGUCCCAAUUGCUUGUAGACAGAGUAUGGAAGCAAAUUCACACUUGCUCCCAAGUCUAGCAAGGCUUUCUCAACUACCUUUCCUCCAAUCAUGACUGAAAUGGUAGGACUUCCAAGGUCUUUGUACUUCAAACGGGACUUACACUGUAAGAUUGCACUUACUUGCUCAGUCAAGAAGGCUUUCUUGUUUACAGUCAACCCUCUUUUGAUAGUACACAAGUCCUUUAGGAAUUUUGCAUACGUUGGAACUUGUUUGAUCAUAUCCAGCAGUGGAAUAUUAACUUUCACUUGCCUCAAGACUUCAAGGAUUUCAGCUGCAUUUCUAAUCCCCUUUUUCCCAUGUAAUGCUUAAGGAAAAGGUGGAGAAGUUGAUUUCUUCAGCAUUUCUUCCUUCAGAAGCUCCUUCUCUGGAAUUGCUUUCCUUGUUGAAUCAGAGUCCUUCUUUUCUUCACUAAUCUCACUCUCUUUAUCUUCCAUUUCCUUCCCUUUCUUUAUCUCUUCUUCUUUCUCAACAUGUGGCUUGGGUGUUGGCUGCUCAAUUUUUUUACCACUCCUUAGAGUGAUCAAGGCUUUGACAUCUUUGACCUGUGAUGAUUCUCCCUCAUGGCUUUCCACUUCAUGGACACCUUUGGGAUUUUGGUGAGGUUGAGAAGGAAAUCUUCCCUUUUCUUGCAGUGUAUUCAAAUUUGUAAGCCUUGAAAUUGAAUAUUGGAUGUUAUCAAACUUUUGGUUCAUAUCAUUUUGCAUUCCAUCCAUCCUUUUAUUCAACAUACUCUCCACUCGAUCAAUUUUUUGAUCCACUCGAGCAUUGGUGGCUUCUUGCUUUUCAAUAAAAUCUCCCAUUACCUUGCUGAGAUUGGCAAUUGCUUGUUCAAUACUUGAAGAUUGCUGAGAUGGUGGAUCCGGCUGUUGGUAUUGAGUUGCUCUGGCCUUCCAUGAGAAAUUUGGAUGAUUCCUCCAACUUGAGUUGUAGGUAUUUCCAUAUGGAGCAUUGUUAUUGGGCCUAAAUUGUCCAACAACAUUUGCUUGAUCUCUAAACAUUUCCCUUUCAGUUGGAAUUGCAGGGCACUCCUCCACCAAAUGUUCAAAUGAUUGACAAUUGGGACACAGCUUCACUUGCACUGGUGCUUCAGCUACAACUUGCACUUCAUGUAUUUUUUUCAACUCCAGCUCCUCCAAUAUUCUUGUCAUAGCUGCCAACUUUGCUUUCAUGUCAUCAUCCUCUUUUAAGGUAUACAUCCCAGCCUUUGCAUUGUAAGCAUUCAACUGAGACUUCAUCUUUCCCACUUCUCCUUUAGUUGGUUCAUCCCAUCCCCUUGAAACAUCAGCUACAUAGCUCAAGAAAUCCAUAGCUUCCUCUGGAUUUUUGCUCAUGAAAUCUCCUCCACACAUUGUCUCGAGGAGUUGCUUCAUUGAGGAGGACAUACCAUCAUAAAAAUAACUCACCAAUAGCCAAGUAUCAAAGCCAUGGUGAGGGCAAGCAUUGAUAGCUUCCAUGUAUCUUUCCCAACACUCAUAAAAUUUCUCAUUCUCUUUAGCUGAGAAGUUUGAAAUUUGCCUUUUCAAGCCAUUUGUUCUAUGAGUAGGAAAAAAUUUCUUGAGGAAUUCAGCUUGUAAAUCAGUCCAAGAGCGGAUACUCCUUGGCCUUAAAGAAUUAAGCCAUAUUUUGGCCUUAUCCUUUAAAGUAAAAGGAAAUAACUUAAGCCUCAUCAAAUCAAUUGAAGCUCCUCCCUCUUGGAAUGUAUUACAAACAUCCUCAAAUUCCUUGAUGUGUGCAUACGGAUUCUCACUUUCCAUCCCAUGGAAAGUUGGUAGAAGUGGAACAAGGUAUGGUCUGAUCACUAGCUGCUCUGUAGGGGGCACUAUACAUGAUGGUGCACUCAUACGAGGUGGAUGCAUACGGUCCCUCAUUCAUCUGAAUUCAUUGAGAUUAUCUUGACGACCUUGGUGACUAUGCUGAUCUUCAGGUGUAGUUUCCAUGAUAUUCAAGAUCACUUCCAAUUCUUUUCUCUGAGGUGUAUCACACUUAACAAGCCUACCUCCAAUGUCUCGUAUCCACUUGGGCAUACACAACUAGUAUCUAUCUGCAACUUAAAUAAAAACAGAGGACAACAAGAAAAACAGAGCUACAACAACAAAAUUAAACUAGACUAAAUUUUAAAAGAUAAACUUAGAUUGUAAAUAAACAAAGAAAGAAUGAAAAUUAGUAAAGUGAAAGAAACUUUACCAACUUGUGAUGAAAAUCACAAGUGCUCAAAAAUGGUAUCACAAUGAACUUGACACUCAUUCCCCAGCAACGACGCCAUUUGAUUCGUGCCCAAUUGGUGUCUCAACUGAUUUGUGUUCAGCUAGUGCUCCUUGAUUGAAGGAGUAAUCAACAAAAUUUAUUACCUAUAACACCAUACACUGGGGUAGCAAAGAAAAAGCUACUAUAGUAUAGUGGCUCUAGGGUCGUUCACUGGGAAUGACUAACAAGCAAUCAAUGAUACCAAUUCCAAGUGAAUUGGUCUUGUUUCAUUUCAAGGUUAGCUUAAGAAAUAAAACACAAAUUUUGAUUGGUAAAGGUUGAGACUUAAACUAACUAACAUAACAGAAGUUUGGAAUAAUUUAGGAAGAAAAGCAUUCCUUGGAGAUUUAGGUUCACUGGGGUGGUUCCUCAUGCAAAAGACAUAGCUCCGGUCAGUUGGUUCAUUUCCUCGCAUUAGAGAUUCAACUUAUAGUCAAUUCUCUAACCGGUGAUGUACAGAGACUCCUUCUAUUAGAUUUCACUUUAAUUCUCUCUCUGAUGCAACUUGCAAUGGUUUAAGCCUCUCACUAAGCCUUAACCAUUCAAGGUGAUCUUUAACCUUGGAUUACCCGUCAAAAGCUCGCAAGAGAUAACUAAUGGAUACCUCCUAGGAGUCCAAAAGCUUACCAAGUGUUGGCUAUUCUAGAAAAUCCUACCUUGAAGUCACCUACCAGAGGCUCGCAAGGGGUAAACUAGUGCAUUUCCAUGGUUGGAAAUCACUUGCCUUACCAAGUGUUGGCCCAGGUGACUCUAAGGUGUUUUAAGUUAACUAAAAACAUAGAAAUCACUAAAGGAUUUCACUUCCUCUUCAUUAAUAGCUAAAACCACAGAGCUUUGCAUUCUUGCACUUGGAACCUUCCCCGGCAACCUUAGCUCCAAGGAAUUAGAGGUUUAGUUACUCAUUCUCUGGGGAAAACUCCUCAGAGAAUUCAUAACUUAGAAAUAAAAUGAAAAUACAAAGUGAGAAGGUAAGGCAGUAGAAAGAAAAUAGACUUUACUUGCUUACCCAAACGGUUACAGAAGGAACUCCUCCCUGAGAACAGGCUCCCGAGAGGUAUAUAUAUCAACAUAAUAUAAAACUAAUUGUUACAAAGAUAUUUAGUCUUUUUACUAACUUAAAAACUAAGGAAUCAUGUAAUUGAUGGUUUACAAGGAGUAUUUUGGGAUUUAGACAACAAAAAUCUAAUGGAAAAUAUCUCCCAAUGUCGGUAGCAAGCUUCGGGAGGCUUCAGGAGCCAUUUCGCAGGAGAAAAAUGGUGUCUGCGAGAUUUCGCAGACACCCAAGAGGGCUGCGAAAUUAUUUCGCAACACCAAGCUAUCUUCACAGGGCUGCGAAGUUGGCUUCCACCUUGAGGUUCCAAGCUUCCUUCUCGCGGCAUAAAUCGUGCAUCGUCAGAAGGAGAAACACCUUACUGUACAAAAAUGCUGCGAAAUCACUUCGCAACAAAAGGGUGAUUUCGCAACACUUUGCAAAAUGCUUCCUUCAGCUCGGAGUGAUUGGCUUGUAAUGGCUGCAACUUCUUCGUUUCAACUCCGAAUUGCACACCGUUUAAAGCAUUGGAUUGUUGACUUCCUGAGAUUUGAAAUGGUAUAUAGCAUGCAUCAUUUGGACUUCAGAAAGUGCUCCAAAAGUGGCUGCUAUGACUGUCAUCAAGAAUAUGCUUUAUGGCAGAUUCUCUUUGCUUUUUCUCCUUGCAAUCCGGAUUCACUCUUGGAAAAUGACUUCUAAGCUUUGCCCAAGAUUCCUCAUAGCUCUCCUCAGUCUUGACUUGCUUUGGUGAUCAAAAUACUAACAAAAACACCAAAACUUACACAAAGUUAACAAAAUUGCUUUAAAGGAUCCUUAACAUGCCAAUUGAGUUAAAAGGCCUAAACUACUACUCAAAAGUGUUUAAAAGGAUUAAUUAUAGGCUAUCAAAUAGCACUUUUUGAGUAUUAAUCAUACUCCUUGGCCUUAAAGAAUUAAGCCAAAUUUUGGCCUUAUCCUUUAAAGUUAAAGGAAAUAACUUAAGCCUCAUCAAAUCAAUUGAAGCUCCUCCCUCUUGAAAUGUAUUACAAACAUCUUCAAAUUCCUUGAUGUGUGCAUACGGAUUCUCACUUUUCAUCCCAUGGAAAGUUGGUAGAAGUGGAACAAGAUACGGUUUGAUCACUAGCUGCUCUGUAGGGGGCACUAUACAUGAUGGUGCACUCAUACGAGGUGGAUGCAUACGGUCCCUCAUUCAUCUGAAUUCAUUGAGAUUAUCUUGACGACCUUGGUGACUAUGCUGAUCUUCAGGUGUAGCUUCCAUGAUAUUCAAGAUUACUUCCAAUUCUCUUCUUUGAGGUGUAUCACACUUACCAAGCCUACCUCCAAUGUCUCGUAUCCACUUGGGCAUACACAACUAGUAUCUAUCUGCAACUUAAAUAAAAAACAGAGGACAACAAGAGAAACAGGGCUACAACAGCAAAAUUAAACUAGACUAAAUUUUAAAAGAUAAACUUAGAUUAUGAACAAAUAAAGAAAGAAUGAAAAUUAGUAAAGUGAAAGAAACUUUACCAACUUGUGAUGAAAAUCACAAGUGCUGAACAAUGGUAUCACAAUGAACUUGACACUCAUUCCCCGGCAACGGCGCCAUUUGAUUCAUGCCCAAUUGGUGUCUCAGCUGAUUCGUGUCCAGCUGGUGCUCCUUGAUUGAGGGAGUAAUCAACAAAAUUUAUUACCUAUAACACCAUACACUAGGGUAGCAAAGAAAAAGCUACUAUAGUAUAGUGGCUCUAGGGUCGUUCACUGGGAAUGACUAACAAGCAAUCAAUGAUACCAAUUCCAAGUGAAUUGGUCUUGUUUCAUUUCAAGGUUAGCUUAAGAAGUAAAACACAAACUUUGAUUGGUAAAGGUUUAGACUUAAACUAACUAACAUAACAGAAGUUUGGAAUAAUUUAGGAAGAAAAGCAUUCCUUGGAGAUUUAGGUUCACUGGGGUGGUUCCUCAUGCAAAAGACAUAGCUCCGGUCAGAUGGUUCAUUUCCUCGCAUUNNNNNNNNNNNNNNNNNNNNNNNNNNNNNNNNNNNNNNNNNNNNNNNNNNNNNNNNNNNNNNNNNNNNNNNNNNNNNNNNNNNNNNNNNNNNNNNNNNNNCCAGAGGCUCGCAAGGGGUAAACUAGUUCAUUUCCAUGGUUGGAAAUCACUUGCCUUACCAAGUGUUGGCCCAAGUGACUCCAAGGUGUUUUAAGUUAACUAAAAACAUAGAAAUCACUAAAGGAUUUCACUUCCUCUUCAUUAAUAGCUAAAACCACAGAGCUUUGCAUUCUUGCACUUGGAACCUUCCCCGGCAACCUUAGCUCCAAGGAAUUAGAGGUUUAGUUACUCAUUCUCUGGGGAAAACUCCUCAGAGAAUUCAUAACUUAGAAAUAAAAUGAAAAUACAAAGUGAGAAGGUAAGGUAGUAGAAAGAAAAUAGACUUUACUUGCUUACCCAAACGGUUACAGAAGGAACUCCUCUCUGAGAACAGGCUCCCGAGAGGUAUAUAUAUCAACAUAAUAUAAAACUAAUUGUUACAAAAAUAUUUAGUCUUUUUACUAACUUAAAAACUAAGGAAUCAUGUAAUUGGUCGUUUACAAGGAGUAUUUUGGGAUUUAGACAACAAAAAUCUAAUGGAAAAUAUCUCCCAAUGUCGGUAGCAAAUAUCGGGAGGCUUCAGGAGCCAUUUCGCAAGAGAAAAAUGGUGUCUGCGAGAUUUCGCAGACACUCAAGAGGGCUGCGAAAUUAUUUCGCAACACCAAGCUAUCUUCACAGGGCUACGAAGUUGGUUUCCACCUUGAGGUUCCCAGCUUCCUUCUCGCGGCAUAAAUCGUGCAUCGUCAGAAGGAGAAACACCUUACUGUACAAAAAUGCUGCGAAAUCACUUCGCAACAAAAGGGUGAUUUCGCAACACUUUGCAAAAUGCUUCCUUCAGCUCGGAGUGAUUGGCUUGUAAUGGCUGCAACUUCUUCGUUUCAACUCCGAAUUGCACACCGUUUGAAGCAUUGGAUUGUUGACUUCCUAAGCUUUGAAAUGGUAUAUAGCAUGCAUCAUUUGGACUUUAGAAAAUGCUCCAAAAGUGGCUGCUACGACUGUCAUCAAGAAUAGGCUUUAUGGCAGAUUCUCUUUGCUUUUUCUCCUUGCAAUCCGGAUUCACUCUUGGCACAUGACUUCUAAGCUUUGCCCAAGAUUCCUCAUAGCUCUCCUCAGUCUUGACUUGCUUUGGUGAUCAAAAUACUAAUAAAAACACCAAAACUUACACAAAGUGAUUAAAAUUGCUUUAAAGGAUCCUUAACAUGCCAAUUGAGUUAAAAGGCCUAAACUACUACUCAAAAGUGUUUAAAAGGAUUAAUUAUAGGCUAUCAAAUAGCACUUUUUGAGUAGUAAUCAUUCAUGUGACCCAUUGCAAGAGGGAAAAAGAAAUGAAGUUUAGAAGAAAACAUUGGUAGAGAGAUGUUUAAAAUUUCUUAUGCAAGAAAAAGAAAUAUAGUUGAUAAUAAUUUUCAUGAUUAUAGAAAAAAGAAGUUUUCUUAUUGAGAGAAAAAUGUUCAUUACCCUUCAAAUCUUUUCCUCAACUUCUUUUCAAUAAAUAAAUGAUUUUCAUGAAAUAUAAGGUGUAUCUACACCAUUGAGGUCUCUAAAUGAGAACAAACAAACAUUAAGGGUCUAUUUCAUAAUUAUUUUCGAGAACAAGUUUUUAUUCUCCAAAACAAAAAACCCUAAAAAUACAUUCGAUAACAAAAAAAAUAGUGUUUUUCAGAUAAUAUAUUUUAGUUGGUUUUUAUUGUUUUCACUUGUUUUCUUAGAAUAGUUUUAAAAAAUAAUUAUAUAAAUAUGUAAAAUACUUAAAAAUAAAACACUAAGCAUAAAAAUUAUUUUAAAACAUAUUAAAAAAUACUAAAAAUAGGUUAAAAACAUUUUAAGUUUUCAAACAUAUUUUUGUUUUACAAAACAUUAGAGAAUGGUUUUCAAAAACUAUUAUAAAAAAACAGUUUUCAAAAUUGUUUUUGAAAACAGUUAUGAAAUAGAGCCUAAUUACUAACCUCACAAGAGUCUAUGUUCUGAAAAGACUUGGGAGACAUCAUUGCUGGUGUAGUGAGGUAGAGGCAGUCUUUGCGCAACCUCUUUGGAGGGAAUUGAGAAAAGGGAAUGAAUAACGUUCCUUUCGAUGCUUUAAUUUGUUCUUCUUUGGUCAAUCCAUCUCCAACCAGCCAUAUCUUCAAAAUAAAUAAAUAAAAUUAAGUUCACGAUGGAUGAAAAAGUGUAGAGGGUUUAAAAUAGUUGCUAAAUGAUAAAUUGUACCUUUUCAGUAAAACUUUUAGAAAGUAGUAAUUUACUUUCACACUCAACAUUCUUGAGCUUUGUGUUGAGUUGCUCAUACUCAUCCCCAUGUGAUGUGGCUACCUGAGAUUCAUUGUAUGAAAAAUCAAAACCAAGAUUGGGCAUUGUUUCACAAUUCUCAAAGUACCUUUAUAUAAUGCUUGUUAAUUAUACAUACCUGGAUAUCCAUUUGGCAUAAAGCAGAAGCAAUAAAAUAAGCAACCUUGGUGAGGUUGCCUCUGAAGAGUACUUGAGUUGUUCCUUUAGGAAUGCUAUUUAGAACAACAGCAACUGCUAAGCUACUCCCAUCCACCACCUUGAUUUUGAGCUUAGGAUUUCUAUGGAUAUAAAGCUCACCAUAACUAUUAAGCUCAUCACCCUGCAAAGUUUAUAUUUAUUAUUGGACAGUUUUAUUUUAUUUUUUCUAAAAUUCGCAAAAUAAUUCAAAUUUUCAGAAUGUAAAUUUUUUUCAGAAGUCAACUGAAGGCCAUAAAAGCUGUGUGUCCAUGCAAGCAUGAGGUAGAGAUAUGGAACAUGGAGGUAAACUCUUCCAAAUGAUCAAAAAGGAGGUAAAUUGCCUUUUUUUUUUUUUAACUUGCCUGGUUCAAGAGACUUAAACUCAAAACUUUAAUCCCUCUUUUGUCUGCUUUGAGUAUGGCUUCUUCUAUCAAACUAUCGAUGGAUUCAUUUCCCAAUUUCAGGAGAUACUACAAUAAGAAAAUAGAAAAGGAACAAAAAGUAAAUAAUAUACUGAAGUACGAUUAAAUAAAAACAAAAGAAUAACAAGUUAACAAUAAAAUGUUGCUUACUUGUAUCUUGAAUUUUGGUACGACCCACGUUUGGACAUUGACUUUGUUGAAUUGAUUCCUCUCAAGAAUAAACGUACGACCAUAGGUCCAUGUUAACAUUAUAGAACCACAUGUCACUGGCCACAUUGCCCAUACAUACCAUCUGUAUGUGUAAGGUUUGGAGGCUAAGGAGGCGAAUCCUAGCCUCAGAUGAUAGAUGGACUGUGGCGUUACAAGAUGUGUCAAAUGAACUACAUGGAGCAAUUCUUCAGGUCUUAUAAGUGAUUUUUCAUAUAACGCAUCUGAAGAUUUAUCCAUCGUACCAUAGAUGUAAUCAUAGAUGGGCAUGAAAAGUGAGUAAUUGGUCCUG